AGAAACACACUUAGGUGUCUCAUCCAACGUUCAAAUCACAAAAUUCUCGGAUAGAGGUUUACGAAUUCAUACAUAGGUGGAGUAUUUUCAUUGGCUUGUGAAGAUUAUUCCCUUUCCACCAAUUUCUAUGGGCCACUUUUUGGAAUUCCGUUUAACGAAAUCAAAAUAGAGGUACAGUUCGUUAGGGUCCGGAUCUUUUGAAUUUCAAAAAUGAACCCUUAAUCCCCUUCUAUAAGUAGCUCUCUUUAGAGCAAGAAAAAGGGAUUUUUUUGGGGAUUUUGGAAUUUUUUUCACUGGCCUCUCCUUUCCUUUAUGGGUUCUCCUCUUCUUUCUCUUUGGAGUUCGAAAUUUUAGACGCAAAGGGGGUUCAAAAGUUUUGGGUUGAAAAUUUGGGGUUAGAGAAAAUCUUCAAAAAUUUAGAAAUCCACAAAAAAAGGGGGUUAGAAAGGGGGGCUCUCAGAGGGAAAAAAUAUUCUCUUUACGCCUAAGAAACAUACAUUCUUAGGAGGUGCGUCUGAACUGUCGAAGCAGCUGCGAGUUUUUCGGUGGUCGGAAUCCUAUCUUCAGCUUAUUAUCCCAUUUUGCUGCCCCAAAAGAGGUAAAUACAUCUUUCUUUUUAAUUUUGUUGUGGUUAUCAUUUUCUUCUUCAUGGUUCCACUUCUGUUUACUGGGAAUGACUACUGUAGAGGCCUGGAAGGCAUAGGCUUUUCGUGUUUGAUAUAUUGUUCUACUAAAAAACUCAUUCUUGCCGUGUUUGAUUGGCUGUCGUUCAUGCUUGAUCUCUCUCAUUUUAUUCUAUCUGAAUAUUACUAGUCAGCUUUAAUGCUUCGACUUUAGAAACUAUUUUGCUGGUCUCAUUUUGAUGUUGCUUUCUAGUUCAUAGAGUAGGAGGGUAAAAUCUUUACGUAUUUUUGAAAUUCGAAAAAAAUUUUCAAAGAAUAGAUAUUAGGCAGCAUGUUCGCACAUUUUUUCGCUCAAACGCAGGAAAUUGUUAUAAAUAAGAACUCGCAUGUUAUUUUCUUCUGACUUGCCAUUCUCGAUGUACAAUAGUCUCAUUUGAUUCUAAAGUUUAUUUUAAAAUAUGAGAGUGGACCAUAGGGAUGAAUUAUGUUUUCUUCAUGGCUAAUUCAAUUUGCUGUAACUGACUCAUGAGAACAAAUUAAAGUUUGACAGGCUAAUGUUUCUUUCCUUUCUUGCUUUUCUUGUUCGCAUAUAAGUUGUGGCAUCUUGUCUCAUGAUUAAAUUACCUAAAAUUGGGUUUUUGUAGUUUUUGACUCUCAUUUGUUUGUUAACCCAGUGGUAACGAAGGAAUUAAGAUUUCAGCCUUGCUUUUCUUGAAGUUUCAGCUAUCGUAUUCCUUGCCUAAAGUGAUUAAGUCUUUAACUUUGUAUGUUUGGCAUUCUGGAAUUUGAACGUUGCUUGUGAUCCAUCGUUUAUGUAGUAUGAUCCAAGAGUUUUAACUCUUUUUUGUGACAUGCUUAAUUGGGUCCUUUUGUGGCAUUAAAGUGAUAAAUUAUUUUUUUUAUUUCGAUAAAGACCAUAAGAAUUCUUGUUGAAGCUUUAUUUCCUCCUGUAGUUGAAAUUUCUUUAAUUGAUUAUGAACAUUUUCUUCAAACAUUAUAGACUUUUUCUCCUGUGGCAUUUUUACCUGUGUAUGAGUGUAUUUGAAUGAAGCAGGAAUGCUAUAGCUUAUUAAUUGUUAAAAUCUUGGACGUAUGUUAAUUUCUUCAUUCCUUUCUUUGCAUGCACCCCCCUUGGAAUUCAAAUGGGCCCCUUCUCUCUUUGCAUUUCAUAAAUGGGCCAAUGAGGCCUAUCCUUCCGAGUUAAGCCAAAAAGAAAAUCCAAGAAUCCAUCGCAUGGCGUAUGGAUACGAGGAAUUGAAAGAAGAAUGGGUUAAAGUUCCAUCUUUGAAGCGGCAAACGGGACUUGAAAAUCUAGUUAUUUCUUCUUUAUUGAUUUAUUUAUCCAUUGUUUCCAUUAUUUAUUUAUUUACUUAUUUAUAUUUUUGUUUAUUUAGUGACUAAUUUAUUUAUUCAUUUGGGCCUCAAAGCCAAAGUUGUAAAUUUAAAACAGGUGGAGCGAGACUCGAGCCAAAAAGGUCUCGAAAACAUAAAAUAAAGACAGGUGAAAGAUGGGUCAAAAACCUAACUAGAUUAGAACAGGGUCGACGGUUUGGGCUUAAAAUCCUAAAUCACUACUUCUCCUCUUUCCCCUUUUUCUAUUUGCUUACUUGUUUUACGUUUGUUUUGCGAACCUAGUAAAAUCCUUAGUCAAGUCGCUAAAAAACUGGUUUUGCAUAAACACCAAAAUAUUCCUAAAAAUCGCUUUUCUUUUCAAAAAAUAAACUUUUUCAAAGUUAAUCAAAAGACGAUUUUCAAACAUUUGGAUAACCGCAAGUUAAAGGACAUUUUAGGUGCCUAAUACCUUCCUAAAAUGCUAGUAGGAACCGCUUAUCUAGAAUCUCUAACUUAAAAUGAUUUUUCUAUUUUGAAUCGUUUGCAGUAACUCUCUAAAGGUUUCUUAAUUCCUUUUAAAAAUUAAGUGGCUACUCUCAAAAAGUCAUAAUUUCCACAAAACAAUAUCAAUCACAAUCACAUCCACACAUCUACUACCCCCACCCGAAAGUAGCAGAUGAAUAAGGGUUUGUAGUAAUUCAAGUACCUUAUCCUCUUGACGCAUGCACUCCUUCUCUUUUAGUUCAUUAACAAAUUUGUUAAAUAUUUCAAGUAGAAAGCCCUCAUCACCCAUGAUUCUGUAAAAUAAUAACAGCAAAGAAAUUCACAUUCAAUGAUACGACAUAAUGAGAAUCAUGAGAUUAUGAAUAAAAAAGUAAAAAUCCAGAGCAUUUCAUUUUAUAGUCAAAGAGGCUAGACAAAUUAAAACUAGAGAUUUAGCAGCAUACUUCAUCAGAACCGUGAAACAAUUACAAAUGCCAGAAAUUAAAAAACUAAAACAAUCACAAACGUCAGAAAUUUAAAAACAAACUGCUAGAGCUAUUAAACGCCCAGUGUUGGAACAACUAAUAAUUGACAUCUACCAAUUUCUAGAGGGAUAAGUACAACAUUAGAAAUCACUUAGCAAAAUGGUAAUUCAUGCUAAUACUAUAAAGAAAUAGCCUACCAAAAUGUUGAGGAAUAUAAAACAACAAAUCAUUCAACACAACUAUUCUUCUAAGGUACAUUCUAGAACUAUGUGAAUUACUGAGUUUAGAAUAUUGAAGGAGUUGGUCCUUGAAAAUAAUAUCAAUUAUCAUUCUCCAAUGGUCCUUGCAAUCAUGUUACUAAUUCUAGAUCAAUAAAAGCAAAAGAAGCUACUUGCCUAUCUCUGAAGAGGGAUUUGCAGUCCUCCCAUUUCGAUGAUGCAGAAUUUCCUGCAACCACAGCAAACAAAUAGAUUAUGGUUUAAAGGAAAUAUCAUGGGAUCCCAUCCAUUACAAUGUGAGAGAUUGUAAACUGUUUACUAUACCUUUGAUGCAUGAAGAAGUUCAUAGAACUCAUCAGCUAGACGUUUAAGCUUUUUAGCUUUUUUUUCUUCUUUCUUCCUGGCCCUUUCCAGUAACUCCUCAAAGACAAACUAUGCAGAUGAAAUAUGCACAUUCAAUACUCAAUGACCCGGCAAGCCCAAACGCGUAGAACAUAUAGUUUAGAAAGGAAGAAUGGAAUAAGAUUCAGUAUAAUCCAUGUAUGUCCUCUUAUUCCUUCGUUUGGAAGGCAAGGGGGAUAUAAUGUAAGAGUAUUAUUACCAUCUUUUGGAGUAACUCCUCACAUUAUAAUCUUUGAUAAAAUGCUUUACAAAAGUUUUGAGCUAUUGAAAGUAAACUAAAAGCCUUAAGAGACCCAACCGUCUAAGCAUAAUUCUUCGACAAGAUACCCCUUGCAAUUCCCUCUUCCCACAUACAUAGAUUAUACGCCAUGACCAUAAAUAACCUCCAAAAUCCAAACGAUAUAUAAAGAAUAUCCUCAUUACAAAAAUAGCAAAUGAUCGUUUAUAUCAUCCAGUUAUGUUGUUUAACCAGUUUCGUAGAGUAAAACUCUUAUCCACUAACCGUAAAAAUAGAAAACUACAAGGCAAAUUGCUUUGAAUUAAGUAACUUAAGCUAUGUGUGGUAGGUGUAAUUGUAACACCCUAGAAAAUGGGUCCCGAAGCGUCACACGGUGCUUGAGGCUACGAGUAUCCCCAAGCUAACUCUUUGAGCCAUUUUCAUUCAGUUCAACACAAAUCAACGAGGUUUCCAUAAAUAACCCUCAAAUAUCAACAGAGUAAUCAUNNNNNNNNNNNNNNNNNNNNNNNNNNNNNNNNNNNNNNNNNNNNNNNNNNNNNNNNNNNNNNNNNNNNNNNNNNNNNNNNNNNNNNNNNNNNNNNNNNNNNNNNNNNNNNNNNNNNNNNNNNNNNNNNNNNNNNNNNNNNNNNNNNNNNNNNNNNNNNNNNNNNNNNNNNNNNNNNNNNNNNNNNNNNNNNNNNNNNNNNNNNNNNNNNNNNNNNNNNNNNNNNNNNNNNNNNNNNNNNNNNNNNNNNNNNNNNNNNNNNNNNNNNNNNNNNNNNNNNNNNNNNNNNNNNNNNNNNNNNNNNNNNNNNNNNNNNNNNNNNNNNNNNNNNNNNNNNNNNNNNNNNNNNNNNNNNNNNNNNNNNNNNNNNNNNNNNNNNNNNNNNNNNNNNNNNNNNNNNNNNNNNNNNNNNNNNNNNNNNNNNNNNNNNNNNNNNNNNNNNNNNNNNNNNNNNNNNNNNNNNNNNNNNNNNNNNNNNNNNNNNNNNNNNNNNNNNNNNNNNNNNNNNNNNNNNNNNNNNNNNNNNNNNNNNNNNNNNNNNNNNNNNNNNNNNNNNNNNNNNNNNNNNNNNNNNNNNNNNNNNNNNNNNNNNNNNNNNNNNNNNNNNNNNNNNNNNNNNNNNNNNNNNNNNNNNNNNNNNNNNNNNNNNNNNNNNNNNNNNNNNNNNNNNNNNNNNNNNNNNNNNNNNNNNNNNNNNNNNNNNNNNNNNNNNNNNNNNNNNNNNNNNNNNNNNNNNNNNNNNNNNNNNNNNNNNNNNNNNNNNNNNNNNNNNNNNNNNNNNNNNNNNNNNNNNNNNNNNNNNNNNNNNNNNNNNNNNNNNNNNNNNNNNNNNNNNNNNNNNNNNNNNNNNNNNNNNNNNNNNNNNNNNNNNNNNNNNNNNNNNNNNNNNNNNNNNNNNNNNNNNNNNNNNNNNNNNNNNNNNNNNNNNNNNNNNNNNNNNNNNNNNNNNNNNNNNNNNNNNNNNNNNNNNNNNNNNNNNNNNNNNNNNNNNNNNNNNNNNNNNNNNNNNNNNNNNNNNNNNNNNNNNNNNNNNNNNNNNNNNNNNNNNNNNNNNNNNNNNNNNNNNNNNNNNNNNNNNNNNNNNNNNNNNNNNNNNNNNNNNNNNNNNNNNNNNNNNNNNNNNNNNNNNNNNNNNNNNNNNNNNNNNNNNNNNNNNNNNNNNNNNNNNNNNNNNNNNNNNNNNNNNNNNNNNNNNNNNNNNNNNNNNNNNNNNNNNNNNNNNNNNNNNNNNNNNNNNNNNNNNNNNNNNNNNNNNNNNNNNNNNNNNNNNNNNNNNNNNNNNNNNNNNNNNNNNNNNNNNNNNNNNNNNNNNNNNNNNNNNNNNNNNNNNNNNNNNNNNNNNNNNNNNNNNNNNNNNNNNNNNNNNNNNNNNNNNNNNNNNNNNNNNNNNNNNNNNNNNNNNNNNNNNNNNNNNNNNNNNNNNNNNNNNNNNNNNNNNNNNNNNNNNNNNNNNNNNNNNNNNNNNNNNNNNNNNNNNNNNNNNNNNNNNNNNNNNNNNNNNNNNNNNNNNNNAAAUAAUUCUCGAAUCUGUCCUUUGGUGGACUGUUUUGAUAGUCUGAAGUAGAUCAACCAUAAUGUUUUACUCCGAUAUUCAAAUUGGAUGAAACCAAUUUCAUUAGAAAGAGGACUCUCAUAUAUUUCCGUUGAUAUAUAGUAUCUCACCCAUAUCAUUGUGUACGAGGAGUUAUGAUCGUUUGAAGUUGACCCAAAAAUUCACUUUUGAUAGGCUGAGUAGAUCGACCAUAACUUUUUGCUUUGAUAGUCAAAUUGGAUGAAACCAAUUUCAUUGGAAAAAGGACUCGCAGAGCUUUCCAUUUAUAUAUAGUAGAUCACCCAGAUCAUUAUGUACAAGGAGUUAUGAUCAUUUAUAGUUGGAGCAAAAAUACGCUAGGCCUCAGUACUUUUUCCUGCACGUUUUACUGUUCACUACUAUUCACAGUUCGAUCGGAAUGUUUUAUAACUCGUCGCUUGGGUGUCCAUUUUGGAUGAUCCACAUAUCAUUGAAAAUAUUAUUCGAUACUCUACACAAUGGUGAGUCAUAAUCUAAGACAUUUCGCACGAAAAAUUUAUAAUUCAUUCUAGAAUAUAGAACCCAACAUGUUUACGCACAAAAUUUUAUCGAAAAAUUUCCUGGGGUAUUACAGUAAUAUUAAACACCUCCGUCCAGGAAAUAAAAACUAAGGAAAAUGGUACCAAAACUGAAGAAUUGGAAGCAAAAGCUAACACCAAAUAUUUGAUCAAUUGGUCCUCGUCUUUAUUCUUGAAGGUUUCAGGCUUACUUGCUAACUGACACACUACUCUUCUAUUAACUCCAUUACAAGAACAUCCAAAUUUAAUGUGGGAUAGGUUAUGGUUGAUACUAAAGGAAAAUGCCACUAACCACAGUUGACUACCUAUGAGUUGCCAAUUUAGCAAUCACAAACUGGCCGAUUUCCAGUGAAACAUAACAUGGAAGUACUACUAAUGCUUCUGCACUCAAUCCACUCAUCUUAUGCAUGACCUGUCCCAAAGACAAAAUGGGGAAAAAUACAUAGAAAUCCAUUUAGUGAAUGGGGUACUUCAAUUUUCACAACAUUCAAUUCAAUAUGGGUCGAUGUGAAACAGUAUACAGUGCUUAGCCAUAAUUAGACCUUUAAGUUGGUAUCUGACAUUGGUGGAGAGCUAAUAUACUUGGCGAUUGCAACCUUAAAAUCAUCAAGCGUCCAGGCUGAUGUCAAUCCAAUCUGAAAGUAGAGACGGCUCAGCCAAAAUAUUAGGUACUAACCGAAGCACAACAGAGGUUAAAAUGAAGAGUGGUGAUUACCUCGGCCAUCCUAACUGCAUCUUGAAUUUGUGACUUGUCAUCAAGAUACUGAAGCAACAUACAAGUAAUAUAAAUUCAGAAUGCUUAUCAGUAACAAAAAUAGGAUACCAAAUGGAGCCUUGUCAAUGCAUUUGAGUUACCAUAAAGUCUAUAAAUUACAAUUAAGGUGAUGGGGAUGAAAUUUCUUUCAUGAAUACCAACAUUUCUCCACUUGUUCAAAGUCAUCUACAAUAUCACAAGACACUUGACACAUAAACUUAAUUGCACUGAUCAGGUGAAAUUGAAGGAAAAAUCAAGCACCCCUGUUUGGAUAAUAGAAAAAAAGUGAAUAAAUAAAAAUGGAUAGCAUCUCUGUUAACAACGCUUUCGUUAUAUUUACUUAAUAAGAAUCAUUUAUGCAUACAAACAGUAAUACAAACUUUAAAGAUAGAAGUUCACAUCUUUAUUUUACAAGGGAAAAAGAAAAGAUUUUCAGCAUCGGAGUUUAUGUAUAACUCUCACCAUCCCAUAGCAAGAGCCUAACUCAAGAAAACAUUACCAAAUUCAAUCAUUGAAUAAGAGUACGAACAGGAUCAUUACCAUGCUAGGAUACUAGGCAAACUCCCUCUUUCAUCAAGCAACGAGAUAAAUGCUAAUAACAUUUGAUCAUUCAAUUUCAAUUCUUUUUAGAAAGGGCAGAGGAUGAAACAAUAAAUCGUUUAGUUAGUCGCAAGUGUGUAUUACGGCCAAAAAAAUCAUAGCGAGGGAGAUGCAACUUUAUUUAGAGAAACAGAGAUUCUCUCAGGCACUUUUUCCGAGGCUAAUCUUUUGUAAGCCUUUACUUUCAUUACAUCUCAACUACCUCUUCAGAGGCGAAUUCUGGCACUAAGUUUAUUUAGUCCAAUUUAUAUGGUUGACAACACAAUAUAUUUUGAAUUGGGUUUUAAGUUGCACGAUAUCAUCCGAAGUGAAAUCAAAACUGGGGUAUGGUACAAAAGGACAAAACAUGGUCGAAACUUGACCAGACAAACUACUUUCAGGUCUAAUUUGUUUGCACUUAUUGGAUUUAUAAACCUGUUCAGACCUCAAACCAUUAAGUGCAUUUGUUUUUAUUAGGAUUUUAGCUCUUUAUAGGUCUGAGUAGGUCUUAAUCAUUCAGAUGUGGAACCAAAUCUAAAUAUCAUUUACAUAUAUUCUUGUGUAGGAUAAAAUUCACCCCCACUCUAUCCACAAUCACCUGUCCCCACCACCAACCACUUCCACCAUCACAACCAAAAUCACUACCAACUACACUGCCAGCCGCUACCACACCUACCACGUCCAUUAUUCUAAUUAUAUCCAUUGCCAACUAGGGGUGUUCACAGUUUGGUUUUUAACCAAACUGAACCACGAUCCAAACUAAACCGAUUAAAAAAAUCUAUAUAUGGUUAGGUUUGGUUUGGAUUUGAAUUUUAAAAAAUCGAUACUAAUUUGGUUUGGUUUGGUUUGGUUUUACUCUAAAAUAACGGACAAAAUAACCAAAACGAACCGAUAUACAUAUAUAUUAUAAUUAUUUAUAUGUUUUUCAUAAAUGUAAUCUAAAUAUUUGUUACAUUUUAUAUUUUAAUCAUGAUUUAACUUUAGUCGUAACACAUUCAGUCAUAUGUCUUCAUCUANNNNNNNNNNNNNNNNNNNNNNNNNNNNNNNNNNNNNNNNNNNNNNNNNNNNNNNNNNNNNNNNNNNNNNNNNNNNNNNNNNNNNNNNNNNNNNNNNNNNNNNNNNNNNNNNNNNNNNNNNNNNNNNNNNNNNNNNNNNNNNNNNNNNNNNNNNNNNNNNNNNNNNNNNNNNNNNNNNNNNNNNNNNNNNNNNNNNNNNNNNNNNNNNNNNNNNNNNNNNNNNNNNNNNNNNNNNNNNNNNNNNNNNNNNNNNNNNNNNNNNNNNNNNNNNNNNNNNNNNNNNNNNNNNNNNNNNNNNNNNNNNNNNNNNNNNNNNNNNNNNNNNNNNNNNNNNNNNNNNNNNNNNNNNNNNNNNNNNNNNNNNNNNNNNNNNNNNNNNNNNNNNNNNNUACAACACUCGGUUGACAUCUCAUAUGUUAGAUUGGAUUUGUUUUUUAUAAUUUUCAACUUUUAUCAUUAACUAAAGUUAUAAACCAAAAAAUCCGAAUCAAAGCGAACUAAACCGACAAGAACCAAACCGAUGGUUAUUUUUUUGUUUGGUUUUAGAAAUUUAAAAACCGAUUAAGUUGGUUUGGUUAUGGUUUUGACCAAUAACCGACCCAUAUCAACCCAUGAACACCCCUACCGCCAACGCCGCCACCAUCAACUACUACCGGUCGAUCCUUACUACCAACCAACUCAUCUAUCAGAACUAGCACUACCACUAAUGACCACCAACACAUCAUCAACUUGCACACAUCGCUAACAACCACUAACACAUCAUCAACUUCCACACAUUCUUCGGACACCAUCACCACCACUGUCACCAGCGUCACCACCUCUACCACCACCAUCCGCUACACUCGCUACAGUAUCUAUACUAACAACCAUUCCACCAUCACAGCUAACAGCAUAUCCAACGACCACCAACACAUCAUCAACCAUCAUGCAUACAGUUUUCCAUCACCACGAUCAACACCUCCAACUACUAACAUUAACCAACUUCACAUCAUAACCACCACCACCACUACCAAUCGCCAAUAUCAUGACAGUUACUACAAUGCCAGCUAUCUCUACUAUCACAACUAUCAUCACCAACAUUGCUAAUCACUAACAUCAAUUAAUUUAUUACAACCACCACCACCAUUACAAAUCAUCUCCAUUAUCACUAACAAACAUAAUUUUUUUUUAAUCAAAUAAUAAUUUAAUUGCAUUAAAUUAAAAAAAUUCUAAUAUUUAAUUAUAUUAUAUUUAAAAAUAAAUAAAUUUUGCACAUUCAGAUAUUGAGAAACACCCAACCUUAAUCAUUUAGUUUUCAGAUCUAGAGACAAUAUCUUAACCACUUAGAUGUGCAUUCAAAAUGAUUCAAAUGUCUGAAUAUUAAUAAAAACAAAUGCAGUCUUAGCUGAAACACAAUGGUGUGGUUGUGUGAUACUUUAAAGGAGUCCUCGAAAGUCAAAGAAACUACGUGAAAACAUGGAAGUUUGAUGAUCACUUCUCAGAGUUGUUCUGCUCGAUAAACUAUAACAAUUAAGGUAAUAUAACCAUUAACANNNNNNNNNNNNNNNNNNNNNNNNNNNNNNNNNNNNNNNNNNNNNNNNNNNNNNNNNNNNNNNNNNNNNNNNNNNNNNNNNNNNNNNNNNNNNNNNNNNNNNNNNNNNNNNNNNNNNNNNNNNNNNNNNNNNNNNNNNNNNNNNNNNNNNNNNNNNNNNNNNNNNNNNNNNNNNNNNNNNNNNNNNNNNNNNNNNNNNNNNNNNNNNNNNNNNNNNNNNNNNNNNNNNNNNNNNNNNNNNNNNNNNNNNNNNNNUUUUUUUUUUUAAAAAAGCAAGCAGAGGGGUAACUCUCAAAUCUCAAUCUCAUGCUUUUAUCCUACCAAGUAUGUUCUAUUGUUUAAUGCACUACAACAACAACAACAAACCCAGUAUAUUCCCACAUAGUAAUACACUAACUUCCUUUUUUACCUAAUGAAUUGAACUUUUUAGUGAGGAUCUAAAUGAUUUUCAGACUUUGUUUAACGUUUGAUUCAUUAAGAUGUAUUAACAGGUUGAAUCUUUAAAAAAAAAGCACUUAAUGGGCUGAUAUCUUAACCAUUCAGAUUCAGACCUUCAUUAAGUGAAAUCAAAUGAAAAGGGAUUGUAGUGUAAAGUCUAUAAAUAUGGCUUAGUGUAACAAAUGUAGUUGACACAAUUCAAUACUCCUAUUAGCAACGUAUUUCACCUGUUUCUCCAGCUCAUCCAUAACAUCUGUAAAUAAGUCUUUUGUUGUUGAUCCUGAAGUAUUUGAUGCAACAGCUAGAUAUGCAGCAAAAUCUUUAAUCUGAAAGCACAAAAUAAAGAAGGAAAUUAUUGGAUGAUAAAUUCAAAAAGACAAAAAGGGAACUCAAGAAGGUAAUCACUCACUGAACACAAGAAAGAAAAACUAACUUUGAUUCAAUAAUUACGCCAGUUAGUUUUUGCAUUAAGUAUUCCUAUAGCAACAUGCUUUUCCAUCAGUUUUCAGAACUCAACACGUUUUUUACGUUCAGCUUUCCUCAAUUCUUCCUAUUUGAAUCAACGGUGUAUGACCAGUGAGAAAGAGAUAAAUCAGAGUCUCCAAAUAUAAAUUUAAUUUUAACCCCCGAGUCUAAUAAGCAAUAUACCAUCCGCAGUUUCCUUUGCUCCUCCUCUUCGCUCUCUAAAUCACGUAUGUAUUCCUAAAAUAGAAAAGGUUGCAACUUAACUUUAAAACUGAGGAGUACAAAUAAGAUGUUUGGAAAAAGUUAUUUAUGAUGUAUUAGAAAAAUGAGUAGUACCUAGAAAAUCUCCAAGCGAUCAAUUUUCUCAAGGCGGGAGCGUCUUUCAUCAGUUUCCAAGCAGUCCUGAACUUUCUGCCACUGGCUACUGGCCUGAACAAAAGAAGUCAACAACAAUGGAACUAUGGAAGUUCUAUCUUCUGUAAAUAGAAAAACAUAAUCUAGGAACUGAUGCUAAUUCCACUAGAACAAAUACCUUAAUAAAGUCACAGGAUUUUAAAAAUUCUAAGUACUCCACUCUAUUGUGCUUUUGCUCCUCCAAUGCCUUCUGAUGCUCCUAAUAAAAUCCAGUACAAAGUAAAAAAAAUAAAAUUUCUCUAUAAUGAAGACAAUAUUUACAAAGAGACUUUAACUACACUUGCAUUAAAGUAUUGAAAAACUUUUUCUAUUUUACGAUGGAGGGGGGAGAGGAAGAAGCAUAUCAUAGUUUCAAGUUUCAAGAAAAAUUACAUACAAUACAUGGAAGUCUAUUUAAAUUGGAAUUCAAUGGUGAACAAAUUUAAAUGUUGUACCCUUGAGAAGCCAUUAAAAAUGUAUUCAAAGAACACAAGAUUCUAAGUUGAAUAUCUACAACAUUCCUUCUUUCUACUCUUUAAGCAAAACAAAAAAAGGGAACAAACUAAAAGACAUCCUGCAAAGGAAAGGAAUGGAAUAACUGUUGUUAAUCAAGUGGACCAACGCCUAACUCAACUUCAAAAACUAGUUCAGGUGGUGAAGAUUGUCCAAGAUCAUAUAAGGAAACUACAACACAUACACCUUACUAGUGUGGGAUUCUCAUACAUUAAUCCCACACCAAGACUAGACAUUUGUAGCAUCAGUUAACCUAGGUUGGCUAACAUCUAAUAGUAUAACAUCAAGAUAGAUCUGCCUCAAUUGGACCUUGUAUCUAUCUCAAAUGAAAGGCUAACUUAAUUAGUGAGGAGCCAAAGACCAUAUAAGGAAACUACAGUCCGCACACUUAGUUUUUAACAUAUAGAAGCUUACAAGAAAGUUUUGCAAAAGGAACUUCACCUUUUUCUCAAGUUCCUCCACAUAAUCUUCAAAAAGGUCCUCACGGUCUUUAGCUCGCUCAACAGCUUUAAAACGUUCAUCAUGUUCGAAUAUGGAGAUUGCCUAACUGAAUAAUCAAUAGCAAAUAGUUAGUGGAUCAAAUGGAACUUACACAAGUAAUGGAUCAACUUCAAGGUACCAAACACAUACAAAAAAUGACCAAGAUUAGAAAACAAGCAGCAGACAACUUAACAUUACAAGUGAAAGACAAACCUCUAUCUAGACGAUGGUGACAGCUCCUUGCAAUCCUGUAAGACUGAGAACAACAGACAUUGUUGUGAAAAAUACCACUUAUUCUUUUGAACAAGUCAAAUACCAGUCUCUAACACAUCAUGAAUACUAUGAUAAUAUUUUUUUAUUUUUGAAACUGGUAAUGUGAAUAUCAUGAUAUAUCAAAUGGAAGACACCCACAAAAGAAAAUUUCACUUCUAACAUUAUCCUGAAAUCUUCCUGAGCUUUUUNNNNNNNNNNNNNNNNNNNNNNNNNNNNNNNNNNNNNNNNNNNNNNNNNNNNNNNNNNNNNNNNNNNNNNNNNNNNNNNNNNNNNNNNNNNNNNNNNNNNNNNNNNNNNNNNNNNNNNNNNAUUGAAAGAGAGUUUUGGAAAAUGUUUUUCCUACUUUUUGAAGGGAAUUCAUUUUCCUUAAAUUUAAGGAAAAUAAGUUGAUUUGGAAAACAUUUUCCAAAAUAUUUAAGUCAACCAAACAUGAAGCAAUUGGAUAUCAAACACAAUCUAUCUUUUUGCAAUACGGUAUGUGAAACAUUGAAGCAACAAUUAACCCAUUCCAAUGCCGACUUGGAGAGAUACCUCAUUAAAAGCUUGCUUCCGCUCACAAAGGAAUUUUAGAGCACCAUAUCUCCGGUCAUUAAUUACUGCUCUCAUGGCUUGUCAAAUACAAUUCAUGUCAAAUGAUCUCCCUCAUUUGUUUGGUACACACAAAAUAGUCAAGUAAUAAACCUGAUCCCACGUGCAAUCAGACCCAAUAUUUGCAGAUUCCAAAAGAGUUUUGAAUGCACUCUUUGCCUCCUAAAUAAAAUUAGAUACUUAAAAUAGAAAUAAGAGAAAUUUCGAGAACAUACUUUAAACGGGACAAAAAGCAAUAAUCAACUAUACCGCUUUGCUCUCAUAAACUAAUGGUCCCAGCUCGACUGUUUUCUCAUNNNNNNNNNNNNNNNNNNNNNNNNNNNNNNNNNNNNNNNNNNNNNNNNNNNNNNNNNNNNNNNNNNNNNNNNNNNNNNNNNNNNNNNNNNNNNNNNNNNNNNNNNNNNNNNNNNNNNNNNNNNNNNNNNNNNNNNNNNNNNNNNNNNNNNNNNNNNNNNNNNNNNNNNNCAUAACAUCUACGAAAAGCUUUCUUGGUGUUUUAACCAGUAACCAGUAGUAAUUAACUAAUCGCAUAAGUAUUUCAGAAGGACAAAGUACCUCUCUAUUCUCUGAAGAAAAUCCAUCACCAUACACUACUGCAUCUUGAGUUGUAGUAGUCUCAGAACUAUACAAAAAUUGAAUUCCAAAUAAGAAGCAACACAAACCAGAGGCAAAUUUAUAACAUACAAAUCUGAUAAUAUACACCGGUGGCGCGAUAGAAUUUCCAAGGUUACUGCUAUUCCAAUUUUCUCCGAAUUAGCAACAGCUGGCGAAGUAGGUUCUGAAGAAUUCUUCAUUUCGACAGUUUCAAUCAUCAGAGAAGAAACCUUACCAUAUAAACUUGAUGAUUCUGAAGCCACAAUAGUUGGUAAGUUAGCAGCUGGUGACACAACAAUUGGGCUUGAUUUAGCACCGUAUGCCGAGACUAAUGAACCAUCUGCACCCGGGGAUGAUGUUUUAACAACAGAAAUGGAUCCAAAAUCAGAAGCGUGCUAAAUGGUGUCCUUUUCACAAGCCAACUGUGAAUUUAUAAAUAAUUGAACUUUAUGAGAAUAGAGUAUCCAAGAAAACAGAAUAUUGCCCCUUCUUACACGCUAUCAACUGUGAAUGUACAAAGAAUUUAUGAGAACUAGAGCAUCCAAGAAAACAGAAUAUUUUCCCUUCUUAUCAUGCUAUUUAAAGCACAGAACAAUCCCUUCUUAUCAUGCUAUUUAAAGCACGGAACAAACCCAUAUUGGAUUUAAAUCUAACAUCACCUUGAAUUCAUCAAGCAUUAACCUUGUUGUAGUAAUACCUACAGAAAACAAACAAAGCAAUUAGCAUUAUGCACAAGUAACACACAAAAGUACCCACUGUAGAAGAACAAUUGGAAAGAGGCCAAGAAAAUACAUAAGUUACACACUUUCUUCCCUCAGGACUUAUAAAUUCUCUCCAGUUAGUUGAUGUGUCUGCCCUCUGUCCCAAUGAAAAUAGCAUGAAAGAAGGUCAAGUCAAAAAAUAGAACAUAAACAGUACCCUGAGAGUAGAAAUCAGUAACUUCCAGCAGUACAAUACUGGAUGAAAGUGUUAGAAUAUGAAUUAUAUAAUGUCCCACAUGGAAAAGGACUAGAAUGUACUGUGUAGAAUAUAACUACAAGCAGGGUGGAAACAUUGCCAAGAUGCGGCCGAGCUACAGCUAUCCAAGGGUGAUCAACUGAACAACAUUCGCCUUCUGUCAUUUCUGAGUAUUUUUUAAUGAACACCCUUGCCACAAAAAACAAGACUGAGUGUGAUAGUAAGGGUGUUCAAAUCCUACACCGAGGUUCUAAGUUCCAUACUCAACACAGCCCCCCACAUAAUAUUUUUUCCAUUUGGACACAUUUGAAACUCAUAAACUACAGUUAUGCUUUUUUUCGAUGAAUCAAUUUUCGAACAUGUGUUUUUUGUCCCAAUUAGCUCUUGCAAAAGAUCUAGUAACUAGCAUGCCAUGUAUAAGAAUUUUGUUAAAAUAAACUUAAAGGUAAAUUUAUAAAGUGCUUGUUAUACUAGAUAUCUUGCAUGGGGCAGAGUGUUUGGCUGGUCAAGAGCUCGCAUGUUCGAAAGAUAAACAUAGCAGAAAUGAGGAUGUUGAGAUUAAUGUGUGGUCAUACUAGGAGAGAUAGAAUAAGGAACAAAGAUAUGCGAGAAAAAGUGGUAGUGCUCUCUGUGGUGGACAAUUGACAAGAAGACUAAAGGGUUGGGGAUAAAGAACCUAAAAAUUCAAAGUAAGGCUCUCGUGAUGAAAUGGUUAUCGAAAUAUGCAAACAAUAACCAACUGCUAUGGAGGAAAGUGAUUGGGGCUAAAUAUCCUGAAGAAGAUAGAUGGCUGACUAAAGAAGUGACCACACCAUACGGGAUUAGCCUCUAGAGAUCUAUUAGAUCUAUUAGACACUAGUGGAAUGAAGUUAAAAGCAACUCAAAAGUUAAAGUGAUGGAUGGAAACAAGACUAGGUUCUGGAAGGAUAAUUGACAUGAGGAUGGGAAUAUGGAAGUGAUUUUUCCAGAUAUCUACAACUUGGUAUUGUUUCAAUAGAGGACUAUAGUAGAAUUAUGGACACCACAUGGGUGGAACUUCAAUUUCAGAAAGAAACUUAAUAACCUAGAGGUAAUAAGAGUAGUUGAAUUUUUUAAUACUGUGGACUUAUUCAAUGGACUGCAGACAAUGAAGAACGUACUAUGGUGGAUAGGAAAUGAAAAAGGAAUGUUCAGUGUCAACAAAGCCUACAAGAUGAUAAACCAAAUAAAUCACUCGGAUCCAAGGUGGCCAUGGAAGCAAAUAUGGAAAAGUAGGAUACCUCACACAGUGUCAUGCUUUAUCUUUGUCUAGUUACUGACCAAGGAAGUAGUUCUUACACAAGAUAAUGUCAUGAAGAAAGGGAAAACCUUGUACUCCGGAUGUUUCCUCUGUGGAGAAACUUUAGAGACGGUUAACCAUGUAUUUCUACAUUGUAAGUACACCCAACAACUUUGGAGAAUCUUCUUAAGACUAAAAGGCAUUUCCAGCACAAUGCCUAGGAAAGUAUCUGAGACUUUAAUGUGCUGGGAGAAGAAGGUAUAGAUGUGAAGGACAGAAGUAGAUGGAGAAUUAUCCCAGGUGCUAUAUGGUGGGCUAUAUGGAAAGAAAGGAAUUCUAGAUGAUUUGAGAGCAUAGAGAAUAGUGUGUAGAAGGUUAAACUCAACUGCAUUUUGCUUUUAUGUUUUUGGUGUAAUCAACUAUACUCUAAUGAUACUGCCUCGAUAAUUGAUGUUCUAGACUAAAUUUAGAUAUAGAACAGUCGAUUUAGGAGUACUCUUGUAUAUAAAGGUUUCAGUACAACCCAUGUACUGUAUGAUAUAAUACAAAGUUACCAAUUUCAAAAAAAAAAGAUAAUAAUUUUUCAAGUACUAAAAGUUUAUAAAAUAACAAAUAAAUCAAUUAAAUCUGAGUUCAAAUUGGGUGGGUUGGGGUAUGACCCGCAUUUUAGAGCAUUUCAACCCAACCCAUUUCAACCCAAGUAGCUUUAGGGCGGGUUAAUAACCCACCUAUUUAUUAACUCAGACCUCUUUGAUCCAGCCAACCCCACCCAUUUGACACCUUUAGUUUAAUAGAAGUAAAGUGGACCAUGCCAGAACACAUACAAGAUCUAUUGAGUUAAAGUAAAGUGGACUAUCAAAGGACACACAACAAUCUGUUGAGCUGUUGGAUUAGAGGGUAUUAGCAAGAGUUAGAAGAAAUGGGGGAGAACAAUCCUUCCUUGUAUUUGGUGGACUGUAUGGAGCGAGAAAAUUUGAAGGUAUUUUGAAGAUAAAUAUAAUUCCAUUUAGAAAGUUAAAUGGAAUAGCAUUAAAGAUUUUUAUUUUUUGUUUAAGGGCCAAUGUGUACAGGAUGCAUAACAGGUAGUAGAUCUCUUUGAAUCCUCGCAUUAUUUUCAUUAUUUUUCAUUUCUUUUGGACUGCUAGCAUAACCUUAAUGCUGACGAAUACAAAGUAAUAACUCCAAAAAAAACUAUUUAUCUCAAAAAGAAAAGAAUCAAAAUGUUCAAACUUCCUUACAGCUCCAGUUGUUGGUCCCUUAAUACUUGUCCCUCACAACCAGCCAAACUUUCUUUGAUAACCGUCAUGUUUGGGUCAACUUUCACCUUGACUAGUUACACCAGGUACUGCUACCUCCCACCAGCACAGAUACUGGGUAACUCUAUCCAUCAAGGCUUGGACAGACAGUAAGAAAUCACCUAGUGUUUUUAUCUCUGUUGGAAAUUAAACCUGAGACCUCAUGGUUCUCAAUCUACUUCAUUGACCAUUAGGUCACACUCUUGGGUGCAAGUGUGCAACCAGCCAAACUAUUAUUCUAUAAACCAGAAUGAGAAGUGUGAACCGCAAUAUUAUAUCAGGUUUCCUCUCUCUAUAUCGCCAUUGAGUUACAAUAACAUUACAUUAAUCAGAAAGUAAAUAAAAUUGUUUAAAAUAGACCAAAUAUAAUCCUUCCUUGUAUGCUUAAACACAUUUUUUAGAACAAUAGUGUUAAAUAUAAAAUCUUUUAGAACUAUAUUGGAAAUAAAAGGUCAAUGCAAAUCCCAAAUGAAGCCUACAUAGUAUAGUAAGAUCGAGAAAAUCUGCUCGCUAAACAAACAUUCAACAGAAAUCACAUAUACUUAGGAAAGAAAAAGUGGUUCUACGAAGCUUCAUAGAAAAAGAAUUGUGUACUUCUUUUUUCAUUGAUAAGCAUAGGAAACUGGAUAAAACAACCCAUAAAAAUCUCGAUGAAACGAGAGCUCACCUCCAUUUCUAUCAUCAGCUCUCGAGGUUUCUCCCAGGUAGAGAUUCUUGUUCUUCUAUUAUAAUAGUAUCUAAAAAUCAAUUCAAGAAUUGUAAGAAUGAUAUUAAUUGGUUGGAGUAAUAAAGCCAUAGGAAAUAUGACAAUAUUAGCAACCAUAAUUAGCCUACUGAUCAUCAAAAGAUACUGAAAAUAGCAAUACCUACUAGCAUUUAGCCACAUGUAAAAUAUGUAAGAUAAUAGAGAAAUGGGGUCAAAAUAAAGUUAUCGGUAGAGGUGUAUCAAGUUCUGCUGAUCAACAGUCAGGUAGAAUUUGGUAGCGGUGAACGGCAGCCCAUAUGAUAACUUUGACAAAGAGGACUGAAACAAAGGGGCCUAUUAUCUCCAGUGCUAAUGGAAGAAGAAUGAUGUACAAAGAACUAGAUGUGGAUACUUGAGGCAUUUCUUGGCAGUGAUGGGGGCCAACAUAUCCACCACUUGUUCAUAGACAAGAAAUUAAGUGUUUGUGAUGUAGACAUUAAAUUAUUCAUAUGAGUAACCUAUGUGAAUAUAAUCCAAAAGGAAGAAUUCCAGAAAGCCAAAUUGGCAUGCUCUUUUUUUUGUCUGGAGAACACAAAGUGGUAAAAAGAUUGGAUCUGAAUGACAAUGAUAUUUUUGCAGAGCUCCUUUUCUUGUAUACCACGGUUUUACACCUUUUUUGUUCACUGGAAUCUUAAUUUUCUUACUAAAAACUAUCAUAGAAUUCAAAUGUUGACUCUCUCAAUCAACACACACCCAUUAACCCAUUAACUUAAGCAUGUUACCUGUUGACAAUAUUUAUGCAAAACGGGUACAAUAAAACACAUUGAAUUCUUACCGGAAUAACCAAGGGAGCUGCUAAUUCUCCAGUCUUCUGCAUAGUUGUUGCAGAAUUCACAUUAUGAUUACUUAUUGGCAUCCAGGGUUGUACCCCUGAUGGAAACCUAUGAUCAUUUAUCUAUGUCUGAUACUGGGAGCCAAAAGAAUCUACAUUUACCUGCUGUUAAAGAUGAUAACAAAAUGUAUUUCAUCAAUAUAUGAAUGGAACAUCGGAAACCGAUUGACAAUAACCACAAAAGAUCUUCCCAAGGACCUACAUUAUAUGAAGAAGAAAGAGGUAAAUUUGGGCCACCAGAACCAGGCAUGUGGUUAUUUGACAUCGCAAAAUUUCACUGAAAAUCAUGGGGAAUAGGUGGUCCCUGAGGCAUACUAUGCAUUCCUACUACAGGUCUACUAGUAACCUGUUGCAUAGGUUGAGGAAAUUGGAUUUGAGAAGGUUGUGACAUCGCAACAUUUGCAUGUCCAAGUGGUAAAAAUUGUUGAGAUGACCCAGAACCAUAAGGUUGUGCCUGCUGGGCUAGAAGCAUAGGCUGGAACUGCUAAAGAUGUGGGGAAAAUAGUUAUCAUAAUGUCUCUACAUUCAAAAGUCAUUUAUCCCUCCCCCAAGCCUCCAUAACUUUACCUACAGUGACAUGGAUGGAAUAGCACCAGGAGCAGGACUAGCCAGAGGAGGUAUAGGAGGCUUCUUAACUAAUAUCCAUGCAAGGAAGAACAGACGAAAUCAGAAUAUAGCUACUUUUCAAUCAUAUUUAGUUAAUUUUCCAAUCAAUGUUGAAAGCUUGUAUCCAUGCACAACUCCCUAAAUUAAUUUAAAGGACAAGGCAAGAAUUUUGAAGCUAAACCACAUAGUAACAUGAAGCCCUUUUCUUCAUCUAAUAAAUAGAAAGCUUGAAACGAGAAUAAAGAGAGAUAGGAAAUAGAUGACCUAUCACAACGUUAGACUAGAAUGGACAAAAUGAUAAGCAUCUUUACCUUAUGGCUUGGGUUCAACAGCUACUGAUGGCCUAAGUAUCUUUUCUUCGGGUGUAAAGAAGCACGUCUGUUAAUGCAAAACUAUGAUCAUUGAACUGAAACAUGAGGUAUGAGUAGGUAUUAGGAUAACCAAAAAAUACUGAGACUGGAAUGGGUUGAGCCUCAAUCUUCCCUUCUGAUGUUCUAUGUGAUACUGACAUCACUACUAGAAUCUGAAAGCCUGACUUGGUUAUUCUCUCUAUCAUCUCUCCCUUAGCUUUAAGCCAUCAAAUUAAGUUUGGGAGAUCCCUUACUAGACUCUAAACUAAAGUACACUCACUGUACUCUGGGGUCUGGAAAACUACUAUACACGCAUAUCAUGGCACUUAACCCUAAUGACUACACCUGAAAUUGGAAAACCCACUAUUAAUACUACCUUCUGAGAUACACUUUAUCAUUCUAUAGACCCAGUAGUCAUCAUAUAAUACUUGCAUACUUACUAACUUCGGGUCUUCAUGGGUAUCCCCAUAGUCGAAGUGCACACCCUCUAGUGCUUUAACUCUUAUUUCUAUUAGUUAAGCCUUUAAAAACUCAAACUUAGAAUCUAGCACUCAACAUGGAUAUAACCAAGCCUUCAAUGAAUCAUACCACUUCCUACAUAGCCUACCAAUAUUGCGACUCUAAACUUACAUCUCUCUACUAUAAGAAUCAAGAUCAUAUAAAAGGGCUCAACACUAUUAAUCAAAACUCCUUAAUUUGGCUAUUCAGAACACCAUAUACCAUCUAACUAGUCUUUCUCCACCUAGCAACUCAACGGUACCACUUGUCACACAAAACAUGUAAUAGUCUUAGAAAAUACCGCAACCUCAGAUCACCUUGGGCAUACUUCUACAUUAUAUAUGCAACAUCAUACUUCACUGCGAAUCAAAUAAACUUAAGCUCUUGCAUAUAUCAUUCAAGCCUAUUAGAUUACUUCCAUAAAACUAGUAUCAGUAACCAAGAAAUCAUCACAUCCACCUUCAUGGACAUCAAUUGUUCAAAACUUAAUGUCUAGUGCUAAACAUGAUGUUACAACCCAACCUUACGUAUGAUUCUCACUUGGAUACCAUGAAAUUGACAUCAAGAAACACUAGUACACUAGAACUUCCAAACAACAAAUAAUUGAUCUUGAUCUUACGGUCUUCCUUAUCAUAACUCAUUAGCACGGACUAUUUUAACACAUCAAGCCUACUAAUUUUUUCCCACAAAACAUAGAUCAUUAAUCUCAUGCCACUAUUUUUACCACCACAUUGUACAUUAAAUUCAAGAAUAUAGUCUUGUACCAAUCAUCUAUCACUACUAAAAAAUGCAACAUAACAUGCUAGUUCAUAAAAUUUGGGACAUACUAUACAAGCGCCUCAAAAAUCACUACUUACCUUCUCACAAGUAGUACUAGUUUACAAUAGAAGGUCAAGGGGUAAAGUUACAUAAUAAACAUUAUCAACCUUAAUCUUAUAUUAUAACCCCAUACAAUCUUUUCUACUUAUACGGAUUUCUCUCCGCAUACUUACUUACCCAAACAUACAUUUAGAGUACCUACAAAUUCCACAACAACCAUGAGUCUAUACUUACAACUUACUGGCUAAUAUAGCCAUUUUCAUACUUCAAGCAAUCGAGAAAUCAACCUAACUAACAACUCCCUCUCUAUCUUCUACUAAACUAACACACAAGGACAAAUCACCUUUCUACCAACUCAAUCUUAUGCAAACAGAUUCAGCUAUAUAUAUAUAUAUAUAUAUAUAUAUAUAUAUAUAUAUAUAUAUAUAAAAAAAACAAAAAAAANNNNNNNNNNNNNNNNNNNNNNNNNNNNNNNNNNNNNNNNNNNNNNNNNNNNNNNNNNNNNNNNNNNNNNNNNNNNNNNNNNNNNNNNNNNNNNNNNNNNNNNNNNNNNNNNNNNNNNNNNNNNNNNNNNNNNNNNNNNNNNNNNNNNAAGUCAACUAUGCUAGUGAAUCGAAAGAGCCCCACAGGGCUUCACUAGACUUUAUUUUUUUCAACAACACCUUGAUUACAAGAUUACAUAAGAUAGAAAUUUAAUAUGCAAUAUCCAAUGAACUAGGAAUACACAUCUUUCUCUGUAUAAAUAAAAUUAGAGUCAAACAAUUCCUCCACGGACUACCAUACCUUCCACACAUGCUACUAGUUACCACAUUAGUCUAUCACCAUAAGGGGUAAAUCAUUCUCAAACAUCGUUUAUUCAACUAAAAUAUUCAUUUACAUAAAAGUCACCCUCGCUCUGACUUCUAACUUUGUGACUUCACAUCACCAACUUCUUGGUCUAAUUUCACUACCAAUAGGUCAUGACAACAACACUUUAACGCAUACUACUAUUUAGGUGGAAAUAUAGUUCCAACAUUCUACUACACACCAUCCCACCCCUUAAGCAAGACAUUUGUAACAUAAAUUUGAAGGGGACUAAAUGCAAUUAAUACCUCAAACUGAAAAGCACGAUUCCAUCAGGAUCAAUGUUUACAUCAGAAUCAAUACACAUUGAAGCAAUCAACUAAUUAAUUUCAAUUAAUUAGAAUCAAUUUUAUGAUCAUAAUAUAUAGACUCAAGUUCCUUAAAUUUAAUGUUGUAUGUAAAUUUUAAAAUAUAUUUAUAGCUAAAGUAGUAGUCAAUGUUCGUUGUUUUUUACCAAUAUAUGCAUAUCAAUUACGAAUCUUUCCAUAUAUAUAUUUUUUAUUAAAGUAAUUGUCAGUAUUAACUAAUUUCUAGUUCAAUUUAGUCUAAUUAAUUUGAUAGCAAUAAAAUUAUUAUUAAUAUUAUAUAUUUAUUUACCAUAAAUCUGGCCUAAUUUUAUAGCUUGAUUAUAUUUAAUUAAUCUACAAUUGUAUAAAGGGCUCAAAUACGAAAAUAAUUGAUAUUAAUUACAUGUUUUUAUAGAUUGAUUACAUUAAAUUGAUAUCAAUUACCUUUUUAAUUUUGGAAAGAAUUUUAAAAAGGUAACAAUUAUUUAUUUUUCUAAUUACUAAUUUAGUUUUCAAAUAUUUCUUAUAAAUUUAUAAUUUAAUUAUAGUCAAUUAAUUAUUAUUAUAUUUAUAAUUUGCUAAACACUCAAAUAAGGUAACAAUUUUCUUUUUUCCUAAUUACGGAUUUUCUUAUAUUCAUUCAUUUAUUUGUUUACAAAAAUAGGUCAAACUUAAUUAUUUUGAGGGAUGACACCUUUUUUUAAUAUUUUUUACUCAGAAUGAUUACAAUAUUUUUUUAUAUAAAUUGAUCAGUUACUAUUUAUUAAUUGGUUAUUCUCUUAAAUAAUUUUUUCUUGUAAUAUUUCUUUUAGUCAAUUGUAAUUAAAUCAAUAAUAUUUAUUUUCUUAUAAUACUAUUAUUAAAAACAUUUGAAAUGUAAUUUAUUAAAUAUGAAAUAUGAAAUAAUAUUAAAUAUUUAAAUAAUCAACAAAAUAGUUUUUUGUUAUGAAAUGAUGGUUUUUUGUUGUAAAAAUUCAAAUAGGUAGUUCUCAAUAUGACACUUGUCUUAGUUUUAGGCUAGACUAUCCUCCUUUAUUAUAUAGAUAGAUAAUUUCAACAAAAUUAAUUAGAGUAUUUUCUUAUAAAAUUUUAUAAAAAUAAUAUAAAAUAUGGCAUAUUAAUAAUAUUUGCAUUAAUUAUUCUUCUAUUUUCUUACGCAGUAUUUGAUUCUACGUAUUAAAAAUAACAUUGAAUCAAUGGUGAAAGUGGAGGGACUUCUUUCUUUAUUGGGGUUUUUCUUUUUGGGAAAGCUAACACUUUCUUGACUACCAACCACCCAACACAAAGCUGACACUUCUUGGUAGAUUGGCUAUUUUUUCAUACGGUACUAAUUUAUAUACAUUUUCUUUGAUAUUUGUUAUAUUGUUAGUUUUAUUUUGCAUAUUGUAUUAGUUUAAAUGCAUUUAUCUUUUAUGUUUGGUAUAUUAUUAUGAUCCUAAGCUGGGAGUCUAUCAGAACAUCCUCUCUACUUCACCUGAGUAGUGAUAUGAUCUGCAUACACUAACCUCCCUAGACCUCACUAUGUGGGAAUACACUGGGUGUUGUUGUUGUUGUUGUUCUUUCUUACACAGUAUUUGAUUCAACGUAUUAAAAAUAACAUUUAUUACAUAAUUUUUUUUUUACAUAAUACCCCCACUUUAAGCAUGUUAAUGCAUGCAUUAGAUCCAUUGCAUUACUAAUGUCAUAAAUUUUGAGGUAUUAGUAAUACACACCUCAAUAUACAACAGAGUAUAUAACUAAUUUUUGCAUUAGUUAUACAUAAGAUAAAAAGAUAUAUAUCAAACAAGGGACUACUAAUAGACAUUAAAUUAAUGGAUGCAUUAGUUUUUACGUAAAACAUUCCAUGCUUUAUCACAGAUUUGGUUAUUAUUCCAUGUCUUGAGCUGGGAGUCUAUCAUAAACCACCUUUCUACUUCUCCGGAGGUAGUGAUAUGGACUACGUACAUCUUACCCUCUCCAAACCCCACUAUGUGGAAAUACACUAAAUUUAUUGUUGUUGUUGUUAUUAAUUUUUUAAUACACUCUAUCAAAAGACUCCAUGCUUCUCAUUUAAUAAUACCUUUAGCUCCUCUUUAAUUAUGAUAAUUGCUCUCUGACUCCACCUUGCUUUUUUAAAAUAUACAUAAAUAACAAUGAAUUUAAUUUUGCUCAUUACUCUACUAAUUGUAGUAAUGUUAGGUGAAUUCAUCAACUUAAAAUUAGAGUACAUUCACUUAAGCUACAUGUUAUAGCUAUAGCUCAAAAAAGGAAUUAUACGUUUGACAUAAUACAUAAAUGUGUUUUCAACUUGACAUCAUCAGUAAAUAUUUAUAUAUUUUAAUUUUGAGUGUUGCACAAAUAAAUACUUAGACUAUCAUAUAAAGUUAAAAUAAAGAUAUAUAUGCUAGUCUUGUAUCGCAAUUUGUCAUGCAAAAUGCAUGCAUCUCAUACAAUUUGUCAAGUAAUUAAAGCAUUUGUGUCUAGGAGAGUGCAUCAGUCGGUUCGGUUGGGUAUUACAUAUUAUCGUUAGAUUUAUCGGUUUUCAAUUUUUAAAUAUGUUAAACCAAUAACCAAACUAAUAAAGUAUUUUUUUCGGUUUUUAGUCCUUAACGAUUCGAUUUUUGGUUUAACCGAUAAGAAAAUGCACAUAAAAUAGAAAUAGAAGUAACUAACAUGUAAAAAAUGAAUGUUAGUUGCAAGAAAAAUCCUACAUGAAGUGUUUAAAUUUACAAAAAUCUUCAAGUUUGAACUAAAUAUUGUUAGGAGAAAUUAAGAGUUUAUAUAAUUGAAAUAAUAGGUUUGUUUAUUUGUAGAAAUAAAAGAUAAAUAUAAUAAUAAGUCAUAUAUAUUCUUAUUGGGUUAUCGGUUUACCCAAUAACCCAAUAAGAAAAAAUCGAACCGAAACAAUAACCCAAUAAUUUUUUGUAACACCCCAUACUUUCAGACUUGAACGUAAAUUGUUAUUCUACUUGUACACAUUCCAAAAACCAUAAAUAUAUUGUGAAUAUAGUGUUUUAAUCAACUAUGUGGUGUAUAAAUCUAGUUGAUCAUGAAUUGAGAUCAUAGAGGUCCCCUAACUCAAGGACGAGUUCAAAGCUUUUCCAUCGAUUGAGUUUUAGUAAGUGUCAAAACUUGGGUCAAUUUCAAUCAGUCAUUAAUCUUUGUAUAUAUUGAAUUAGAGUGCCUACUAUAUAUCAAAUAAAAUCCCUUCGAAUUAUCUUUCCAACGAUAUCAAUUUCGCAAAUAUCCAACACUCAAGGAAGAAGUUAUGACUUUGCAAAGUGGAGUAUGUCAUGCAGCAUAAGGUGUGCGACGCACACCCUAACUUAUUCCAUAAGGUGUGCGACGCACAACCUAAUGUGUGAGAUUAAGAGUGCGCUGCACAACCUAUAUUAUGCGAUAAGGUGUUGUCCGCAUACAUUACUACUCAAGUGACUUAAACACUCCAUUUUUGGGGCAAAAUGGUCCUUUUCCCACCCUUAUUUAGCCAUAAACACGAAAUUCAGUCACUAAAUACCCCAAAAUACACCUUCAUUCAUCAAAAUUGCUCAAGAACUCUCCUUAGCAUUUCAAAAUAAAACUCGGGCAACUUAAAAUUCAACCGUGGGUUUUUGAAACUAAUUGCAUAUUUGGAAUCCCUAAAACGUAGGCUUCAAGAAACACCUAUCAUCUUUGCAUAUAGAGGUACGUGGGGUUAUCCUAAAAUCUCAUGGGCCUUUAAAUUCAUGUUUUAAAAUGGGGGUUUUGAAACUACGAAUAUAAUCAUGUUUUGAACUUUUCUAUAAUAUUGAUUUCGUCUUUAGGCCUAUUUCCGAUGUGAUUUGACAUAUUAUAUAUAUAUGCAUGUGUUUUGAAAAGGUGUUAAUUUGAGAGCAUGAAUUAUAUGGAAUCCCUCUCUUGAUGUGAAUUUGUUUUAAAUGUUCAUAUGGUGUAAAUUGUUUGAAAACAUCUUGAAAAGCAUGACAUAAAAUGUUUUGAGAAUUGAUAUGAUUUUGACUUGAAAACGAGAGGGCUAUUUGUGUUGAAACAUGUUGACUAAAAUGGUUGAAUGAGAAGAAUGAUGUGAUAUUGAUGGCUUACAAGUCGGGUAUGACGAUACCCUAUAGAAUAUGAUAUGUGAUUGAAUCAGAUGAAAUUUGAAUGCAUUGAUUUUACAUGAGAUAAGUGGAUGCUCGACGAAGGCAUUUGAGUGUAAGGGCUCAUCAUUGGAAACCGUGUUUGUCGACAUGGGAAUUUGGUAACCUGCUUUGUGAUCUUGCGUACCUGACUUUAUGUCAUUCCCAAGUUGGGAUAUGGUUAGGAGCCCUGCUUUAUGAUCUUGCGCACUACCAUUGGGUCGAGACACCCUGCUGUGUAAUCUUGUGUAUCUUUCCCUCACUUAUACUCUAAUUUCAGCGGCAACCGAGGUUUGACAGUUGGUGUAAAUAUGAUAUGUAGGGUAUUCUACCUAGCUCAACUGUAUUACAUUGUUGUUGAAAACAAUUACAUUACGCCAAUGUGUUUUCAAAUGAUUUGAUAUGAAACUGCUUUAUAAUGGCUCUCAACUAUAUUUUUUUAAAAUGUUAUGUUUUGUUUUGAUAUCUCUGUGUACCAGUACUUUUAUAUUGACCCCCUUCCCUUCCAGGUUUGGAGGCACAGUCUAGCUGUCCAGAAAAUUAGUAGAUUCCUCAGACAGAUUUGUAGAGUCACUUGUGAGCCUUCUAUAUUUCGGAAGGCCUGAUAUCUGGCAGUUUCAUUUAUCAUUUAUUAGUUUUGGAUCUACUGGGGGAAUUGUCCCAGUUUUCAGAGAGAUAUUUAUUUCAACCAUGUAGUAGAGAUUUCGCAGACGUUAUAGAGAUGUCGUGUUGAGAUUGUGGGACAUUAUUCCCAGUUAUUGAUUUCAUAAGAUUCUUGACCAUGUUUUCGUAAUAUUGUUUAUCUUCCGUAUUUCUUUUAUGAUAUGAGUUAUGUGCAUGAUUAUCAGACAAAUAGGGGUGUUUUGGGCCUUCAUGGUUCGGAAUGAUCGUCAUGGCCAGGGCCCCGAUUCGGGUCGCGAAAAACUUUGUAUCAGAGCACGGUUCAUGGUCCCAGGGUGUCUGCAAAAUCAUGUCAGGUAGAGUCUUAUUUAUGGGUGUGUAGCGCGCCACACUUAUAAGCAGGAGGCUACUUAGCGUUUAGGAAUGUCUCUCUUUCUUCAUGUUCCAGUUCGUGCAAUAGAGUCAAAAUGUUCCUCUUUCAUACUGUCAUUCAUGCUAUGGUGUCACCCAUAUGAAGGUAAAUUCAUCCCAAAUUCUUUCCUUACUCAGAUGUUCUCAGACAUGUCCCAUUAUUGGGGUGAUUCAAGUGCAAAAAGCUUAUAAUCUCUAUGAUAUAGUCUUUUUCGAUUAUGUCAUAUAAGAAAAAAAAAUUGUGCAAAGACUCGAGAGGAGUUUGUUGGUGCUUCAAUAUGUGUUGAUUCUGAUGUAAACAUUAAUCCUGAUGGAAUCAUGCUUUCCAGCUUAAGGUAUUAAGUGCAUCUAGUCCCUCCGAAAAAUCUUGAUACAGAUGUGGAUGGUGUAUAGCAGAAUGUUGGAACUGUAUUUCCACCAGAAUAGUAGCAUAAGUUAAAGUGUUGUUGUCAUGACCUAUCGGUAAUGAAAUUAGACCAAGAAGUUAGUGAUGUGAAUUCACAAAGUUAGAAGUCAGAGUGAGGGUGAUUUUUGGUGUAAAUGAAUAUUUCAGUUGAAUAACCGAUAUUUGAGGAUGAUUUACCCCUUUAUAGUGAUAAACUAAUGUGGUAGCUAGUAGCACAUGUGGAUGGUAUGGUAGUCCAUGGGGGAAGUAUUUUACUCAGAUUUUAAUUUAUACAAAGUAAGAUGUGUAUUCUUAGACCAUUAAAUAUUGUGUCAAAUUCCUAUCUCUUGUAAUAUGUAAUCUUCUUAUCAUGGUAUUUUUGAAAAAAAAAAAUUAAAGUAUAGUGAAGCCGUGUGGGGCUCUAUCGAUUCACUAGCAUAGUUGCCUUGUCAUCCAUCUCAUUUUCUUGUUCAAAAUACAAAACCAAAUUCUAGUGAAGCCGUGUGAGGCCUAUUUCGAUUCACUAGCAACUUGUUGUCCAGCUUGUUGUUCUUUUGUUGGUUUAAUAUAUGUAUGGCUGAAUCUGCUUGCAUGAGAUGGAGUUGGUAAAGAGGUAAUUUAUCCUUGUGAGUUAGUUUAGUAUAAGGUAGAGAAGGAGUUGUUAGUCAGGGUGAUUUGUUGGUUGCUUGAAUGUGAAAAAUGGCUAUAUUAGCGAGUAAGUUAUGAUUAUAGACUCAUGGUUGUUUGAGGAAUUUGAAGACAGUCUAAAUGUAUGCUUGAGUAAGUAAGUAUGAGGUGAGAAAUCCUCAUAAGUAGAUAAGAUCGUAUGGGGUUAUAAUAUCAGAUUAAGGUUGAUCAUGUCUAUUAUGUGACCUUACCCCUUGACUUUUUUCUAUGAGAAGGUAUGUAGCAAAUUAUGAGGUAUUUGGAUAGUACUACAUGAUUGGCACAGAUUUUUUGAAGUUUUGCAGGAGUUCUCGAAACUAUUUUCUAAAAAAUUAAGAGAUUUAGCAGCAUACUUCAACAGAACCGUGAAACAAUCACAAAUGCCAGAUAUUAAAAAACUAUAACAAUCGAAACUAACUGCUAGAGCUAUUAAACGCCCAGUGUUGGAACAACUAAUAAUUGACAUCAACCAAUUUCUAGAGGAAUAAGUUCAACAUUAAAAAUCACUUAGAAAAAUGGUAAUUCAUGCUAAUACUAUAAAGAAAUAGCCUACCUAAAUGUUGAGGAAUAUAAAACAACAAAUCAUUCAACACAGCUAUUAUUUUAAGGUACAUUCUAGAACUAUGUGAAUUACUGAGUUUAGAAUAUUGAAAGAGUUGGUCCUUGAAAAUAAUAUCAAUUAUCAUUCUCCAAUGGUCCUUGCAAUCAUGUUACAAAUUCUAGAUCAAUAAAAGCAAAAGAAGCUACUUGCCUAUCUCCGAAGAGAGAUUUGCAGUCCCCCCAUUUCGAUAAUGCAAUAAUUUUCUACAACCACAGCAAACAAAUAGAUUAUGGUUUAAAGGAAAUAUCAUGGGAUCCCAUCCAUUGCAAUGUGAGAGAUUGUAAACUGUUUAAAAUACCUUUGAUGCAUGAAGAAGUUCAUAGAACUCAUCUGCUAGACGUUUACGCUUUUUAGCUUCUUUUUCUUCUUUCUCCCUAGCCCUUUCCAGUAACUCCUCAAAGACAAACUAUGCAGAUGAAAUAUGCACAUUCAAUACUCAAUGACCUGGCAAGCCCUACCGCGUAGAAAUAAUGUUUAGAAAGGAAGUAUGGAAUAAAAUUAAGUAUAAUCCAUGUAUGUCCUCUUACUCCUUCGUUUGGAAGGCAAGGGGAAUAUAAUUUAAGAGUAUUAUUACCAUCUUUUGAAGUAACUCCUCACGUUAUAAUCUUUGAUAAAAUGCUUUACAAAAGUUUUGAGCUAUUGAAAGUAAACUAAAAGCCUUAAGAGACCCAACCAUCUAAGCAUAAUUCUUCGACAAGAUACCCCUUGCAAUUCCCUCUUCCCACAUACAUAGAUUAUACGCCAUGACCAUAAAUAACCUCCAAAAUCCAAAUGAUAUAUGAAGAAUAUCCUCAUUACAAAAAUAGCAAAUGAUUGUUGAUAUCAUCCAGUUAUGCUGUUAAACCAGUUUCGUAGAGUAAAACUCUUAUCCACUAACCGUAAAAAGAGAAAACUACAAGGCAUAGUGCUUUGACUUAAGUAACUUAAGAUAUGUGCGGUAGGUUUAAUAUUAAACACCGUCGUCCAGGAAAUAAAAACUAAGGAAAAUGGUACCAAAACUGAAGAAUUGGAAGCAAAAGCUAACACCAAAUAUUUGAUCAAUGUGGUCCUCGUCUUUAUUCUUGAAGGUUUUAGGCUUACUUGUUAACUGACACACUGCUCUUCUAUUAACUCCAUUACAAGAAGAUCCAAAUUUAAUGUGGGAUAGGUUAUGGUUAAUACUAAAGAAAAAUGCCACUAACCACAGUUGACUACCUAUGAGUUGCCAAUUUAGCAAUCACAAACUGACCAAUUUCCAGUGAAACAUAACAUGGAAGUACUACUAAUGCUUUUGCACUCAAUCCACUCAUCUUAUGCAGGACCUGUCCCAAAGACAAAAAGGGGACAAAUACAUAGAAAUCCAUUUUGUGAAUGGGGUACUUCAAUUUUCACAACAUUCAACUCAACAUUGGUCGAUGUGAAACAGUAUCCAGUGCUUAGCCAUAAUUUGACUUUUAAGUUGGUAUCUGACAUUGGUGGAGAGCUAAUAUACUUGGCGAUUGCAACCUUAAAAUCAUCAAGCGUCCAGGCUGAUGUCAAUCCAAUCUGAAAGUAGAGACGGCUCAGCCAAAAUAUUAGGUACUAAUCGAAGCACAACAGAGGUUAAAAUGGAGAGUGGUGAUUACCUCGGCCAUCCUAACUGAAUCUUUAAUUUGUGACUUGUCAUCAAGAUACUGAAGCAACAUACAAGUAACACAAAUUCAGAAUGCUUAUCAGUAAAAAAAAUAGGAUACCAAAUGGAGCCUUGUCCAUGCAUUUGAGUUCCAUAAAGUCUAUAAAUUACAAGCAGUGUGAUGGGGAUGAAAUUUCUUUCAUGAAUACCAACAUUUCUCCACUUGUUCAAAGUCAUCUACAAUAUCACAAGNNNNNNNNNNNNNNNNNNNNNNNNNNNNNNNNNNNNNNNNNNNNNNNNNNNNNNNNNNNNNNNNNNNNNNNNNNNNNNNNNNNNNNNNNNNNNNAAAAAAGUGAAUAAAUAAAAAUGGAUAGCAUCUCUGUUAACAGCGCUUUCGUUAUAUUUACUUAAUAAGAAUCAUUUAUGCAUACAAACAGUAAUACAAACUUUAAAGAUAGAAGUUGACAUCUUUAUUUUACAAGGGAAAAAGAAAAGAUUUUCAGCAUCGGAGUUUAUGUAUAACUCUCACUAUCCCAUAGCAAGAGCCUAACUCAAGAAAACAUUACCAAAUUCAAUCAUUGAAUAAGAGUACGAACAGGAUCAUUACCAUGCUAGGAUAGCAGGUAAACGCCCUCUUUCAUCAAGAAUGGAGAUAAAUGCUAAUAACAUUUGAUCAUUCAACUUCAAUUCUUUUCAGAAAGGGCAGAGGAUGAAACAAUAUAUCGUUUAGUUAGUCGCAAGUGUGCAUUACGGCGAAAAAAAUCACAGUGAGGGAGAUGCAACUUUAUUUAGAGAAACAAAGAUUCUCUCAGGCACUUUUUCCAAGGCUAAUCUUUUCUAAGCCUUUACUUUCAUUACAUCUCAACUACCUCUUCAGAGGCGAAUUCUGGCACUAAGUUUAUUUAGUCCAAUUUAUAUGGUUGACAACACAAUAUAUUUUGAAUUGGGUUUUAAGUUGCACGAUAUCAUCCGAAGUGAAAUCAAAAUUGGGGUGUGGUACAAAAGGACAAAACAUGGUCGAAACUUGACCAGACAAACUACUUUCAGGUCUCAUUUAUUUGCACUUAUUGGAUUUAUGAACCUGUUCAAACCUCAAACCAUUAAGUGCACUUGUUUUUAUUAGGAUUUUAGCUCUUAAUAGGCCUGAGUAGGUCUUAAUCAUUCAGAUGUGGAACCAAGACUAAAUAUCAUUUACAGAUAUUCUUGGGUAGGAAAAAAUUCACCACCACUCUAUCCACAAUCACCUGUCACCACCACCAACCACUUCCACCAUCACAACCAACAUCACUACCAACUACACUGCUAGCCGCUACCACACCUACCACUUCCAUUAUUCUAAUUAUAUCCACCGCCAACUAGGGGUGUUCACGGUUUGGUUUUUAACCAAACUGAACCGCGAUCCAAACCAAAUUGAUUAAGAAAACCUAUAUUUGGUUAGGUUUGGUUUGGAUUUGAAUUUUAAAAAAUCGAUACUAAUUUGGUUUAGUUUGGUUUGGUUUUACUCUAAAAUAACCAAACCGAACCGAUAUACAUAGAUAUUAUAAUUAUUUAUAUGUUUUUCAUAAAUGUAAUCUAAAUAUUUGUUGCAUUUUAUAUUUUAAUCAUGAUUUAACUUUAGUCGUAACACAUUCAUUCAUAUGUCUUCAUCUAGUUGACAAUACAUUAUGAAAUUCUAAAUGAAUUUCAUAUUUUGAAUGACAAAUGAUACUAAUUGUGAAAAUAAUAUCUUGUUAUAUAUUGAAAUUUACUGCUGAAAUUCAUUAGAUUAUACACAAUCACUAAUUUUAACUUUCUUUUGAACCUUGUUGAGCAAGAAGUUUAUGUGUUCACCUUUUGGGGGUAUAUCAUAUCAUUCUAUUAAAUAUAGUUUUUAAAUAUUUUUCUAAAAGCGUUCAUAUGGUGUUAUCAUGGCUUUGCCGAAGUAUAACACUCAAUUGACAUCAUAGUUUCAAGAUUGAGCUACAACACUCGGUUGACAUCUCAUAUGUUAGAUUGGAUUUGUUUUUUUAAAAUUUUCAACUUUUAUCAUUAACUAAAGUUAUAAACCAAAAAACCCGAAUCAAACCGAACUAAACCAACAAGAACCAAACCGAUGGUUAUUUUUUUUUUUUUGGUUUGGUUUGGUUUUAGAAAUUUAAAAACCAAUUAAGUUGGUUUGGUUAUGGUUUUGACCAAUAACCGACCCAUAUCGACCCAUAAAUACCCCUACCGCCAACGCCGCCACCAUCAACUCCUACCAGUCGACCCCUACUACCAACCAACUCAUCUAUCAGAACUAGCACUACCACUAAUAACCACCAACACAUCAUCAACUUCCACACAUCGCUAACAACCACUAACACAUCAUCAACUUCCACACAUUCUGCGAACACCAUCACCACCACUGUCACCAGCAUCACCACCUCUACCACCACCAUCCGCUACACUCGCUACAGUAUCUAUACUAACAACCAUUCCACCAUCACAGCUAACAGCGUCUCCAACGACCACCAACACAUCAUCAACCAUCAUGCAUACAGUUUUCCGUCACCACGAUCAACACCUCCAACUACUAACAUUAACCAACUUCACAUCACAACCACCACCACCACUACCAAUCGCCAAUAUCAUGAUAGUUACUACAAUGCCAACUAUCUCUACUAUCACAACUAUCAACACCAACGUUGCUAAUCACUAACAUCAAUUAAUUUAUUAGAACAACCACCACCAUUAAAAACCAUCUCCACUAUCACUAACAAACAUAAAUGUUUCUUUUUUUCAUCAAAUAAUAAUAUAAUUGCAUUAAAUUUAAAAAAAUUCUAAUAUAUAAUUAUAUUAUAUUUAGAAAUAAAUAAAUUUUGCACAUUCAGAUAUUGAGAAACACUCAACCUUAAUCAUUUAGUUUUCAGAUCUAGAGACAAUAUCUUAAUCAUUCAGAUGUACAUUCAAAAUUAUUCAAAUAUCUGAAUAUUAAUAAAAACAAAUGCAGUCUUAGCUGAAACACAAUGGUGUGGUUGUGUGAUACUUUAAAGGAGUCCUCGAAAGUCAAAGAAACUACGUGAAAACAUGGAAGUUUGAUGAUCACUUCUCAGAGUUGUUCUGAUCGAGAAACUAUAACAAUUAAGGAAAUAUAACCAUUAACAGCAUUCAAUGGAGGAGAAGUCAAUUACAAUUAUCCGUGAAGUAGAAUUUAAUACAGCUUGACUAUAUUGAAAGAAUCAUCUAUAUCUAUACUACAUUAAAAGCAUGGAACCCCUAACUUAAAAGUUUACGACAAUACCAUUCCUGUCAGCCUAAUUACCUACUAUCUAGUAAAAAAAAAAGAGGAAACUAAUUGGCAUAAAGAGAAACAAUGCAGAUGUUUAAUAGGAACAACCGGUCAUUGUUUUUAUCUGAACAAAAUAUGUGUUAUUUAAAAAAAAAAAAAGCAAGUAGAGGGGUAACUCUCAAAUCUCAAUCUCAUGCUUUUAUCCUACCAAGUAUGUUCUAUUUUUUAAUGCACUACAACAACAACAACAAACCCAGUAUAUUCCCACAUAGUAAUGCACUAACUUCCCUUUUUACCUAAUGAAUUGAACUUUUUAGUGAGAAUCUAAAUGAUUUUCAAACUUUGUUUAACAUCUGAUUCAUUAAGAUGUAUUAACAGGUUGAGUCUUUAAAAAAAACACUUAAUGGGUUGAUAUCUUAACCAUUCAAAUUCAGACCUUCAUUAAGUGAAAGCAAAUGAAAAGGGAUUGUAGUGUAAAGUCUAUAAAUAUGGCUUAGUGUAACAAAUGCAGUUGACACAAUUCAAUACUCCUAUUAGCAACCUAUUUCACCUGUUUCUCCAGCUCAUCCAUAACAUCUGUAAAUAAGUCUUUUGUUGUUGAUCCUGAAGUAUUUGAUGAGACAGCUAGAUAUGCAGCAAAAUCUUUAAUCUACAAACACAAAAUAAAGAAGGAAAUUAUUGGAAAAAAAAUUUAAAAAGACGAAAAGGGAACUCAUGAAGGUAAUCACUUACUGAACACAAGAAAGAAAAACUAACUUUGAUGCAAUAAUCACGCCAGUUAAUUUUUGCAUUAAGUAUUCCCGCAGGAACAUGCUCUUCCAUCAGUUUUUGAAACUCAUCACGAUUUUUACGUUCAGCUUUCCUCAAUUUUUCCUAUAUGAAUCAACAGUGUAUGCCCGGUGAGAAAGAGAUAAAUCAAAGUCUCCAAACAUAAAUUUAAUUUUAACCCCCGAGUCUAACAAGCAAUAUACCAUCCGCCAUUUCCUUUGCUCCUCCUCUUCGCUCUCUAAAUCACGUAUGUAUUCCUAAAACAGAAAAGGUUGCAACAUAACUUUAAAACUGAGGCGUACAAAUGAGAUGUUUGGAGAAAGUUAUUUAUGAUGUAUUAGAAAAAUGAGUAGUACCUGGAAAAUCUCCAAGCGUUCGAUUCUCUCAAGGCGGGAGCAUCUUUCAUCAGUUUCAAAGCAGUCCUGAACUUUCCGCCACUGGCUACUGGCCUGAACAAAAGAAGUCAGCAACAAUAGAACUAUGAAAGUUCUAUCUCCUGGAAAUAGAAAAAAAUAAUCUAGGAACUAAUGCUAAAUCCACUAGAACAAAUACCAUAAUAAAGUCACAAGAUUUUAAAAAUUCUAAGUACUCCACUCUAUUGCACUUCUGCUCCUCUAAUGCCUUCGCAUGCUCCUAAUAAAAUCCAGUACAAAGUAAAAAAAAAAAAAAAUUUCUCUAUAAAGAAGACAAUAUUUAAAAAGUGACUUUGACUACACUUGCAUGAAUGUAUUGAAAAACUUUUUCUAUUUUACGACGGAGGGGGGAGAGGAAGAAGCAUACCAUAGUUUCAAGUUUCAAGAAAAAUUACAUACAAUACAUGGAAGUCUGUUUAAAUUGGAAUUCAAUGGUGAACAAAUUUAAAUGUUAUACCUUUGAGAAGCCAUUAAAAAUGUAUUCAAAGAACACAAGAUUUUAAGUUGAAUAUCUACAACAUUCCUUCUUUCUACUCUUUAAGCAAAACAAAAAAAGGGAACAAACUAAAUGACAUCCUAUAAAGGAAAGGAGUGGAAUGACUGUUGUUAAUCAAGUGGACCAGCGUCUAACUCAACUUUAAAAACUAGGUCAGGUGGUGAAGAUUGUCCAAGAUCAUAUAAGGAAACUACAGUACAUACACCUUACUAGUGUGGGAUUCUCAUACAUUAAUCCCACACCAUGACUAGACAUUUGUAGCAUCAGUUAACCUAGGUUGGCUAACAUCUAAUAGUCUAACAUUAAUAUAGAUCUACCUCUAAUACCAUGUUUAAGAAAUUGGACCUUGUUUCUAUCUCAAAUGAAAGGCUAACUUAAUUUGUGAGGAGCCAAAGACCAUAUAAGGAAACUACAGUCCGCACACUUAGUUUUUAACAUAUAGAAGCUUACAAGAAAGUUCUGCAAAAGGAGCUUCACCUUUUUCUCAAGUUCCUCCACAUAAUCUUCAAAAAGGUCCUCACGGUCUUUAGCUUGCUCAACAGCUUUAAAACGUUCAUCAUGUUCGAAUAUAGAGAUUGCCUUACUGAAUAAUCAAUAGCAAAUAGUUAGUGGAUCAAAUGGAACUUACACAAGUAAUGGAUCAACUUCAAGGUACCAAACACAUACAAACAAUGACCAAGAUUAGAAAACAAGAAGCAGACAACUUAACAUUACAAGUGAAAGACAAACCUCCAUCUUGACGAUGGUGAUAGCUCCUUGCAAUCCUGUAAGAUUGAGAACAACGGACAUUGUUGUGAAAAAUACCACUUAUUCUUUUGAACAGGUCAAAUACCAGUCUCUAACACAUCAUGAAUAUUAUGAUAAUAUCUUUUUAUUUUUGAAACUGGUAAUGUGAAUAUCACGAUAUAUCAAAUGAAAGACACCACAAAAGAAAAUUUCACUUACUUCUAACAUUAUCCUGAAAUCUUCCCAAGCUUUUUUCUGCUUAACACGCCUCUCUUCAGCUUCCAGUGUUUUCUUUUGGCUCAGAUACUGAUACUGGAACAGACACACAACUUCAAAAUGAUCACUAUAGACCUUGGGUGUGUUUGAUAUGAAGGAAAAUGUUUUCCUAGAAAACAAGUUGGUUUCUUACUUGUUUUCUUAUGUUUGGUUGAUGAAAGGAAAACAUUUUUCAGAAAAUGUUUUCUAGUGUUUGGUUGGUGAAUAAAAAAAUAUUUUUCAAAAAAUACAUUUGAGAGUUGUAUAAACAUUUCAACUUAAGAGUGAGAUUGAAAGAGAGUUUUGGAAAAUGUUUUUCCUACUUUUUGAAGGGAAUUAAUUUUCCUUAUAUUUAAGGAAAAUAAGUUGAUUUGGAAAACAUUUUCCAAAAUAUUUAAGUCAACCGAACAUGAAACAAUUGUAUAUCAAACAAAAUCCAUCUUUUUGCAAUACGGUAUGCUGAAACAUUGAAGCAGCAAUUAACCCAUUCCAAUGCCGACAUGGAGAGAUACCUCAUUAAAAGCUUGCUUCCGCUCACAAAGGGAUUUUAGAGCACCAUAUCUCCAGUCAUUAAUUACUGAGCUCAUGCCUUGACAAAUACAAUUCAUGUCAAAUGAUCUCCCUCAAUUGUUUGGUACGCACAAAACAGUCAAGUAAUAAACCUGAUCCCACGUGCAAUCAGACCUAAUAUUUACAGAUUCCGGAAGAGUUUUGAAUGCACUCUUUGCCUCCUAAAUAAAUCAGAUACUUAAAAUAGAAAUAAGAGAAAUUUCGAGAACAUACAUUAAAUGGGACAAAAAGCAAUAAUCAACUAUACCGUUUUGCUCUUAUAAACUAAUGGUCCCAGCUCGACUAUUUUCUCAUCUGAUGGAGUAGCACCUCUAAUUUCAGUUACUGCAGCAUCUUUCUUGACAUUCUGCAUUUUAGGCACAACAUCAAGCGCAAAGGACAAAAGCAAACCUCAUUGGAAUUUCGAGCAUAUUCUUCACCUGUUAGCAGUUGACUAACAACUGCACUACAAAAUUGUUAGAUCAACAUCCAGCAUAACAGCUACGAAAAGCUUUCUUGGUGUUUUAACCAGUAACCAGUAGUAAUUAACUAAUCGCAUAAGUAUUUCAGAAGGACAAAGUACCUCUCCAUUCUUUGAAGAAAAUCCAUCACCAUACACUACUGCAUCUUGAGUUGUAGUAGUCUCAGAACUAUACAAAAAUUGAAUUCCAAAUAAGAAGCAACACAAACCAGAGGAAAAUUUAUAACAUACAAAUCUGAAAACAUACACCGGUGGCGCGACAGAAUUUCCCAAGGUUACUACUAUUCCAAUUUUCUCCGAAUUAGCAACAGCUGGCGAAUCAGGUUCUGAAGAAUUCUUCAUUUCGACAGUUUCAAUCAUUGGAGAAGAAACCUUACCAAAUAAACUUGAUGAUUCUGAAGCCAUAAUAGUUGGUAAGUUAGCAGCUGGUGACACAGCAAUUGGGCUUGAUUUAGCACCGUGUGCCGAGACUAAUGAACCAUCUGCACCCGGGGAUGAUGUUUUAAUAACAGAAAUAGAUCCAAAAUUAGAAGCGUGCGAAAUGGUGUCUUUUCACGAGCCAACUGUGAAUUUAUAAAUAAUUGAACUUUAUGAGAAUAGAGUAUCCAAGAAAACAGAAUAUUGCCCUUUCUUAUCAUGCUAGCAACUGUGAAUGCAUAAAGAUUUUAUGAGAACUAGAGCAUCCAAGAAAACAGAAUAUUUUCCCUUCUUAUCAUGAUAUUUAAAGCACAAAACACGGAAUAUUUUUCCUUCUUAUCAUGCUAUUUAAAGCACAGAACAAUCCCUUCUUAUCAUGCUAUUUAUAGAACGGAACAAACUCAUAUUGGAUAUAAAUAUAACAUCACCUUGACUUCAUCAGGCAUUAACCUUGUUGUAGUAAUACCUACAGAAAACAAACAAAGCAAUCAGCAUUAUGCACAAGUAACACACAAAAGUACCCACUGUAGAAGAACAAUUGGAAAGAGGCCAAGAAAAUAUAUAAGUUACACACUUUCUUCCCUCAGGACUUGUAAAUUCUCUCUAAUGAGUUGAUGCAUUUGUCCUCUGUCCCAAUGAAAAUAGCAUGAAAGUAGGUCAAGUCAAAAAACAGAACAUAAAUAGUACCCUGAGAGUAGAAAUCAGUCACUUCCAGCAGUACAAUACUUGAUGGAAGUGUUAAAAUAUGAAUGAUAUAAUGUCCCACAUGGAAAAGGACUAGAAUGUACUAUGUAGAAUAUAACUACAAGCAGGGUGGAAACAUUGCCAAGCUGCGGCUGAGCUACAGCUAUCCAAGGGUGAUCUUCUGUCGUUUCUGAGUAUUUUUAAUGAACACCCAUGCUACAAAAAACAAGACUGAGUGUGACAGUAAGGGUGUUCAAAUCCUGCACUAAGGUUCUAAGUUCCAUGCUCAACACAGCCCCCCAUAAUUUUUUUUCCAUUUGGACACGUUUGAAACUCAUAAACUACAGUUAUGCUUUUUUUCGAUGAAUCAAUUUCUGAACAUGUGUUUUUUGUCCCAAUUAGCUCUUGCAAAAGAGCUAGUAACUAGCAUGCCAUGUAUAAGAAUUUUGUUUAAAUAAACUUACAGGUAAAUUUAUAAAGUGGUUAUUAUACUAGCUAUCUUGCAUGGGGCAGAGUGUUUGGCUGGUCAAGAGCUCACAUGUUCGAAAGAUAAACGUAGCAGAAAUGAGGAUGUUGAGAUUGGUGUGUGGGCAUACUAGGAGAGAUAGAAUAAGGAACAGAGAUAUGCGAGAAAAAGUGGUAGUGCUCUUUGUGGUGGACAAUUGACAAGAAUACUAGAGGGUUGGGGAUAAAGAACCUAAAAAUUCAACAUAAGGCUCUCAUGAUGAAAUGGUUGUGGAAAUAUGCAAACAAUAACUAGCUGCUAUGGAGGAAAGUGAUUGGGGCUAAACAUCCUGAAGAAGAUAGAUGGAUGACAAAAGAAGUGACCACACCAUAUGGGAUUAGCCUCUAGAGAUCUAUUAGAUCUAUUAGACACUAGUGGAAUGAAGUUAAAAGCAACUCAAAGGUUAAAGUGAUGGAUGGAAACAAGACUAGGUUCUGGAAGGAUAAUUGACAUGAGGAUGGGAAUACGAAAGUGAUUUUUCCAGAUUCUACAACUUGGUAUUGUUUCGAUAGAGGACUAUAGCAGAAUUAUGGACACCACAUGGGUGGAACUUCAAUUUCAGAAGGCAACUUAAUGACCGGGAGGUAAUGAGAGUAGUUGAAUUGUUUAAUACCGUGGACUUAUUCAAUGGACUGCAGACAGUGAAGGACGUACUAUGGUGGAUGGGAAAUGAAAAACGAAUGUUCACUGUCAACAAAGCCUACAAGAUAAUGAACCAAAUAAAUAAAUCACCUGAAUCCAAGAUGGCCAUGGAAGCAAAUAUGGAAAAGUAGGAUACCUCACACAGUGUCGUGCUUUGUCUUUGUCUGGUUACUGACCAAGGAAGUAGUUCUUACACAAGAUAAGGUCAUGAAGAAAGGGAAAACCUUGUGCUCCAGAUGUUUCCCCUGUGGAGAAACUUUAGAGACGGUUAACCAUGUAUUUCUACAUUGUAAGUACACCCAACAACUUUGGAGAAUCGUCUUAAGACUAAAAGGAAUUUCCAUGACAAUGCCUAGGAAAGUAUCCGAGACUUUAAUGUGCUGGGAGAAGUAGGUAUACAUGCGAAGGACAAAAGUAGAUGGAGAAUUAUCCCUGGUGCUACAUGGUGGGCUAUAUGGAAAGAAAGGAAUUCUAGAUGUUUUGAGAGCAUAGAGAAUAGUGUGUAGAAGGUUAAACUCAACUAUAUUUUGCUUUUAUGUUUUUGGUGUAAUCAACUAUACUCUAAUGAUACUGCCUCGAUAAUUGAUGUUCUAGACUAAAUUUAGAUAUAGAACAGUCGAUUUAGGAGUACUCUUGUAUAUAAAGGUUUCAGUACAACCCAUGUACUGUGUGAUAUAAUACAAAGUUACCAAGUUCAAAAAAAAAAAAGAUAAUAAUUUUUAAAGUACUAAAAGUUUAUAAAAUAACAAAUAAAGCAAUUAAAUCUGAGUUCAAAUUGGGUGGGUUGGGUUAUGACCCGCAUUUUAGAGCAUUUCAAUCCAACCCAUUUCAGUCCAAGUAGCUUUAGGGUGGGUUAAUAACCCACCCAUUUAUUAACUCAGACCUCUUUGAUCCAGCCAACCCCGCCCAUUUGACACCUUUAGUUUAAUAGAAGUAAAGUGGAGCAUGCUAGAACACAUACCAGAUCUAUUGAGUUGAAGUAAAGUGGACUAUCAAAGGACACACAACAAUCUGUUGAGCUGUUGGAUUAGAGGGGAUUAGCAAGAGUUAGAAGAAAUGGGGGAGAACAAUCCUUCCUUAUAUUUGGUGGACUGUAUGGAGCAAGAAAAUUUGAAGGUAUUUUGAAGAUAAAUAUAAUUCAAUUCAGAAAGUUAAAUGGAAUAGCAUUGUAGAUUUUUGUUUUUUGUUUAAGGGACAAUGUGUAUAGGAUACCUAACAGGUAGUAGAUCUCUUCAAAUCCUCGCAUUAUUUUCAUUAUUUUUCAUUUCUUUUGGACUGCUAGCAUAACCUUAACGCUAACUUAUACAAAGUAAUAUCUCCAAAAAAAAACUGUUUAUCUCAAAAAGAAAAGAAUAAAAAUGCUCAAACUUCCUUACAACUCCAGUUGUUGGUUCCUUAAUACUUGUCCCUCACAACCAACCAAACUUUCUUUGAUAACCGUCGUGUUUGGGCCAGCUUGCACCUUGACUAGUUACACCAGGUACUGCUACCUCCCACCAGCACAGAUACUGGGUAACUCUGUCGAUCAAGGCUUGGACAGAUGGUAAGAAAUCACCUAGUGUUUUUAUCUCUGUUGGAAAUUAAACCUGAGACCUCAUGGUUCUCAAUCUACUUCAUUAACCAUUAGGUCACACUCUUGGGUGCAAGUGUGCAACUAGCAAAAUUAUUAUUCUAUAAACUAGAAUGAGAAGUGUGGACCACAAUAUUAUAUCAAGUUUCCUCUCUCCAUAUCGCCAUAGAGUUACAAUAACAUUACAUCAAUCAGGAAGUAAAUAAAAUUAUUUAAAAUAGACCAAAUAUAAUCCUUCCGUGUAUGCUUAAACACAUUUUUUCAGAACAAUAGUGUUAAAUAUAAAAUAUUUUAGAACUAUAUUGGAAAUAAAAGGUCAAUGUAAAUCCCAAAUGAAGCCUACAUAGUAUAGUAAGAUCAAGGAAAUCUGCUCGCUAAACAAACAUUCAACAGAAAUCACAUAUACUUAGGAAAGAAAAAGUGGUUCUACGAAGCUUCAUAGAAAAAGAAUUGUGUACUUCUUUUUUCAUUGAUAAGCACAGGAAACUGGAUAAAACUACCCAUAAAAAUCUCGAUGAAACGAGACCUCACCUCCAUUUCUGUCAUCAGCUCUCAAGGUUUCUCCCAGGUAGAGAUUCUUGUUCUUCUAUUAUAAUAGUAUCUAAAAAUCAAUUAAAGAAUUGUAAGAAUGUUAUUAAUUGGUUGGAGUAAUAAAGCCAUAGGAAAUAUGACAACAUUAGCAACCAUAAUUGGCUUACUGUUCAUCAAAAGAUGCUGAAAGUAGCAAUACCUACUAGCAUUUAGCCACAUGUAAAAUAUGUAUGAUGAUAGAUAAAUAGGGUCAAAAUGAAGUUAUCGGUAGAGGUGUAUCAAGUUCUGCCGAUGAACAGUCAGGUAAAAUUUGGUAGCGGUGAACGGCAGCCCAUAUGAUUACUUUGACAAAGAGGACUGAAACAAAGGGGCCUUUUAUCUCCAGUGCUAAUGGAAGCAGAAUGAUGUACAAAGCACUAGAUGUGGAUACUUGAGGGAUUUCUUGGCAGUGAUGGGGGCCAACAUAUCCACCACUUGUUCAUAGACAAGACAUUAAGUGUUUCUGAUGCAGACAUUAAACUAUUCAUAUAAGUAACCUAUGUGAAUAUAAUCCAAAAGAAAGAAUUACGGAAAGCCAAAUCGGCAUGCUCUUUUUUCUGUCUGGAGAACACAAAGUGGUAAAAAGAUUGGAUCUGAAUGAAAAUGAUAUUUUUACAGAGCUUCUUUUCUUGUGUACCGCGGUUUUACACCUUUUUUGUUCACUGGAAUCUUAAUUUUCUUACUAAAAACUAUCAUAGAAUUCAAAUGUUGACUCUCUCAGUCAACACACACCCAUUAACUUAAGCAUGUUACUUGUUGACAAUAUUUAUGCAAAACGGGUACAAUAAAACACAUUGAAUUCUCACCAGAACAACCAAGGGAGCUGCUAAUUCUCCAGUCUUCUGCACAAUUGUCUCAGAAUUCACAUUAUGAUUACUUAUUGGCAUCCAGGGUUGUACCCCUGAUGGAAACCUAUGAUCAUUUAUCUGUGUCUGAUACUGGAAGCUAGAAGAAUCUGCAUUUACCUGCUGUUAAAGACGAUAACAAAAUGUAUUUCAUCAAUAUAUGAAUGGAACAUCGGAAACCAAUUGACAAUAACCACAAAAGAUCUUCCCAAGGCCUUACAUUAUAUGAAGAAGAAAGAGGUAAAUUUGGGUCACCAGAACCAGGCAUGUGGUUAUUUAACAUCGGAAGAUUUCCCUGAAAAUCAUGGGGAGUAGGUGGUCCCUGAGGCAUACUAUGCAUUCCUACUACAGGUCUACCAGUAACCUGUUGCAUAGGUUGAGGAAAUUGGAUUUGAGAAGGUUGAGACAUCGCAACAUUUGCAUGUCCAAGUGGAAAAAAUUGUUGAGAUGACUCGGAACCAUAAGGUUGUGCCUGCUGGGAUGGAAGCAUAGGCUGGAAUUGCUAAAGAUGUGGGGAAAAUAGUUAUCAUAAUGUCUCUGCAUUCAAAAGUCAUUUAUUCCUCCCCCAAGCCUCCACAACUUUACCUGCAGUGACAUGGAUGGAAUUGCACCAGGAGCAGGACCAGCCAGAGGAGGUAUAAGAGGCUUCUCAACCAAUAUCCAUGCAAGGAAGAACAGAUGAAAUCAGAAUAUAGCUACUUUUCAAUCAUAUUUAGAAAGCUUGAAUCCAUGCGCAACUCCCUAAAUUAAUUUGAAGGACAAGGCAGAAUUUUGAAGCCAAACCACAUAGUAACAUGAAACCCUUUUCUUCAUCUAAUAAAUAGAAAGCUUGAAAUGAGAAUAAAGAGAGAUAACAAAUAGAUGACCUAUCACAGCGUUAGACGAGAAUGGACAAAAUGAUAAGCAUCUUUACCUUAUGGCUUGGGUUCAACAGCUACUGAUGGCCUAAGUAUCUUUUCUUCGGGUGUAAAGAAGCACGUCUGUUAAUGCAAAGCUAUGAUCAUGGAACUGAAACGUGAGGUAUGAGUAGGUAUUAGGAUAACCGAAAAAUACUUAGACCGGAAUAGGUUGAGCCUCACUCUUCCCUUCUAAUGUUCUAUGUCAUACUGACAUCACUACUAGAAUCUGAAAGACUGACUUGGUUAUUCUCUCUGUCAUCUCCCCCUUAGCUUCAAGCCAUCAAAUUAAGUUUGGGAGAUCCCUUACUAGACUCUAAACUAAAGUACACUCACUGCACUCUGGGUCUGGAAAACUAUUAUACACACAUAUCAUGGAACUUAACCUGAAUGAAUACACCUGAAAGUGGAAAACCCACUGUUAAUACUACCUUCUGAGAUACACUUUAUCAUUCUAUAGACCCAGUAGUCAUCAUAUAAUACUUGCAUACUUACUAACUUCAGGUCUUCAUGGGUAUCCCCAUAGUCAGAGUGCACAGCCUCUAGUGCUUUAACUCUUAUUUCUAUUAGUUCAACCUUUAAAAACUCAAACUUAGAAUCUAGCACUCAACAUGGAUAUCACCAAGCCUUUAAUGAAUCAUACCACUUCCGACACAGACUACCAAUAUCGCGACUCCAAACUUGCAUCUCUCUACUAUGAGAAUCAAGAUCAUAUAAAAAGGCUUAACACUAUCAAUCAAAUCUCCUUAACUUGGAUAUUUAGAAAACCAUAUACCAUCUAACUAGUCUUUCUCCACCUAGCAACUCAACGGUACCACUCGUCACACAAAACGUGUAAUAGUCUUAGAAAAUACCGCAACCCCUUACGCAUGAUUCUCACUUGGAUACCAUGAAAUAGACAUCAAGAAACACUAGUACACUAGAACUUCCAAACAACAAAUAAUUGAUCUUGACCUUACGGUCUUCCUUAUCAUAACUCAUUAGCACGUACUAUUUUAACACAUCAAGCCUACUAAUUUUUUCCCACAAAAUAUACAUCAUUACUCUCAUGCCACUAUUUUUAUCACCACAUUCUACAUUAAAUUUAAGCAUAUAGUCCUGUACCAAUCAUCUAUCACUAUUGAAAAAUGCAACAUAAUAUGCUAGUCCAUAAAAUUUGGGACAUACUAUACAAGCGCCUCAAAAAUCACUACUUACCUUCUCACAAGUAAUACUAGUUUACAAUUACCGACGAAAAGAAGGUCAAGGGGUAAAGUUGCAUAAUAGACAUGAUCAACCUUAAUCUUAUAUUAUAACCCCAUACAAUCUUUUCUACUUAUACGGAUUUCUCACCUCAUACUUACUUACCCAAACAUACAUUUAGACUACCUUCAAAUUCCACAAACAACCAUGAGUCUAUACUUACAACUUACUGGCUAAUAUAGCCAUUUUCACACUUUAAGCAAUCGAGAAAUCACCCUAACUAACAACUCCUUCUCUACCUUCUACUAAACUAACACACAAGGACAAAUCACCUCUUUCAAUCUCAUGCAAACUGAUUCAGCUAUAUAUAUAUAUAUAUAUAUAUAUAUUAAACUAACACAAGAACAACAAGUUGGACAACAAGUUGCUAGUGAAUCGAAAUAGGCCUCACACGGCUUCACUAGACUUUACUUUUGUAUUUUUAACAAGAAAAUGAGAUGAAUGACAAGUCAACUAUGCUAGUGAAUCGAAAGAUCCCCACAGGGCAAGAUUAAUACGCAAUAUCCAAUGAACUAAGAAUACACAUCUUACUCUGUAUAAAUAAAAUAGAGUCAAACACUUCCUCCACGGACUACCAUACCAUCCACACAUGCUACUAGUUACCAUAUUAGUCUAUCACCAUAAGGGGGUAAAUCAUUCUCGAACAUCGGUUAUUCAACUAAAAUAUUCAUUUACACAAAAGUCACCCUCGCUCUGACUUCUAACUUUGUGACUUCACAUCACCAACUUCUUGGCCAAAUUUCACUACCAAUAGGUCCUGAUAACAACACUUUAACGCAUACUACUAUUCAGGUGGAAAUAUAGUUCCAACAUUCUACUACACAUCAUCCCCCCUUAAUCAAGACAUUUGUAAUAUAAAUUUGAAGGGGACUAAAUGCAAUUAAUACCUCAAGCCGAAAAGCACGAUUCCACCAGGAUCAAUGUUUACAUCGGAAUCAAUACACAUUAAAGUACUAACGAACUCUUCUCAAGUCCUUGCACAGAUUUUAACUCUUAUAUGGUUCAAUUAGAAAGGAACAUACCAUUUAGAUUCUAAACUUCUGCACUUGAAUCACCUCAAUAAUGAGACAUAUCUGAGGACAUUAGAGUAAGGAAAGAAUUUGGGAUGACUUUUUUUUUACUUUCGUAUGGGCGACACCAUAGCACGAAUUAGAGUAUGAAAGAGGAACAUUCUGACUCUAUUGCAUGAAGUAGAACAUGAAGAAAGAGAGACAUUCCUAAACGCCUAGUAUCCUCCUACUUAUGAGUAUGGCGUGCUACACACCCAUAAAUAAGACUCUACCCGAUGCAAUUUCACAGACACCCUAGGCCCAUGAACUGUGCUUUGAUACCAAGUUUGUCAUGACCUGAACUGGGGCUCUGACCGUGACGAGCAUUCCGAACCAUGAAGGCCCGAAACACCCCUAUCUAUCUGGCAAUCAUGCACAUAAUUCAUAUGAUAAUAAGAUAUGUAGAAGAUACACAAUAUUAUGAAAAACAUGGUCAUAAAUCAAAUGAAAUCAACAAAGGGGAAAUGAUGUCCCACAACAUAUAUCGACAUCUGAACAAUCGUCUAUGAAAUCUCUAAAACAUGACUGAAAUAAAUUACUGUCUGAAAACUGGGACAAGGCCCCCAGUAGACCCAAAACUACUAAAUGAUAAAUGAAUUGACAGACAUCAGGCCUUCCAAAAUAUAGAAGUCUCACCACUUGAUUCUGCAAAUCUGUCGGAAGAGAUCUACUGGUUAUUUGGACCCCUAAACUAUGCCUCCAAACCUGGGAGGGAAAGUGUUCAAUACAAAAGUACUAGUACGCAGAGAAACCAAAAACAAAAUAUAAUGUUUUUUCCAAAUAUAGGUGAGAGCUAUUAUAAAGCAGUUCCAUAUCAAAUCAUUUGAAAACACAUGGGCAUAAGUUAGGGUGUGCGUCGCACACCUUAUGGCAUAAGUUAGGGUGUGCGUCGCACACCUUAUGCUGUACGACAUACUCCACUUUGUAAAGCCAUAACUUCUUCCUCGGGUGUCGGAAUUUCGCAAAAUUGGUAUCGUUGGAAAGAUAAUUUGAAUACCUUUCAUUUGAUAUAUAGUAGGCACUGUAAUUCAAUAUAUACAAAGAUUAAUGGUCGAUUGAAGUUAACCUAAGUUUCAACGUUCACUAAAAUUCGAACGAUAGGAAAACUUUCAACUUGUCCUUGAGCUUGGGGACCUUUAUGAUCUCAAUUCAUGCUAAAAUAGGUUUCUACACUACAUAAUUUAUUAACACACUAAACUUGCAUUGGAUUUAUGGCUUUUGGAACCUUUACGUGAAGAAAAUGACGAUUUUCGUUCUCGUCCGAAAUGCGGGGUGUUACAAAAUUUUGUUAGAAAAUGGAAAAUACAACAAUAUGGAGGACAUUUUAGCUGCACCGUACUCCCAAUAUACACCGUCCUCCUAAUACACUAAACUGAACAUUAAAAGUACUAAUGCAUUUCUUACCUGCACCGUACUCCAAAUACACUAAACUGAACAUUAAAAGUACUAAUGCAUUUCUUACCUGUUGGUGUGUAGCAUUCAAAAGUUUUAUUGUCUUUUGUCGGAAGAUAGCCACAACGACGGUUUCAAGAAUGAAGAUUAAACUUAAAAGAUGCCAUGCUCGCUCUGGAGUUCCUGCUACAUGAUACAACAUGACUCUACAAUGUUGAAGCCACUUUCCUAAUCCUUGGAGUCUAAGUUCUUACGAGAAUGAAAUAUGAUUAGGUAACACAUCCUCAACAUUAUUUGAAUUAGUGACAGGAGGGUUACUGUCGCGAUGUUCUCGAUCAGCGUCCAAACUACUUCUCUGCAACAAGGCUAGAAUCUUUGGGUCUAAUCCAUUCUCCUUCAGCAUCACUGCAAAAUUAGGAUCAAGCCCUUUAUCUUGCAAUAAAUUAGCUAAUUCACGAUCAGUGUGUCUUCCUUUCUGCUUUAAUAUAGAUGUAAUCCUGGGAUCACUCAACUUUUCUUGAAAUGCUAGUGCCAAAUUCAAGUCGAGUAUCUGUUGGUUUGCAGAAGUGGAUUUACUAGAAUCACCACCUUGGCUUUCAAGUCCACUGCUAGAACAAACAACCAAUGAAAUAUUAUGCUCUAAAUUUCUAUCAACAUAUGAGGAUCCUACUUCAGGCUCUUGAACAACUGAACGACAGGAACUACUACGUAGAGCUAGACUUGGUCUUCCACUGUCUAUGCUCUUAUCACUAUUAAUCCCCUCAAUGUUAUUCCAGGUACUGCCAUCACCAGUGCAAGGCAUAGUUGCAUUACCAAGAUGACCAGCAUCAGCACUUCUAAUGCGUUUGACACUUGAGCCACACCCCUCAGAAGAGCUUACGGAGCUAUUUUGGUCUUUUCUGCGGAAACCUUCUCUACGGCGGAUAACUAUACUCUGCAAGGCAUCUUGUUAGCUGCUAAUGGGUCUGUAACUGAUAAAUGCUGUGAAACAGCAGCACCCAACAGCACAGAUGCUACAACUACAUAACUGAUACAACAAAAUUGUUGCAAUAAAAGAUUAGAAUAUUUUUUUUUGAUAACAAAAGAUUAGAAGUUUCUAUUCAACAAAUAAUAUUAAAAGGGAUGCAUAUGCCACAAGUAUAAGAAGAUUUGAUUAUGGAAGAAAAUGAAUUAGCAUAGGUUAACAACAAACCAGUAAUGAACUCCAAAACAGACCAGGAACACCCGAGAUGUUCCGACAACAAUAAGUAUGAUGACUCAGCUUUUCAAAAGCUUAAAACCAUACAAGAAAGCUUCCAAGUUCCAAUCUAAUUGAAUGAAAAGAUAGUGAAUUCAUUACUUACCACAAAGAAAUAAGAAAUUAUUUCACAAUACGAGUCAGAAAAGGAGACAGAUAUAUGUAGGAAAUUAACUACCAAGGAUUAUCAUGGCAGCUGAUGUUGUAGCCCCAAGCCAGUUUGAUUCCUUUGUUGUCAGACCAUACAGGAUCGAAUACACAAGAAGUACUACAAGUGAACCAAUAUAUAGAAGUCCAAGAUUGAGAGCCCUGCAGAGCCCAAGUUCAAAGUGAAGAAGAGUAAAUUAUAGACUUCAGAGAAAAUGUUGAAAAGAUAGUGCAGAAAAUAUGAUGAGCAGUAUAAAUGAGAACCCACUGAACACAUAAUAUAACAAGGUGACUUUAUAAUCUAAAGCAGAAUUUAAAUUAAUUUGCUUAGCAGUGAGAUUUUAAGAUCUACUGUUUUUACUGGACUACUGGAGAGUGUGUUUUGUUCUCUCAGAGUUAGUAUUCCUUUUAUUCAAAUAGAUUUGAGUUACACCCAUUGUUUAGCGUUCUUUGGCUCUUAAUUUUAAAAGUCUGUUAGUUGAGAACAUUUUGGCCUAUCUUCAUAUCUUCCAUAUCUUAUAAAAAAAAUUAUGUUCCAUCCAGAAAAAGAGUUGUCAUAUUAGUCAUCCCUGUCCUUUAUAUAGAGCUCUUCCCAUCUUUGUUCAAAUCCCUAGCCAACAAGAAUGAUGUCCCCUUCAAAAAGUAUUACAUCUUACUCUGUCUUUCUAUUGCCUAUAAACAGUCUAGCACAUCAAUGAUGUCUUCUGCUAGAGCUAAUCAUCAUGUUUACACCAAAAAUAAAGAAGUGCUAAACUAUUCAAGUUGAUCUUCUGGACAUCCUCAAAACAACCCUUGUUUCUUUCUGUCCAAACUGUCCACCAUAUACAUGUUGAACAAUUUUCCAUCUCUCCUCCUUUAUUACAUUUACAUCCCCAUUCAUGCUGCUUAGUACUUUUUUAAUGCCACUAGGUUCUACCCACCUGAUCCCCUUCAGGUUGAAAACAUUCUCUACAGUUGCUCUGUCCGUUUCCAAUGUAAGAAAGAUGGUUGAUUAUGUAAAGAAAGGAUCUUGGGCCUAACUCAACCCUAAAAGCUAGCACAUGAGGGGAGGAUUGCUCAAGUCCAUAUAAUAAGACCGACAGUUAACUCCCCAACAAUGUAGGACUUUCACCUACUCUAACACCACCUUCACGCCCAGGCCCAAUAAGAGCGUGGUACGAGAGCUCAAACGUGGAUGGACCUGUUGUUUGAGAAGGAAUAUUAACUGCUGUUUGUAUGCAAGAGAGAAUAGAUAAGAUGUUUUUACUGAAUACAUUGGGUCUAUCAGCACAUACAGGUUCAUGCAUUAUGCCAUUAGGUUUUGCAGCAGUUCCAAUAUUUUCAGCAGCACCACAAGUUGAAUUUUGAUGCACUGCAGUAAGGAAAGAAAACUUAAACAUUAACUUGAGACAACAACACAAGCUUCUCAAAUGCAGGUUCUAGCAAGAACAAAGAUAACAAGCAAAUAGAAGGCAAUGAAGAUAAGGAUAAGUCUAGAUGAGCUUGGGGACAGGCUCCAAACUGAACACAGUGCUCGUUAUUCUUGUUGUAGAUAAGAUCAGACAACUUAUUAUUUUGACGUUAAGAGUUUCUUGUAGAGGAUGCUGAAUCCAUUUUGCAACUUUGGAGGCCUUGUAAAGCACAGAGAGGCUCAUUUUUGUAAAGAAAAUACUGCCCACAUAGUAUCUAUGCUAUCAUUUUUAAAAAAAUAUGGUGCUUGCUGGUUUUACCAAUAUCUUGUAUGCUUGUACCUUCCAAUGCAACCUCCCGGCGAAAAAACUAACCACCAAUAGGCAUCUUUUAGCAUAGAAGAUUCUAAGACUGUCUUACUAGGAAUUAGGUAAGUACAAGUUCUUGAAGGGAAAUUGUUUGCAUCAUUGAAGAUCAGAAAGCCAGGUAUAUAGGAGAUUAGACAUUUUAAAGAAAAAAUAACAGGUUUAAUAUCAGGAAAGACAUCAAAAACUCUUAUUUACAUAUAAAUGAUGGAUCCCAAAUAACUUCAGAAGUUACACACAAAAGGAAAAUGGUACAGAAACCAAUUCCACCUUCAUAAUAACUAUGUCUGCUUGAUGUAAGCAUAAACAUUAUCAAGAAAGACAUCAAAGACUCUCAUUGACAUAUAAAUAAUGGAACACAAAUAACUUCAGAAGUUACACGCAAAAGGAAAAUGGUACAGAAACCAAUUCCACCUUCAUAAUAAUUGUGUCUGCUUGAUAUAAGUAUAAACAUAAAGAACAUACUGACAUACCAAAAAAUUAUCAAAAUGUUCUACAAUGUAGUGCUAAUUUUUUUUGUUUUUUGAAAUUAAACGCAGUGUAUAGUUUAAAAAUGUGCAAACAACAUUUAAUGUGGCACGUGAAGCAUCAGGUACUGGAAGGAAAAUUUAAAACAUGGUGGAGGCAAAUGAAUCAAAUAUACUAAGACAAAGAAGGCAUUUGAUUGCAGAUCAAAUGGAAGAGUCUGCCAACCGACCAGAUUUAGGAGCAGCUCUGGUCCAUGCACCAUUUUGAGGUAAAUUUAUAUGGUUAAAAAUUUGGAUGUUACUUAAUAUAUGCACAAACUGAACAUGAACUGCCCGGUUAGACAAGUGCUUUUUGUAGCUACCCAGUGACAACCUUAGUGAAAGAAUACAUCAAUGAGAAGUUAACUCAGUAAGCUUAAUGAGCUUUCCCCUGUAAGGAAUGAAAGUGUGGAUGACCCGACAUCAAAUAUACGAUUGUUAUUAUACACACAAUCUCUAUACAAUAGCAACAACAUACCCGAUGUAUAUUCGGGCAGAAUAUAUGGAAACCAUACCUCUACCUCAAAGACGAGAAGAAAACGGUAGCACCAAUCCUCACUAAAUACUUCAUAAGAUAAAAAAACAGCCAAUACUUACAAAACCAAAUGAAGCAAAAGAAGUUCAUUUUCUUGAUCACCAGCAAGUAAAAGAAAUGUUUACAAUUGGAGAUUUAAAAAGGUUGCAAAAGAAAGAAGCAAACUUUCUAUUUAACAAGUGUCAAAGUGGGGAAAGAAUAAGAGUAAAACCAAUAAGUAUACGAGAAGUCUGAACACUAUAGUCAAUGAACAAAAUAUGAAUUGUAGUUUGGAAAUUUAGUAUCCAUCACUCCAACAGAGAAUCAGGACUUGCAAGAAGGUUGAAAGGUUUGCCUAUCGAGUUUUUCAAGAUUGUGAUUUGACCCUUUUUCAUAAGAAAGUCUUCAUCGAGGGUGUCUACCUUUCUUUUCAACAUGUUGAUCUCAUAAUUCAACAACAUGUUCAUCUCACUGUAGCUCUUAACUUCCUCCCACAUGAAAUCCCUCUCCUGAAAUACUUUUGGUAGUAUCGCCUUUACAACGCAAAGUUCCUUCAUGCAUUCUUGCAAAUCAUUGGUGAGCUAGUUGAUAUUUUCAUCCCUUUUUAGCACCUGUGAGAAUCAACCGUAAACCAUGAAAAACAAAAAAGACACAAAGAUCACCAAUAACAUUUCAUCAGAAAUUCAAAACAAACUCAUAGCCUAGAAGUUCAACCAAAUCAUGAAUCCUUUUUAACUAUUAAAAUUCAUAGUAGAUAACUCCUGAGCUUGUCCAAGAAUUAAGUAAGAUGAACGAGCAAAGUUACCAAAACCCCUUCGGGUAACUUUACCACAUCAGAGCAUAAUCAGAUCAAUGGAUUUGACGAUAUCACAAAGUUUAUCAUGUUCUUGGUUGGUUCAAGUGAUGACACAUUAAGGCGAUCAGAAAUUUCACAGAAGACUACCACAUGCCAGCAACUCAUGUAUACAAGUUCAUAAAGAAAUCUGUGAACUUUAGAUGGAACAAAGAUGAACCUAAAAUCAAAUAGAAGUAGAAAGCUAAUGCAGAGAGAGUAACAUGCGAACAGGCUAUCAUAUAUGAAGACAGGGUAUCCAAAGUUGAAAAAUAAAAACUAUUCAGUUGCAACGAGAUAUUAACAUUGCCUGCUUACCUGAAGUUUGAGAUAUUUCAACUUGGGUGUGGCAUAAGAAAGAGCAUCCAGUUUAUUUUGCACUUAACAUUGGAGAAUGUCGUUACCUCUAACUGUUAUGGCUAGAUUAGCCUGAAGUUGCUUUAUGUCCAUCUCCUCGGAAUAGAGCUUCUCCCUUAGCACAGUUGUCAGCAAAGUCUCUGAUUUAAGCCCUUUAACCUUUUCCUGGUAGUUUUCUCAGACAUAAUCUCUAUUGUCUUGAGAUACUCGAUAUUCCACUUGUAACUAAGUGAGAUGCUGCCGUAGAUUUUAAUUCUCCUCUGACACUUGCUCUAUUCUCUUAGACAAAUCUUCAAGGUGUUUCUCCGAAAAUGAUAUCUUGAUUCUAUUAUCUACUUCCUUCUCAUUAAAUGAAGAGACUUCCCUUUGUAGAGACACAUUCUGCUCUGCAAGCUCCCUCGCCCUUUCACGGGUCUAUGUUGUUCAAUUUGGUAUUUCUCAAGUUUUAGAGACCAAUUGUUGGAUCUUCUAUCCAACUUCUUUUCCAAUACUGAUUUUAACUCAUUCUUUUCUGUCUCCAAUCUUCGUGUCCGUGAAUCUAGUUCUGCCUGUAAUAUGCUGGCUUCUUGCUUAGCAGAAGCCCUUUCAGCAACUUGAUUCCAUAGCAUGCUUGAAACUUCAGAAGCCAUUUGUACCUUCUCCUUUGUCAAUCUUGUAAUAGUCCGAAUCAAUAAUGGAACGCUAAGGUCUCUGCCAUGAAGAAACAUUUGUUAUUACUUUGGACAAGCAAAUGCAAAUUAAAACAUCAGUUUAAGUGUGAAAAAGGAAGCUAAAGCAAAAUGAUAUGCAUACCGGCUUGAAUCACGACUAGAUUUCUUAGGAUGAACUUUCUUACUGUGACCAUGGGGAGAUUUGCUCAGAUCCAUGAAAUUCUUUUUUCCUAACCCACUGUCAUAGAAGGAUUCGGAUGAUAAUGAAACACUCCUCCAAGAAGAAACUUCCUUGGACUUUAAUGGUGGUGAAGGGGUCUUGUUUUCAUCAUUAGUUGAUGAUCGAAAAAAGAAGAAGUUGUUCUUCAUCAUCUCUAUGUAUGGAGACUGUACAUGAAUCAAACUAGUGUCCAUGAGAUUUCAAAGGGCAAAGCAAAACACUCAUAAAUAGCCACUCACAAAUCAUUAUCCAUUCAUGAAAAUACUGCAAGCUAACUAAAUACUUAUGAGACAAAGCAAAACAUCUCUCUUUCUACAUGCUUCUUCUUCAACAACAACAUACGUAACCCCUACCUUGGCAAGUAGAAAAUUUGUUUCUCAUAAAUCCUCGGCAAGGAAAGCAAAANNNNNNNNNNNNNNNNNNNNNNNNNNNNNNNNNNNNNNNNNNNNNNNNNNNNNNNNNNNNNAUACAACAAGUAGAAAAGAAAAAUAUAUACUAAUACUACUACCAGAAGAGAUAUGACGUGAAACUAUUUACUAAUAGUCUUCUACUGAAAAUUAAUAAAAUACCCCAUAAACAAAUAGCACAAGAACAAUUCAAAGAACUUAUCAAAUCCUUCUGAUAAAACAAAUAAUCAUGGUAAAUAAUCAAAAAAUAAGAGAAAUUACUGAAUCAAAGAGUUGAAAGAGUAAGAGCCGGCAAAAUGUUGUCAUAAUUUGUACGAUUCUUGUCAUUUUUUCUUGAAAUGUAAAAAUAGCAAAAGACUAGAAUUCUGUGUCUUUCAUUCAUCAUCGUACAAUGCAUAUAUACAACUAACAAGGAUCUGUAAAUUUCAAGUAAUAUUUACAAGGAUCUGUAAAAUUCAAGUAAAUAUUUACAAGGAUCUGUAUAUGGCAAGUGAAUAUUUACAAGGAUCCAGAAAUAUGGCAAGUGAAUAUUUAUAUACUCAUAAUGAAAAACUUAAGAAAUACCUAUGAGAGAGAGAAGAAAAGUGUAACAAAUAUUUUGUGUUAUUCAAUAGCUAUAAAUAGCCAUAUGAGAUCAAAUUUUCCAUAUAAUAGAAAUAAAAUUAAAACUAUAAAUUAAAUUUUUCAAAUUAGCACACAAAUUAACUUAAAUUAUGAAAUUUAAGAUAUUUAUUUUUUCAAAAUUUAACUUUUUCAUAUAAACAUCACUGAAUUGAUAUAAACAAUAUUUUGAAAUGUGAUAAAUUAAUUAAAUAACCCAAAAAUAUUGUAAUAUUGUAUUUNNNNNNNNNNNNNNNNNNNNNNNNNNNNNNNNNNNNNNNNNNNNNNNNNNNNNNNNNNNNNNNNNNNNNNNNNNNNNNNNACUUACCAUUUAAAAAUUGUUUCAUUUGAAUUAAUAAGAUCAUAGUAGAUUGUACAAAAUCAGUUAAUAAAUGAUAUAUAUUUCAAUUAAAUAAAUAAAGUACAAUAUAAUUGUAAUAAGAAUACACAAUCAACUAAUUAAUUUCACUUAAUUAGAUUAAAUUUUAUGAUCAUAAUAUAUAGACUAAAGUUCCUUAAAUUUAAUGUUGUAAAUUUCAAAAUAUAUUUAUGGCUNNNNNNNNNNNNNNNNNNNNNNNNNNNNNNNNNNNNNNNNNNNNNNNNNNNNNNNNNNNNNNNNNNNNNNNNNNNNNNNNNNNNNNNNNNNNNNNNNNNNNNNNNNNNNNNNNNNNNNNNNNNNNNNNNNNNNNNNNNNNNNNNNNNNNNNNNNNNNNNNNNNNNNNNNNNNNNNNNNNNNNNNNNNNNNNNNNNNNNNNNNNNNNNNNNNNNNNNNNNNNNNNNNNNNNNNNNNNNNNNNNNNNNNNNNNNNNNNNNNNNNNNNNNNNNNNNNNNNNNNNNNNNNNNNNNNNNNNNNNNNNNNNNNNNNNNNNNNNNNNNNNNNNNNNNNNNNNNNNNNNNNNNNNNNNNNNNNNNNNNNNNNNNNNNNNNNNNNNNNNNNNNNNNNNNNNNNNNNNNNNNNNNNNNNNNNNNNNNNNNNNNNNNNNNNNNNNNNNNNNNNNNNNNNNNNNNNNNNNNNNNNNNNNNNNNNNNNNNNNNNNNNNNNNNNNNNNNNNNNNNNNNNNNNNNNNNNNNNNNNNNNNNNNNNNNNNNNNNNNNNNNNNNNNNNNNNNNNNNNNNNNNNNNNNNNNNNNNNNNNNNNNNNNNNNNNNNNNNNNNNNNNNNNNNNNNNNNNNNNNNNNNNNNNNNNNNNNNNNNNNNNNNNNNNNNNNNNNNNNNNNNNNNNNNNNNNNNNNNNNNNNNNNNNNNNNNNNNNNNNNNNNNNNNNNNNNNNNNNNNNNNNNNNNNNNNNNNNNNNNNNNNNNNNNNNNNNNNNNNNNNNNNNNNNNNNNNNNNNNNNNNNNNNNNNNNNNNNNNNNNNNNNNNNNNNNNNNNNNNNNNNNNNNNNNNNNNNNNNNNNNNNNNNNNNNNNNNNNNNNNNNNNNNNNNNNNNNNNNNNNNNNNNNNNNNNNNNNNNNNNNNNNNNNNNNNNNNNNNNNNNNNNNNNNNNNNNNNNNNNNNNNNNNNNNNNNNNNNNNNNNNNNNNNNNNUAUUUAUUUACCAUAAAUCUGUCCUAAUUUUAUAUCUUGAUUGUAGUUAAUUAAUCUACAAUUACAUAAAGGUCUCAAAUAUGAAAACAAUUGAUAUUAAUUACCUUUAUAAUUUUGGCAAUUCAAUCCCAUGAAUUUCUCAUGUUUUUUAUAGAUUGAUUAUAUUAAAUUUAUUUCAAUUACCUUUUUAAUUUUGGUAAGAAUUUAAAAAAGGUAACGAUUAUUUUUUUUCCUAAUUACUGAUUUAUUUCUCAAAAAGUUCUUAUAAAUUCAUAAUUUGAUUAUAGUCAAUUGAUUAUUUAAUUAUCUUUAUAAUUUGCUAAAAGCUCAAAUAAGGUAACAAUUAUUUUUUUCUAAAUUAUGGAUUUUCUUAUAUUCAAUCUUUUAUUGUUUUACUAUAAUAGUUCAAAUUUAAUUGUUUUGAGGGAUGACAACUUUUUGUGUCUAAAUCUUUUUUAAUACAUAGGAAAUGCUAAAGGCAUACAAUAAUCUCCUUUCUUUUUAUAAUCCAAACUUACCAUUUACAAAUUAUUUCAUUUGAAUUAAUAAGAUCAUAGUAGCUUGUACAAAAUCAAUUAAUUAAUUAUAUGUAUUUUGAUAUAAAAAAAAAUGAUGUACGACAUAAUUGUAAUAAAAUUACACAAUCAACGAAUUAAUUUCAAUUAAUUAGAAUCAAUUUUAUAAUCAUAAUAUAUAGACUCAAGUUCCUUANNNNNNNNNNNNNNNNNNNNNNNNNNNNNNNNNNNNNNNNNNNNNNNNNNNNNNNNNNNNNNNNNNNNNNNNNNNNNNNNNNNNNNNNNNNNNNNNNNNNNNNNNNNNNNNNNNNNNNNNNNNNNNNNNNNNNNNNNNNNNNNNNNNNNNNNNNNNNNNNNNNNNNNNNNNNNNNNNNNNNNNNNNNNNNNNNNNNNNNNNNNNNNNNNNNNNNNNNNNNNNNNNNNNNNNNNNNNNNNNNNNNNNNNNNNNNNNNNNNNNNNNNNNNNNNNNNNNNNNNNNNNNNNNNNNNNNNNNNNNNNNNNNNNNNNNNNNNNNNNNNNNNNNNNNNNNNNNNNNNNNNNNNNNNNNNNNNNNNNNNNNNNNNNNNNNNNNNNNNNNNNNNNNNNNNNNNNNNNNNNNNNNNNNNCAUGAAUUUCACAUAUUCUUAUAGUUUGGUUAUAUCAAAUUUAUAUUAAUUACCUUUAUAAUUUUGGGAAGAAUUUUAAAAAGGUAACAAUUAGUUUUUUUUUCCAAUUACUGAUUUAUUUCUCAAAAAUUUCUUAUCAAUUUACAAUUUGAUCAUUUAAUUAUCUUUACAAUUAGCUAAAAGCUCAAAUAAGGUGACAAUUAUUUCUUUUCUUAGUUACGGAUUUUCUUAUAUUCAAUCUUUCAUUGUUUCACUAAAAUAGUUCAAAUUUAAUUGUUUUGAGGCAUGACAUCUUUUUGUCUAUAAAUCUUUUUUAAUACAUAAGAAAUGCUAAAGUCAUACAAUAAUCACCUUUAUUUUUAUAAUCCAAACUUAUCAUUUAAAAAUCAUUUCAUUUGAAUUAAUAAAAUCAUAGUAUAUUGCACAAAAUCAAUAAAUUAAUUAUAUGUAUUUUUAUUAAAUAAAUUAUAUACGAAAUUGUUGUGAUAAAACUAUACAAUCAAGUAAUUAAUUUCAAUUAAUUAGAAUCAAUUUUAUGAUCAUAAUAUAUAGACUCAAGUUCCUUAAAUUUAAUGUUGUAUGUAAAUUUUAAAAUAUAUUUAUAGCUAAAGUAAUAGUCAACGUUCGUUGUUUUUUUUACCAAUAUAUGCAUAUCAAUUACGAAUCUUUCCAUAUAUUUUAUUAUUAAAGUAGUUGUCAAUAUUAACUAAUUUCUAGUUCAAUUUAAUCUAAUUAAUUUGAUAGCAAUAAAAUUAUUAUUAAUAUUAUAUAUUUAUUUACCAUAAGUCUGUCCUAAUUUUGUAGCUUGAUUAUAUUUAAUUAAUCUACAAUUGUAUAAAGGGCUCAAAUAUGAAAAUAAUUGAUAUUAAUUACCUUCAUAAUUUUGGAAAUUCAAUCCCAUGAAUAUCUCAUUUUUUUAUAGAUUGAUUACAUUAAAUUGAUAUCAAUUACCUUUUCAAUUUUGGAAAGAAUUUUAAAAAGGUAACAAUUAUUUAUUUUCCUAAUUACUAAUUUAUUUUUCAAAUAUUUCUUAUAAAUUUAUAAUUUAAUUAUAGUCAAUUAAUUAUUAUUAUCUUUAUAAUUUGCUAAAAACUCAAAUAAGGUAACAAUUAUUUUUUUCCUAAUUACGGAUUUUCUUAUAUUCAUUCAUUUAUUUGUUUACAAAAAUAGGUCAAACUUAAUUAUUUUGAGGGAUGACACCUUUUUUUAAUAUUUUUUAUUCAAAAUGAUUGCAAUAUUUUCUAUAUAAAUUGAUCCGUUACUAUUUAUUAAUUGGUUAUUCUCUUAAAUAAUUUUUUCUUGUAAUAUUUCUUUUAAUCAAUUGUAAUGAAAUAAUUCAUAUUUAUUUUCUUAUAAUACUAUCAUUAAAAACAUAUGAAAUGUAAUUUAUUAAAUUCUUAGUUUUAGGCUAGACUAUCCUCCUUUAUUAUAUAGAUAGAUAAUUUCAACAAAAUUAAUUAGAGUAUUUUCUUAUAAAAAUAAUAUAAAAUUUUAUUUUAUAAAAAUAAUAUAAAAUAUGGUAUAUUAAUAAUAUUUGCAUUAAUUAUGUUUCUAUUUUCUUACAUAUUAUUUGAUUCUACGCAUUAAAAAUAACAUUGAAUCAAUGGUGAAAGUGGAGGGACUUCUUUCUUUAUUGGGGUUUUUCUUUUUGGGAAAGCUGACACUUUCUUGACUACCAACCACCCAACACAAAGCUGACACUUCUUGGUAGAUUGGCUAUUUUUUCAUACGGUACUAAUUUAUAUGCAUUUUCUUUGAUAUUUGUUAUAUUGUUAGUUUUAUUUUGCGUAUCGUAUUAGUUUAUAUGCAUUUAUUUUUUAUGUUUGGUAUGUUAUUAUGAUCCUAAGCUAGGAGUCUAUCGGAAACAUCCUCUCUACUUCACCUGAGUACUGAUAUGAUCUACAUAUACUAACCUCCCCAGACCCCACUAUCUGGAAAUACACUGAUUUUUGUUAUUGCUGUUGUUGUUUCUUAUACAGUAUUUGAUUCAAAGUAUUAAAAAUAACACGAAUUACAUAAUUUUUUUUUACAUAAUACCCCAACUUUAAGCAUGUUAAUGCAUGCAUUAGAUCCAUUGUAUUACUAAUGUCAUAAAUUUUGAAGUAUUAGUAAUACACGCCUCAAUACACAAUAGAGUAUAUUACUAAUUUUUGCAUUAGUUAUACAUAAGAUAAAAAGAUAUAUAUCAAACAAGGGACUACUAAUACACAUUAAAUUAAUGGAUGCAUUAAUUUUUACGUAAUACAUUCCAUGCUUUAUCACAGAUUUGAUUCCUUGUCUUAAGCUGGGAGUCUAUCGGAAAUAGCCUUUCUACUUCUUCGGAGGUAGUGAUAUGAACUACGUACAUCUUACCCUCUUUAGACCCCACUAUGUGGAAAUACACUGAAUUUAUUGUUGUUGUUGUUAUUAAUUUUUGAAUACACUCUAUCAAAAGACUCUAUGCUUCUCAUUUAAUUAUACCUUUAGCUCCUUUUUAAUUAUGAUAAUUGCUCUCUGACUCCACCUUGCUUUUUAAAAAUAUAAAUAAAUAGCAAUGAAUUUAAUUUUGCUCAUUACUCUACUAAUUGUAGUAAUGUUAGGUGAAUUCAUCAACUUAAAAUUAGAGUACAUUCACUCAAGCUACAUGUUAUAGAUAUAGUUCAAAAAAGGAAUUAUACGUUUGACAUAAUACAUAAAUGUGUUUUCAACUUGACAUCAUUAGCAAAUAUUUAUAUAUUUUAAUUUUGAAUGUUGCACAAAUAAAUACUUCGACUAUCAUAUAAAGUUAAAAUAAAUAUAUAUAUAUGUGAGUCUUGUAUCGCAAUUUGUCAUGCAAAAUGUGUGCAUCUCAUACAAUUUGUCAAGUAAUUAAAGCGUUUGUGUCUAGGGGAGUGCAUCGGUCGGUUCGGUUGGGUUUUACAUAUUAUCAUUAGAUUUAUCGAUUUUCGGUUUUUAAAUAUGCUAAACCAAUAACCAAACCAAUAAAAUAUUUUUUUUUGGUUCUUAGUCCUUAACGAUUUGGUUUUGGGUUUAACCGAUAAGAAAAUACUCAUAAAAUAGAAAUAGUAGUAACUAACAUGUAAAAAAUGAAUCUUAGUUGCAACAAAAAUCCUACAUGAAGUGUUUGAAUUUACAAAAAUCUUCAAGUUUGAACUAAAUGUUGUUAGGAGAAAUUCAGAGUUUAUAUAAUUGAAAUAACAGGUUUGUUAAUUUGUAGAAAUAAAAUAUAAAUAUAUAAUAAUUCAUAUUAUAUAUGUAUAUGCAUAUGUUUUGAAAAGGUGUUAAUUUGAGAGCAUGAAUUAUAUGGAAUCCCUCUCUUGAUGUGAAUUUGUUUUAAAUGUUCAUAUGAUGUAAAUUGUUUGAAAACAUCUUGAAAAGCAUGACAUGAAAUGUUUUGAGAAUUUAUAUGAUUUUGACUUGAAAACUAGAGGGCUAUUUGUGUUGAAACAUGUUGAAUACAAUGGUUGAAUGAGAAGAAUGAUGUGAUAUUGAUGGCUUGGAAGUCGGUUAUGAUGAUACCCUACAGAAUAUGAUUUGUGAUUAAAUCGGAUGAAAUUUGAAUGCAUUGAUUUUACAUGAGAUAGGUGGAUAUCCGAAGAAGGCAUUUGAGUAUAAGGGCUCAUCGCUAGAAAUCGUGUUUGCCGACAUGGGAAUUUGGUACCCUGCUUUGUGAUCUUGCGUACCUGACUUUAUGUCAUUCCCAAUUUGGGACUAUGGUUAGGAGCCCUGCUUUGUGAUCUUGUGCACUACCAUUGGGUCGAGAUAUCCUGUUGUGUGAUCUUGUGUGUCUUCCCCUCACUUAUACUCUAAUCUUGGCGGCAACCGAGGUUUGACAGUUGGUGUAAAUAUGAUAUGUAGGGUAUUCCACCUAGCUCAGCAGGAUUAUAUUGUUGUUGAAAACAAUUAUAUUAUGCCCAUGUGUUUUCAAAUGAUUUGAUAUGAAACUGCUUUAUAAUGGCUCUCAACUAUAUUUUGUAAAACUAUUAUGUUUUGUUUUGAUAUCUCUGCGUACCAGUACUUCUGAAUUGAACCCCUUUCCUCCCGGGUACAAAGGCACAGUCUAGGGGUCCAGAAAAUCAGUAGAUUCCUCAAACAGAUUUACAGAGUCACUUGGUGAGCCUUCUAUUUUUUGGAAGGCCUGAUAUUUGGAUCUACUGGAGGCCUUGUCCCAGUUUUCAAAUAGAUAUUUAUUUCAGUCAUGUAGUAGAGAUUUCACAAACGUUAUAGAGAUGUUGUGUUGAGAUUGUGGGACAUUAUUCCCCGUUAUUGAUUCAUAUGAUUCUUGACCAUGUUUCCAUAAUAUUGUUUGUCUUCCAUAUUUCUUUUAUCAUAUGAGUUAUGUGCAUGAUUAUCAGACAAAUAGGGGUGUUUCGGGCCUUUAUGGUUCGGAAUGCUCGUCACGGACAGGGCCCCAAUUUGGGUCGUGACAAACUUGGUAUCAGAGCAAGGUUCAUGGUCCCAGGGUGUCUACAAAAUCAUAUCGGGUAGAGUCUUAUUUAUGGGUGUGUAGCGUGCCACACUUAUAAGUAGGAGGCUCCUAAGCAUUUAGGAAUGUCUCUCUUUCUUCAUGUUCCAGUUCGUGCAAUAGAGUCAAAAUGUUCCUCUUUCAUACUGUCAUUCAUGCUAUGGUGUCGCUCAUAUGAAGGUAAAGUCAUACCAAAUUCUUUCCUUACUCUGAUGUUCUCAGACAUGUCCCAUUAUUGGGGUGAUUCAAGUGCAAAAAGUUUAGAAUCUACAUGAUAUAGUCUUUUUCGAUUGUGUCAUAUAAGAAAAAAAAUUGUGCAAAGACUCGAGAGGAGUCUGUUGGUGCUUCAAUAUGUGUUGAUUCUGAUAUAAACAUUGAUCCUGAUGGAAUCGUGCUUUCUAGCUUAUGGUAUUAAGUGCAUCUAGUCCCUCCCAAAAUUCUUGAUACAGAUGUGGACGGUGUAUAGCAGAAUGUUGGAACUAUAUUUCCACCCAAAUAGUAGCAUAAGUUAAAGUGUUGUUGUCAUGACCUAUUGGUAAUGAAAUUAGACCAAGAAUUUAGUGAUGUGAAGUCACAAAGUUAGAAGUCAGAGUGAGGGUGAUUUUUGGUGUAAAUGAAUAUUUCAGUUGAAUAACCAAUAUUUGAGGAUGAUUUACCCCUUUAUAGUGAUAAACUAACGUGGUAGCUAGUAGCACGUGUGGAUGGUAUGGUAGUCCAUGGGGAAGUAUUUUACUCAAAUUUUAAUUUAUAAAGAGUAAGAUGUGUAUUCUUAGACCAUUAAAUAUUGUGUCAAUUUCCUAUCUCUUGUAAUAUGUAAUCUUGUUAUCAUGGUAUUUUUGAAAUAAAUUUUAAAGUCUAGUGAAGCCGUGUGGGGCUCUUUCGAUUCACUAGCAUAGUUGCCUUGUCAUCCAUCUCAUUUUCUUGUUCAAAAUACCAAACCAAAGUCUAGUGAAGCCGUGUGAGGCCUAUUUCAAUUCACUAGCAACUUGUUGUCCAACUUGUUGUUCUUUUGUUGGUUUAAUAUAUGUAUGGCUGAAUCUGUUUGCAUGAGAUGGAGUUGGUAAAGAGGUGAUUCAUCCUUGUGAGUUAGUUUAGUAUAAGGUAGAGAAGGAGUUGUUAGUCAGGGUGAUUUGUUGGUUUCUUGAAUGUGAAAAAUGGCUAUAUUAGCGAGUAAGUUAUGAUCAUAGACUCAUGGUUGUUUGAGGAAUUUGAAGGCAGUCUAAAUGUAUGCUUGAGAAAGUAAGUAUGAGGUCAGAAAUCCGCAUAAGUAGAUAAGAUCUUAUGGGGUUAUAAUAUCAGUUAAGGUUGAUCAUGUCUAUUAUGUGACCUUACUCCUUGACUUUUUUCGUUGGUAGUUGUAAACUAGUACUACUUAUGAGAAGGUAUGUAGCAAAUUAUGAGGUAUUUGGAUAGUACUAUAUGACUGGCAGAGACUUUUCAAAGAUUUGCAGGAGUUCUCGAAACUAUUUUCUAAAAAAUUAAGAGUACUUUGAAAAAAAUCUAUAUAAAUCUUUUACUUAGUGAUUGCCUAGACAUCAAUUAGGAUGGGGAGUCAGGGGUGGAAGUCCCAACAUGAUGAAAUACCUAAAAGAUGGCAAGGGCAAAUCAAGGAUCGUAGGAGGUCAACACGGAGUAGUUUCUUUCAAACUAAUCAUUUUUUGUGGCUGCAGGGAUUGAUACACAAAAUGAGCGUUUCUUUCGAAAAAUCCCCAAGCAAGUCGGGAGCCAUGACAGAGCAUAUAAGGCUUAGUAACGGUACCUUUGGUAGCCCAAAAACCGGCUCAACACCCAUUUAUUGACGACCUUUCGAAUUGUCCAUCUCAUUUCUUGAGACCAUGGAGGACAAACAAAGUGUCUUGUCUUUUUUACAAAUAUUGUAUUUAGAAUUUUUCUAAAAAAAAAAAUAGUCGCUAGCAAAAGCGACUUUGUGUCUACUAAUCGUCUACCUUGAGUACGGGUACAUGCAGAAAGCAAGACCCUGACAAAUGAUUUCAGGAGAAACUAUUUUUAAUUUAUCGGAAGAACCAUUGCAUGUCAUUGCCAAGAGGGCCAUUACAUAUCAUCGUCAUUCAAUAUCUGUUGGCGUGCUAGACACAAUGCUAGCAUCGAGGAUAUCAUUAGCAUUCAAUAUAUCCAUUGACAUGCAAGACACAACACUGGCGUCGAGGAUAUCAUCAUCAUAUAAUAUCUAUUAACGCGCUAGACACAACGCAGGCAUUGAGGAUAUCAUCAACAUUCAAUAUAUCUGUUGACACGCAAGACACAAUGCUAGCGUCGAGAAUAUUAUCAUCAUUCAAUAUCUAUUGACGAUCUAGAUACAACGCUGGCGUCGAGGAUAUUAUCAGCAUUCAAUAUAUCUGUUGACACGCAAGACACAAUGCUGGCGUCGAAGAUAUCAUCAUCAUUCAAUAUAUGUUGACGCGCUAGACACAACGCUAGCGUCGAGGAUAUCAUCAUUAAUAUAUAACUAUUGACACGUAAGACACAACACUGGCAUUGAGGAUACCAUCAUGAUGCAAUAGCUGUUGACAUGCAAGACAUAACUCUGGCGUCGAGGCUAUCAUCAUCAUGCAAUAUUUGUUGACGCGGAAGACACAAUGCUAGUGUCGAGGAUAUCAUCAGCAUUCAAUAUAUCUGUUGACACGUAAGACACAACACUGGCAUCGAGGAUAUCAUCAUCAUUCAAUAUAUCUGUUGAUACGUAAGACACAACGUUGGCGUCGAGGAUAUCAUCAUCAUUUUAUUUCUGUUGACAUGCAAGACAUAAACACUAGCGUCGAGGAUAUCUUAUCAUUUUAUGAAUCAGCAUCCGAAUGCAUCAAGAGCACAUGAUUUGAAGGGACGCCUUUAAGUCGCUAUCUAAGGAUGAAUGAUAUAUAAGAUUUCCUAGAAAUUUACAAUUUGAGGGUCAUCUAUAAGUUAUAUUAUUUGAAAUAUGAUAGUGUACAAGAUCACCUAUGAGUUGAUAGCCGGUAGGUCAUCCGUAAGCCACAACAAAAUUCUAACCGGAUAGUGUGCAAGAUCGCCCAAAAAUUGAUAGUUCAAAGGUUAUCCAUAAGUCGCAACUAAAUCCUUACCAGAGAAUAUGCAAGAUUAUCAAAUGGAUACAUCCAAGGGUUCUCUAUAAGCCGUGUCAUAUCCAAGUUCGAUUAUAUGCAGGAUUACCCAAAGACUAACAAUUUGAGGGAUUAUCUAUAAGUCAUAUUAUAUCCUAGGUCGGAUGAUGUGCAGGAACACCUGAAAUCUAGCGAUUGGAGGGAUAUAUGUAAGCCAUCUCUUAUUUAAAGUCGGACAAUGUGCAGGAUUACCUAAAAGCUAGAAAUCAAAAGGAUAUCUGUAAGUCGCCUCGUAUCCAACAUCAAAUAAUGUGUAAGAUUAUCUAAAGAUUGAUAAUUUAAAGGAAAUUUAUAAAUCGAUCAUCGGCUAUAACUGGAGAGGUUAUCAUUCCACAUGCAACAAAUGAUAUAGGUACCCAAAGGGUUGCCACACCAGCACGCCAUUGUCCAAAAGGGCCACCCACUUUGAAGACAUAUUCAACCGACAAAUGUCAUAAUUAUACAACAACCAAGAGGGUUGUUGUGUUUGGUAUUGUCGGUUAUUUCAUUCCAAACAGGUACAUGAAGAGAUGACUCCACUUUUCAGGCCACAACUCACGUGGAGAUAUGGUAAAAGACUGCAUGCCUCUUUCGUGAAUUAUGUUUAGCACUAAAAAUUUUUGCUUGAAGCAUUGUCGAGGGCAUCCGUGAGGAUGAAAAUCUUAAAUCAAAACCACAGGUACGGAUGACUUCAAAUAGGAUGCAAUACCCGAAUCCAACCCGUUUUCUUUUUCCUCGUUAUGAUCACGCACGUUCCACAUGAAUCCAUACGAGAAGAUGCUAAGAAUAUUCUAGAAACACACUUAGGUGUCUCAUCCAACGUUCAAAUCUCAAAAUUCUCGCAUAGAGGUUUACGAAUUCGUACAUAGGUGGAGUAUUUUCAUUGGCUUGUGAAGAUUAUUCCCUUUCCACCAAUUUCUAUUGGCCACUUUUUGGAAUUCCGUUCAAGAAAAUCAAAAUAGAGGUAUAGUUUGUUAGGGUCCAGAUCUUUUUAAUUUAAAAAAUGAACCCUCAAUCCCCUUCUAUAAGUAGCUCUCUUUAGAGCAAGAAAAAGGGAUUUUUUAGGGGAUUUUGGAAUUUUUUUUCACUGGCAACUCCUUUCCUUUGUGGGUUUUCCUCUUCUUUCUCUUUGGAGUUUGAAAUUUUAGAAGCAAAAGGGGUUCAAAAGUUUUUAUUUGAAAAUUUGGGGUUAGAGAAAAUAUUCAAAAAUUCAGAAAUACACAAAAAAAAGAGGGUUAGAAAGGGGGGCUCUCAGAGGGAAAAAAUAUUCUCUUUACGCCCAAGAAACAUACAUUUUUAGGAGGUGCGUCUGAACUGUCGAAGCAGUUGUGAGUUUUUCGGUGGUUGGAAUCCUAUCGUCAGCUCGUUAUACCAUUUUGCUGCCCCGAAAGAGGUAAAUACACCUUUCUUUUUAAUUUUGUUGUGGUUAUCAUUUUCUUCUUCGUGGUUCCACUUCUGUUUGCUGGGAAUGACUGCUGUAGAGGCCUGAAAGGCAUAGGAUUUUCAUUUUUGAUAUAUUGUUCUACUAAAAAACUCAUUCUUGAUCAUGUUUGAUUGGUUGUCGUUCAUUCUUAAUCUCUCUCAUUUUAUUCUGUCUGAAUGUUACUAGUUAGCUUUAAUGCUUCAACUUUAGAAACUAUUUUACUGGUCUCAUAUUUGUUGUUGCUUUGUAGUUCAUAGAGUAGGAGAGUAACAUAUUUACGUAUUUUCGAAAUUCGAAAAAAUGUUCAAAGAAUAGAUAUUAGGCAGCCUGUUUGCAUAUCUUUUUCGCUCAGACGUAGGAAAUUGUUAUAAAUAAGAACUCCAAUGUUAUUUUCUACCGACUUGCCACUCUCGAUGUACGAUAGUCUCAUUUGAUUCUAAAGUUUAUUUUAAAAUAUGAGAGUGGACCAUAGGUCUGAAUUAUGUUUUCUUCAUGGCUAAUUCAAUUUGCUGUAAUUGACUCAUGAGAACAAAUUAAAGUUUGACGGGCUAAUGUUUCUUUCCUUUCUUGCUUUUCUUGUUCGGAUAUAAGCUGUGGCAUCUUGUCUUAUGAUUAAAUUACCUAAAAUUAGGUUUAUGUAGUGUUAGAAUCUCAUUUGUUUGUUAACCCAGUGGUAACGAAGGUAUUAAGAUUUCAGCCUUGCUUUUCUUGAAGUUUCAGCUAUCGUAUUCCUUGCCUAAAGUGAUUAAGUCUUUAAUUUUGUAUGUUUGGCAUUCUGGAAUUUGAAAGUUGCUUGUGAUCUAUCGUUUAUGUAGUAUGAUCUAGGAUUUGUAACUCUUUUUUGUGACAUGCUUAAUUGGGUCCUUUUGUGGCAUUAAAGUGAUAAAUUAUUUUCUUUAUUUUGCUAAAGACCAUAAGAAUUUCUUGUUGAAGCUUUAUUUCCUCCUGUAGUUGAAAUUUCUUUAAUUGAUUAUUAACAUUUUCUUCAAACAUAAUAGACUUUUUAUCCUAUGGCAUUUUUACCUGUGUAUGAGUGUAUUUGAAUGAAGAAGGAAUGCUAUAGCUUAUUAUAUGUUAAAAUCUUGGACGUAUGUUAAUUUCUUCAUUCCUUUCUUUACAUGUUCAUUCCUUUCUUUACAUGCACCCCCUUUGGAGUUCAAAUGGACCCCUUCUCUCUUUGCAUUUCAUAAAUGGGCCAAUGAGGCCUAUCCUUCUGAGUUAAACCCAAAAGAAAAUCCAAGAAUCCAUCACAUGGCGUAUGGAUACAAGGAAUCGAAAUAAGAAUGGGUUAAAGUUCAAUCUUUGAAGCGGCAAAGGGGACUUGAAAAUCUCGUUAUUUCUUAUUUAUUGAUUUAUUUAUCCAUUGUUUUCAUUAUUUAUUUAUUUAUUUACUUAUUUAUAUUUUUUUUUAUUUAGUGACUUAUUUAUUUAUUCAUUCGGGCCUCGAAGCCAAAGUUGUAAAUUUAAAACAGGUGGAGCGAGACUCGAGCUGAAAAGGGCUCAAAAACAUAAAAUUAAGACAGGUGAAAGAUGGGUCAAAAACCUAACUAGAUUAGGACAGGAUCGACUGUUUGGGCUUGAAAGCCUAAAUCACUACUUCCCCCCUUUCCCUUUUUUCUAUUUGCUUACUUGUUUUACGUGUGUUUUGCGAACCUAGUAAAAUCCUUAGUCAAGUCGCUAAAAAAAUUGGUUUUGCAUAAACACCAAAAUAUUCCUAAAAUUGCUUUUCUUUUCAAAAAAUACACUUUUUCAAAGUUAAUCAAAAGAUGAUUUUCAAACAGUCCGGAUAACCGCAAGUUAGCGGACAUUUUAGGUGCCUAAUACCUUCCUAAAACGUUAAUAGGAACCGCUUAUCUUGAAUCUCUAACUUAAAACGAUUUUUUUGUUUUGAAUCGUUUGCAGUAACUCUCUAAAGGUUUCUUAUUUCCUUUUCAAAAUUAAGUGGCGACUCUCAAAAAGUCAAAAUUUCCACAAAAAAAUAUCAACCACAAUCACAUCCACACAUCUACUACCCCCACCCGAAAGUAGUAGAAGAAUAAGGGUUUGUAGUAAUUCAAGUACCUUAUCCUCUUGACGCUUGCACUUCUUCUCUUUUAGUUCAUUAACAAAUUUGUUAAAUAUUUCAAGCAGCAAGCCCUCACCACCCAUUAUUCUGUAAAAUAAUAACAGCAAAGAAAUUCACAUUCAAUGUUACGGCAUAAUGAGAAUCAUGAGAUUAUGAAUAAAAAAGUAAAAAUCCAGAGCAUUUCAUUUUAUAGACAAAGAGGCUAGACAAAUUGAAACUAGAGAUUUAGCAGCAUACUUCAUCAGAACCGUGAAACAAUCACAAAUGCCAGCAAUUAAAAAACUAAAACAAUCACAAAUGUCAGAAAUUUAAAAAACUAACUGCUAGAGCUAUUAAACGCCCAGUGUUGGAACAACUAAUAAUUGACAUCAACCAAUUUCUAGAGGGAUAAGUUCAACAUUAAAAAUCACUUAGCAAAAUGGUAAUUCAUGCUAAUACUAUAAAGAAAUAGCCUACCUAAAUGUUGAGGAAUAUAAAACAACAAAUCAUUCAACACAGCUAUUAUUCUAAGGUACAUUCUAGAACUAUGUGAAUUGCUGAGUUUAGAAUAUUGAAGGAGUUGGUCCUUGAAAAUAAUAUCAAUUAUCAUUCUCCAAUAGUCCUUGCAAUCGUGUUACGAAUUCUAGAUCAAUAAAAGCAAAAGAAGCUACUUGCCUAUCUCUGAAGAGGGAUUUCCAGUCCUCCCAUUUCGACGAUGCAGUAAUUUCCUGCAACCAUAGCAAACAAAUAGAUUAUGGUUUAAAGGAAAUAUCAUGGGAUCCCAUCCAUUGCAAUGUGAGAGAUUGUGAACUGUUUUCUAUAUCUUUGAUGCAUGAAGGAGUUCAUAGAACUCAUCUGCUAGACGUUUACGCUUUUUAGCUUCUUUUUCUUCUUUCUCCCUGGCCCUUUCCAGUAACUCCUCAAAGACAAACUAUGCAGAUGAAAUAUGCACAUUCAAUACUCAAUGACUCGACAAGCCCAAACGCGUAGAACAUAAAGUUUAUAAAGGAAGUAUGGAAUAAGAUUCAGUAUAAUCCAUGUAUGUCCUCUUAUUCCUUCGUUUGAAAGGCAAGGGUGAUAUAAUGUAAGACUAUUAUUACCAUCUUUUGGAGUAACUCCUCGCAUUAUAAUAUUUGAUAAAAUGCUUUAAAAUAGUUUUGAGCUAUUGAAAGUAAACUAAAAGCCUUAAGAGACCCAACCGUCUAAGCAUAAUUCUUCGACAAGAUACCCCUUGCAAUUCCCUCUUCCCACAUACAUAGAUUAUACGCCAUGACCAUAAAUAAACUCCAAAAUUGAAAUGAUAUAUGAAGAAUAUCCUCAUUACAAAAAAAGAAAAUGAUCGUUGAUAUCAUCCAUUUAUGCUGUUUAACCACUUUCGCAGAGUAAAACUCUUAUCCACUAACCGUAAAAAUAGAAAACUACAACGCAAAUUGCUUUGAAUUAAGCAACUUAAGAUAUGUGCGGUAGGUGUAAUAUUAAACACCGCCAUCCAGGAAAUAAAAAGUAAGGAAAAUGGUACCAAAACUAAAGAAUUGGAAGAAAAAGAUAACACCAAAUAUUUGAUCAAUGUGGUCCUCGUCUUUAUUCUUGAAGGUUUCAGGCUUACUUGCUAACCGACACACUACUCUUCUAUUAACUCCAUUACUAGAAGAUCCAGAUUUAAUGUGGGAUAGGUUAUGGUUGAUACUAAAGGAAAAUUCCACUAACCACAGUUGACUACCUACGAUUUGCCAAUUUAGCAAUCACAAACUGACCGACUUCCAGUGAAACAUAACAUGGAAGUACUACUAAUGCUUUUGCACUCAAUCCACUCAUCUUAUGCAGGACCUGUCCCAAAGACAAAAAGGGGACAAAUACAUAAAAAUCCAUUUAACGAAUGGGGUACUUCAAUUUUCACAACAUUCAAUUCAACAUAGGUCGAUGUGAAACAGUAUACAGUGCUUAUCCAUAAUUAGACCUUUAAGUUGGUAUCUGACAUUGGUGGAGAGCUAAUAUACUUGGCGAUUGCAACCUUAAAAUCAUCAAGCAUCCAGGCUAAUGUCAAUCCAAUCUGAAAGUAGACAUGGCUCAGCCAAAAUAUUAGGUACUAACCAAAGCACAACAGAGGUUAAAAUGAAGAGUGGUGAUUACCUCGGCCAUCCUAACUGCAUCUUUAAUUUGUGACUUGUCAUCAAGAUACUGAAGCAACAUACAAGUAACACAAAUUCAGAAUGCUUAUCAGUAACAAAAAUAGGAUACCAAAUGGAGCUUUGUCCAUGCAUUUGAGUUACCAUAAAGUCUAUAAAUUACAAGCAGGGUGAUGGGGAUGAAAUUUCUUUCAUGAAUACCAACAUUUCUCCACUUGUUCAAAGUCAUCUACAAUNNNNNNNNNNNNNNNNNNNNNNNNNNNNNNNNNNNNNNNNNNNNNNNNNNNNNNNNNNNNNNNNNNNNNNNNNAAAAAUGGAUAGCAUCUCUGUUAACAGCGCUUUCAUUAUAUUUACUUAAUAAGAAUCAUUUAUGCACACAAACAGUAAUACAAACUUUAAAGAUAGAAGUUGACAUCAUUAUCUGACAAGGGAAAAAGAAAAAAUAUUCAGCAUCUGAGUUUAUGUAUAACUCUCAACAUCCCAUAGCAAGAGCCUAACUCAAGAAAACAUUUCCAAAUCCAAUCAUUGAAUAAGAGUACGAACAGGAUCAUUAUCAUGCUAGGAUACCAGGUAAACUCCCUCUUUCAUCAAGCAAGGAGAUAAAUGCUAAUAAAAUUUGAUCAUUCAACUUCAAUUCUUUUCAGAAAGGGCAGAGGAUGAAACAAUAUAUCGUUUAGUUAGUCGCAAUGGUGUAUUACGGCCAAAAAAAUCAUAGUGAGGGAGAUGCAACUUUAUUUAGAGAAACAGAGAUGCUCUCAGGCACUUUUUCCGAGGCUAAUCUUUUCUAAGCCUUUACUUUCAUUACAUCUCAACUACCUCUUCAGAGGCGAAUUCUGGCACUAAGUUUUUUUAGUCUAAGCUAUAUGGUUGACAACACAAUAUAUUUUGAAUUGGGUUUUAAGUUGCAUGAUAUCAUCCGAAGUGAAAUCAAAACUGGGGUGUGGUACAAAUGGACAAAACAUGGCCAAAACUUGACCAGACAAACUACUUUCAGGUCUCAUUUGUUUGCACUUAUUGGAUUUAUGAACCUGUUCAGACCUCAAACCAUUAAGUGCAUUUGUUUUUAUUAGGAUUUUAGCUCUUAAUAGGUCUGAGUAGGUCUUAAUCAUUCAUAUGUGGAACCAAGUCUAAAUAUCAUUUACAGAUAUUCUUGUGUAGGAUAAAAUUCACCACCACUUUAUCCACAAUCACCUGGCACCACCACCAACCACUUCCACCAUCACAACCAACAUCACUACCAACUACACUACCAGCCGCUACCACACCUACCACUUCCAUUAUUCUAAUUAUAUCCACCUCCAACUAGGGGUGUUCAAGGUUUGGUUUUUAACACAACUUAACCGCGAUACAAACAAAACCGAUUAAAAAAAACUAUAUUUGGUUAGGUUUGGUUUGGAUUUGAAUUUUAAAAGACCGAUACUAAUUUGAUUUGGUUUGGUUUGGUCUUACUCUAAAAUAACCAACAAAAUAACCAAAACGAACCAAUAUACAUAUAUAUUAUAAUUAUUUAUAUGUUUUUCAUAAAUGUAAUCUAAAUAUUUGUUACAUUUUAUAUUUUAAUCAUGAUUUAACUUUAGUCGUAACACAUUCAGUCAUGUGUCUUCAUCUAGUUGACAAUACAUUAUGAGAUUCUAAAUGAAUUUCAUAUUUUGAAUGACAAAUGAUACUAAUUGUGAAAGUAAUAUCUUGUUAUAUAUUGAAAUUUACAGCUGAAAUUUAUUAGACUAUACACAAUCACUAAUUUUAACUUUCUUUUGAACCUUGUUGAGCAAGAAGUUUAUGUGUUCACCUUUUGGGGGUUUAUCAUAUCAUUCUAUUAAAUAUAGUUUUAAAAUAUUUUUUAAAAGCGUUCAUAUGGUGUUAUCAUGGCUUUGCCGAAGUAUAACACUCAGUUGACAUCAUAGUUUCAAGAUUGAGAUACAACACUUGGUUGACAUCUCAUAUGUUAGAUUUGAUUUGUUUUUUAAAAAUUUCAACAUAUAUCAUUAACUAAAGUUAUAAACUAAAAAACCCGAAUCAAACCAAACUAAACCGACAAGAACCAAACCGAUGGUUAUUUUUUUGUUUGGUUUGGUUUGGUUUUAGAAAUUUAAAAACCAAUUAAUUUGGUUUGGUUAUGGUUUUGACCACUAACCGACCCAUAUUGACCCAUGAACACCCCUACCGCCAACGUCGCCACCAUCAACUGCUACCAGUUGAUCCCUGCUACCGACCAACUCAUCUAUCAGAACUACCACUACCACUAAUAACCACCUACACAUCAUCAACUUCCACACAUCACUAACAACCACUAACACAUCAUCAACUUCCACACAUUCUUCGGACACCAUCACCACCACUGUCACCGGCGUCACCACCUCUACCACCAGCAUCCGCUACACUCGCUACAGUAUCUGUACUAACAACCAUUCAACCAUCACAGCUAACAGUGUCUCCAACAACCACCAACACAUCGUCAACCAUCAUGCAUACAGUUUUUCAUCACCACGAUCAACACCUUCAACUACUAACAUUAACCAACUUCACAUCACAACCACCACCACCACUACCAAUCGCCAAUAUUAUGACAGUAACUACAAUUCCAACUAUCUCUACUAUCACAACUAUUAUCACCAACAUUGCUAAUCACUAACAUCAAUUAAUUUAUUACAACCACCACCACCAUUACAAACCAUCUCCACUAUCACUAAUAAACAUAAAUGUUUCCUUUUUUAAUCAAAUAAUAAUUUUAUUGCAUUAAAUUAAAAAAAUUUCUAAUAAAUAAUUAAAUUAUAUUUAGAAAUAAAUAAAUUUUGCAUAUUCAGAUAUUGAGAAACACCCAACCUUAAUCAUUUAGUUUUCAGAUCUAGAGACAAUAUCUUAACCAUUCAGAUGUGCAUUCAAAAUGAUUCAAAUGUCUAAAUAUUAAUAAAAACAAAUGCAGUCUUAGCUGAAACACAAUAGUGUGGUUGUGUGAUACUUUAAAGGAAUCCUCGAAAGUCAAAGAAACUACAUGAAAACAUGGAAGUUUGAUGAUCACUUCUCAGAGUUGUUCUGCUCGAGAAACUAUAACAAUUAAGGUAACAUAACCAUUAACAGCAUUCAACGGAGGAGAAGUCAAUUACAUAUGUCUGUGAAGUAGUAUUUAAUAUAGCUUGGCUAGAUUGAAAGAAUCAUCUAUAUCUAUACUACAUUAAAAGCAUGGAACCCCUAACUUAAAAGUUUACGACAAUAUGAUUCCUAUCAGCAUAAAUACGUACUAUCUAGUAAAAAAAAAGAGGAAACUAAUUGGCAUAAAGAGAAACAACACAGAUGUUUAAUAGGAACAACCGAUCAUUGUUCUUAUCUCAACAAAAUAUGUGUUAUUUAAAAAAAAAAAAAGCAAGCAGAGGGGUAACUCUCAAAUCUCAAUCUCAUGCUUUUAUCCUACCAAGUAUGUUCUAUUCUUUAAUGCACAACAACAACAACAACAACAACAACAAACCCAGUAUAUUCCCACAUAGUAAUGCACUAACUUACUUUUUUACCCAAUGAAUUGAACUUUUUAGUGAGGAUCUAAAUGAUUUUCAGACUUUGUUUAACAUCUGAUUCAUUAAGAUAUAUUAACAGGUUGAAUCUUUUUUUAAAAAAAGCACUUAAUAGGCUGAUAUCUGAACCAUUCAGAUCCAAACCUUCAUUAAGUGAAAGCAAAUGAAAAGGGAUUGUAGUGUAAAGUCUAUAAAUAUGGGUUAGUGUAACAAAUGUAGUUGACACAAUUCAAUACUCCUAUUAGCAACCUAUUUCACCUGUUUCUCCAGCUCAUCCAUAACAUCUGUAAAUAAGUAGUACCUGGAAAAUCUCCAAGCGAUUGAUUUUCUCAAGGCAGGAGCAUCUUUCAUCAGUUUCCAAGCGGUCCUGAACUUUCCACCACUGGCUACUAGCCUGAACAAAAGAAGUCAGCAACAAUGGAACUAUGGAAGUUCUAUCUUCUUGAAAUAGAAAAACAUAAUCUAGGAACUGAUGCUAAGACCACUAGAACAAAUACCUUAAUAAAGUCAAAGGAUUUUAAAAAUUCUAAGUACUCCACUCUAUUGCGCUUCUGCUCCUCCAAUGCCUUCGCAUGCUUCUGGUAAAAUCCAGUACAAAGUAAAAAAAAUAAAAUUUCUCUUUAAAGAAAACAAUAUGGACAAAGAGACUGUAACUACACUUUCAUGAAAGUAACGAAAAACUCUUCCUGUUUUACGAUGGAGAGGGGAGAGGAAGAAGCAUAUCAUAGUUUCAAGUUUCAAGAAAAAUUACAUACAAUACAUGGAAGUCUAUUUAUAUUAGAAUUCAAUGGUGAACAAAUUUAAAUCUUGUACCCUUGAGAAGCCAUUAAAAAUGUAUUCAAAGAACACAAGAUUUUAAGUUGAAUAUCUACAACAUUCCUUCUUUCUACUCUUUAAGCAAAACAAAAAAAGGGAACAAACUAAAAGACAUCCUGCAAAGGAAAGGAAUGGAAUGACUGUUGUUAAUCAAGUGGACCAGUGCCAAACUCAACUUCAAAGUCUAGGUCAGGUGGUGAAGAAUGUCCAAGAUCAUAUAAGGAAACUACAGCACAUACACCUUACUAGUGUGGGAUUCUCAUACAUUAAUCGAACACCAAGACUAGACAUUUGUAGCAUCAGUUAACCUAGGUUGGCUAACAUCUAAUAGUCUAACAUCAAGAUAGAUCUGCCUCUAAUACCAUGUUUAAGAAAUUGGACCUUGUUUCUAUCUCAAAUGAAAGGCUAACUUAAUUUGUGAGGAGCCAAAGACCAUAUAAGGAAACUACAAUCCGCACACUUUGUUUUUAACAUAUAGAAGCUUACAAGAAAGUUCUGCAAAAGAAGCAUCAACUUUUUAUCUUAUUCCUCCACAUAAUCUUCAAAAAGGUCCCCACAGUCUUUAGCUCGCUCAACAGCUUUAAAAUGUUCAUCAUGUUCAAAUAUGGAGAUUGCCUUACUGAAUAAUCAAUAGCAAAUAGUUGGUGGAUCAAAUGGAACUUACAUAAGUAAUGGAUCAACUUCAAGGUACCAAAACACAUACAAACAAUGACCAAUAUUAGAAAACAAGCAACAGACAACUUAACAUUACAAGUGAAAGACAAACCUCCAUCUUGAUGAUGGUGACAGCUCCUUGCAAUCCUGUAAGAUUGAGAACAACGGACAUUGUUAUGAAAAAUACCACUUAUUCUUUUGAACAAGUCAAAUACCAGUCACUAACACAUCAUGAAUAUUAUGAUAAUAUCUUUUUAUUUUUGAAACUGGUAAUGUGAAUAUCAUGAUAUAUCAAAUAUAAGACACCCACAAAAGAAAAUUUCACUUACUUUUAAAAUUACCCUGAAAUCUUCCCGAGCUUUUUUCUGUUUAACACGCCUCUCUUCAGCUUCUAGUUUUCUCUUUUGGCUCAAAUACUGGAACAGACACACGACUUCAAAAUGAUCACUAUAGACCUUAGGUGUGUUUGGUAUGAAGGAAAAUGUUUUCCUAGAAAACAAGUUGGUUUCUUACUUGAUUUCUUAUGUUUAGUUGAUGAAAGGAAAAUAUUUUUUAGAAAAUUUUUUCUAGUGUUUGGUUGGUGAAUAAAAAAAUAUUUUUCAGAAAAUACAUUUGAGAGUUGUAUAAAAAUUUCAACUUAAGAGUGAGAUUGAAAGAGAGUUUUGGAAAAUGUUUUUCCUACUUUUGGAAGGGAAUUCAUUUUCCUUAAAUUUAAGAAAAAUAAGUUGAUUUGGAAAACAUUUUCCAAAAUAUUUAAGUCAACCAAACAUGAAACAAUUCAAUAUCAAACACAAUCUAUCUUUUUGCAAUAUGGUAUGCUGAAACAUUGAGGCAACAAUUAACCAUUCCAAUGCCGACUUGGAGAGAUACCUCAUUAAAAGCUUGCUUCUGCUCACAAAGGGAUUUUACAGCACCAUAUCUCCGGUCAUUAAUUACUGCUCUCAUGGCCUGACUAAUACAAUUCAUGUCAAAUGAUCUCCCUCAAUUGUUUGGUACGCACAAAACACUCAAGUAAUAAACCUGAUUCCACAUGCAAUCAGACCCAAUAUUUGCAGAUUCCAAAAGAGUUUUGAAUGUACUCUUUUCCUCCUAAAUAAAAUCAGAUACUUAAAAUAGAAAUAAGAGAAAUUUCGAGAACAUACAUUAAACGAGACAAAAAGCAAUAAUCAACUAUACCGCUUUGCUCUCAUAAACUAAUGGUCCCAGCUCGACUAUUUUCUCAUCUGAUGGAGUAGUACCUCCGAUUUCAGUUAUUACAACAUCUUUCUUGACAUUCUGCAUGUUAGGCACAACAUCAAUCACAAAGGACAAAAGCAAACCUCAUUGGAAUUUGUAGCAUAUUCUUCACCUGUUAGCAGUUGACUAACAACUACACUACAAAAUUGUUGGAUCAACAUCCAGCAUAACAGCUAUGAAAAGCUUUCUUGGUGUUUUAACCAGUAACCAGUAGUAAUUAACUAAUUGCAUAAGUAUUUCAGAAGGACAAAGUACCUCUCUAUUCUUCGAAGAAAAUCCAUCACCAUACACUACUGUAACUUGAGUUGUAGUAGUCUCAAAACUACAGAAAAAUUGAAUUCCAAAUAAGAAGCAACAUAAACCAGAGGCAAAUUUAUAACAUAUAAAUCUGAAAACAUGCACCGGUGGCGCGACAGAAUUUCCCAAGGUUACUGCUAUUCCAAUUUUCUCUGAAUUAGCAACAGCUGGCAAAGCAGGUUCUGAAGAAUUCUUCAUUUCAACUGUUCCAAUCAUCGGAGAAGAAACAUUACCAGAUAAACUUGAUGAUUCUAAAGCCACAAUAGUUGGUAAGUUAGCAGCUGGUGACACAGCAAUUGGGCUUGAUUUAGCAUCGUGUGCCGAGACUAAUAAACCAUCUGCACCCGGGGAUGAUGUUUUAACAACAGAAAUGGAUCCAAAAUCAGAAGCGUGCAAAUUCUCUCCAGGACUUGUAAAUUCUCUCCAGUAAGUUGAUGCGUCUGCCUUCUGUCCCAAUGAAAACUGAAUAAAAGUAGGUUAAGUCAAAAAAUAGAACAUAAACAGUACCCUGAGAGUAGAAAUCAAUAACUUCCAGCAGUACAAUACUGGAUGGAAGUGUUAGAAUAUGAAUGAUAUAAUGUCCCACAUAAAAAAGGACUAGCAUGUACUGUGUAGAAUAUAACUACAAGCAGGGUGGAAACAUUGCCAAGCUGCGGCUGAGCUACAACUAUCCAAGGGUGAUCAACUCAACAACAUUCGCUUGAUAAUCGUAUUUUGUAUAUAUAUAUAUAUAUAUAUAUAGGUCAAAUUCUGUCGUUUCUAAGUAUUUUUUAAUGAACACCCUCGCCACAAAAAACAAGACGGAGUGUGACAGUAAGGGUGUUCAAAUCUUGCAAUGAGGUUCUAAGUUCCAUACUCAACACAGCCCCCCCAUAAUUUUUUUUUUCAUUUGGACACGUUUGAAACUCAUAAACUACAGUUAUGCUUUUUUUGAUGAAUCAAUUUCUGAACAUGUGUUUUUUGUCCCAAUUAGCUCUUACAAAAGAGCUAGUAACUAGCAUGCCAGGUAUCAGAAUUUUGUUAAAAUAAACUUAAAGGUAAAUUUAUAAAGUGGUUGUUAUACUAGCUAUCUUGCAUGGGGCAGAGUGUUUGGCUGGUCAAGAGCUCGCAUGUUCGAAAGAUAAACGUAGAAGAAAUGAGGAUGUUGAGAUUGGUGUGUGGGCAUACUAGGAGAGAUAGAAUAAGGAACAAAGAUAUGCGAGAAAAAGUGGUAGUGCUCUCUGUGGUGGACAAUUAACAAGAAGACUAGAGGGUUGGGGAUAAAGAACCUAAAAAUUCAAAGUAAGGCUCUCGUGAUGUAAUGGUUUUGGAAAUAUGCAAACAAUAACCAGCUGCUAUGGAGGAAAGUGAUUGGGACUAAAUAUCCUGAAGAAGAUAGAUGGAUAAAUAAAGAAUUGACCACACCAUACGGGAUUAUCCUCUAGAGAUCUAUUAGACAAUAGUGGAAUGAAGUUAAAAGAAACUCAAAGGUUAAAGUGAUGGAUGGAAACAAGACUAGGUUCUGGAAGGAUAAUUGACAUGAGGAUGGGAAUAUGGAAGUUAUUUUUCCUGAUAUCUACAACUUGGUAUUGCUUCAAUAGAGGACUAUAGCAGAAUUAUGGACACCACAUGGGUGGAACUUCAAUUUCAGAAGGCAACUUAAUGAACGGGAGGUAAUGAGAGUAGUUGAAUUUUUUAAUACCAUGGACUUAUUCAAUGGACUGCAAACAGUGAAGGAUGUACUAUGGUGGAUGGGAAAUGAAAAAGGAAUGUUCAGUGUCAACAAAGCCUACAAGAUAAUGAACCAAAUAAAUCACCCAGAUCCAAGAUGGCCAUGGAAGAAAAUAUGGAAAAGUAGGAUACCUCACACAGUGUCGUGCUUUGUCUUUGUCUGGUUACUAACCAAGGAAGUAGUUCUUACACAAGAUAAUGUCAUGAAGAAAGGAAAAACCUUGUGCUCCAUAUGUUUCCUCUGUGGAGAAACUUAGUGAUGGUUAACCAUGUAUUUCUACAUUGUAAGUACACCCAACAACUUUGGAGAAUCGUCUCAAGACUAAAAGGCAUUUCCAGGACAAUGCCUAGGAAAGUAUCCAAGACUUUAAUAUGCUGGGAGAACCAGGUGUACAUGCGAAGAACAGAGGUAGAUGGAGAAUUAUCCCUGGUGCUAUAUGGUGGGCUAUAUGGAAAGAAAGGAAUUCUAGAUGUUUUGAAAGCAUAGAGAAUAGUGUGCAGAAGGUUAAACUCAAUUGCAAUUUUGCUUUUAUGUUUUUAGUGUAAUCAACUAUACUCUAAUGAUAUUACCUCGAUAAUUGAUGUUCUAGACUAAAUUUAGAGAUAGAACAGUUGAUUUUGGAGUACUCUUGUAUAUAAAGGUUUCAGUACAACCCAUGUACUGUGUGAUAUAAUACAAAGUUGCCAAGUUCAAAAAAAAAGAUAAUAAUUUUUCAAGUACUAAAAGUUUAUAAAAUAACAAAUAAAGCAAUUAAAUCUGAGUUCAAAUUAGGUGGGUUGGGUUAUGACCCGAAUUUUAGAGCAUUUCAACCCAACUCGUUUCAGCCCAAGUAGCUUUAGGGCGGGUUAAUAACCCGCCCAUUUAUUAACUCAGACCUCUUUGAUCCGCCCAAAUCCAGCCAACCCCGCCCAUUCGACACCUUUAUUUUAAAAGAAGUAAAGUGGACCAUGCCAGAACACAUACCAGAUCUAUUGAGUUGAAGUAAAGUGGACUAUCAAAGGACACACAACAAUCUGUUGAGUUGUUGGAUUAGUGGGGAUUAAAAAGAGUGAGAAGAAACGGGGGAGAACAAUCCUUCCUUGUAUUUGGUGGACUGUAUGGAGCGAGAAAAUUUGAAGGUAUUUUGAAGAUAAAUAUAAUUCCAUUCAGAAAGUUAAAUGAAAUAACAUUGUAGAUUUUUGUUUAUUGUUUAAGGGCCAAUGUGUACAGGAUGCAUAACAGGUAGUAGAUCUCUUCGAAUCCUAGCAUUAUUUUCAUUAUUUUUCAUUUCUUUUGGACUGUUAGCAUAAUCUUAACGCUGACGAAUACAAAGUAAUAUCUCUGAAAAAAAACUGUUUAUCUGAAAAAAAAAAGGAAUAAAAAUGUUCAAACUUCCUUACAGCUCCAGUUGUUGGUCCCUUAAUACUUGUCCCUCACAACCAGCCAAACUUUCUUUGAUAACCGUCAUGUUUGGGCCAGCUUGCACCUUGACUAGUUACACCAGGUACUGCUACCUCCCACCAGCACAGAUACUAGGUAACUCUGUCCAUCAAGGCUUGGACAGACGGUAAGAAAUCACCUAGUGUUUUUAUCUCUGUUGGAAAUUAAACCUGAGACCUCAUGGUUCUCAAUCUACUUCAUUGACCACUAUGUCACACUUUUGGGUGCAAGUGUGCAACCAGCCAAACUAUUAUUCUGUAAACCAGAAUGAGAAGUGUCAACCACAAUAUUAUAUCAAGUUUCCUCUCUCCAUAUCAUCAUUGAGUUACAAUAACAUUACAUUAAUCAGAAAGUAAAUAAAAUUGUUUAAAAUAGACCAAAUAUAAUCCUGUCGUGUAUGCUUAAACACAUUUUUUAGAACAAUAGUGUUAAAUAUAAAAUCUUUUAGAACUAUAUUAGAAAUAAAAGGUCAAUGCAAAUCCCAAAUGAAGCCUACAUAGUAUAGUAAGAUCGAGGAAAUUUGCUCGCUAAACAAAUUUUCAACAGAAAUCACAUAUACUUAGGAAAGAAAAAGAGUUUCUGCGAAGCUUCAUAGAAAAAGAAUCAUGUACUUCUUUUUCAUUGAUAAGCACAGGAAACUGGAUAAAACUACCCAUAAAAAUCUCGAUGACAUGAGACCUCACCUCCAUUUCUGUCAUUAUCUCUCGAGGUUUCUCCCAGGUAGAGAUUCUUGUCCUUCUAUUAUAAUAGUAUCUAAAAAUCAAUUCAAGAAUUGUAAGAAUGUUACUAAUUGGUUGGAGUAAUAAAGCCAUAGGAAAUAUGACAACAUUAGCAACCAUAACUGGCCUACUGAUCAUCAAAAGAUGCUGAAAAUAGCAAUACCUACUAGCAUUUAGACACAUGUAAAUAUGUAUGAUAAUAGAGAAAUGGGGUCAAAAUGAAGUUAUCGGUAGUGGUGUAUCAAGUUCUGCUGAUCAACAGUCAGGUAGAAUUUGGUAGCGGUGAACGGCAGCCCAUAUGAUAACUUUGACAAAGAGGACUGAAACAAAUGGGCCUAUUAUCUCCAGUGCUAAUGGAAGCAGAAUGAUGUACAAAGCACUAGAUGUGGAUACUUGAGGAUUUCUUGGCAGUGAUGGGGGCCAACAUAUCCACCACUUGUUCAUAGACAAGAAAUUAAGUGUUUGUCCAAAUCGGCAUGCUCUUUUUUCUGGAGAACACAAAGUGGUAAAAAGAUUGGAUCUAAAUGAAAAUGAUUGCAGAGCUCCUUUUCUUGUAUACUGUGGUUUUACACCUUUCUUGUUCACUGGAAUCUUAAUUUGCUUACAAAAAACUAUCAUAGAAUUCAAAUGUUGACACUCUCAGUCAACACACACCCAUUAACCCAUUAACUUAAGUAUGUUACUUGUUGACAACAUUUAUGCAAAACGGGUACAAUAAAACACAUUGAAUUCUUACUGGAAUAACCAAGGGAGUUGUUAAUUCUCCAGUCUUCUACAUAGUUGUCGCAGAAUUCACAUUAUGAUUAAUUAGUGGCAUCCAGGGUUAUACCCCUGAUGGAAACGUAUGAUUAUUUAUCUGUGUCUGAUACUGGGAGCCAGAAGAAUCAACAUUUACCUGCUGUUAAAGACGAUAACAAAAUGUAUUUCAUCAAUAUAUGAAUGGAACAUCGGAAACUUAUUGACAAUAACCAAAAAAGAUCUUCCCAAGGCCUUACAUUAUAUGAAGAAGAAACAGGUAAAUUUGGGGCACCAGAACCAGGCAUGUGGUUAUUUGACAUCGGAAGAUUUCGCUGAAAAUCAUGGGGAAUAGGUGGUCCCUAAGGAAUACUAUGCUUUCCUACUACAGGUCUACCAGUAACCUAUUGCAUAGGUUGAGGAAAUUGGAUUUGAGAAGGUUGAGACAUCGCAACAUUUGAAUGUCCAAGUGGCAGAAAUUAUUAAGAUGACCCGGAACCAUAAGGUUGUGCCUGUGGGCUGGAAGCAUAGGCUGAAACUGCUAAAGAUGUGGGGAAAAUAGUUAUCAUAAUGUCUCUACAUUCAAAAGUCAUUUAUACCUCCCCCGAGCCUCCACAACUUUACCUGCAAUGACAUGGAUGGAAUAGCACCAGGAGCAGGACCAGCCAGAGGAGGUAUAGGAGGCUUCUCAACCAAUAUCCAUGCAAGGAAGAACAAAUGAAAUCAGAAUUUAGCUACUUUUCAAUCAUAUUUAGUUAAUUUUCUAAUCAAUGUCGAAAGAUUGUAUCCAUGCGCAACUCCCUAAAUUAAUUUGAAAGACAAGGAAAGAAUUUUGAAGCCAAACCACAUAGUAACAUGAAACCAUUUUCUUCAUCUAAUAAAUAGAAAGCUUGAAACGAGAAUAAAGAGAGAUAGGAAAUAGAUGACCUAUCAUAGCGUUAGAAGAGAAUGGACAAAAUGAUAAGCAUCUUUACCUUAUGGCUUGGGUUCAACAUCUACUGAUGGUCUAAGUAUCUUUUCUUCGGGUGUAAAGAAGCACGUCUGUUAAUGCAAAACUAUGAUCAUGGAACUGAAACAUGAGGUAUGAGUAGGUAUUAGAAUAACUGAAAAAUACUGAGACCAGAAUGGGUUGAGCCUCACUCUUCCCUUCUGAUGUUCUAUGUCAUACUGACAUCACUACUAGAAUCUGAAAGCCUGACUUAGUUAUUCGCUCUAUCAUCUCCCCCUUAGCUUCAAGUCAUCAUAUUAAGUUUAGGAGAUCCCUUACUAGACUCUAAACUGAAGUACACUCACUGCAAUCUGGGGUUUGAAAAACUACUAUACACGCAUAUCAUGGCACUUAACCCAAAUGACUACACCUAAAAGUUGAAAACCCACUGUUAAUACUACCUUCUGAGAUACACUUUAUCAUUCUAUAGACCCAGUAGUCAUCAUAUAAUACUUGCAUACUUCUAACUUUGGGUCUUCAUAGGUAUCCCCAUAGUCGGAGUGCACACCCUCUAGUGCUUUAACUCUUAUUUCUAUUAGUUCAACCUUCAAAAACUCAAACUUAGAAUCUAGCUCUCAACAUGGAUAUCACUAAGACUUCAAUGAAUCAUACUACUUCCGACAUAGCCUACCAAUAUCGCGACUCCAAACUUACAUCUCUCUACUAUGAGAACUAAGAUCAUAUAAAAAGUCUCAACACUAUCAAUCAAACUCCUUAACUUGGCUAUUUAGAACGCCAUAUACCAUCUAACUAGUCUUUCUCCACCUAGCAACUCAACGGUACCACUCAUCACACAAAACGUGUAAUAGUCUUAGAAAAUACCGCAACCCCAGAUCACCUUGGGUAUACUUCUACAUUAUAUAUGCAACAUCAUACUUCACUACGAAUCAAAUAAACUUAAGCUCUUGCAUAUAUCUUUCAAUCCUAUUAGAUUACUUUCAUAAAACUAGUAUCAUUAACCAAGAAAUCAUCACAUCCACCUUCAUGGACAUCAAUUGUUCAAAACUUAAUGUCUAGUGCUAAACAUGAUUUUACAACCCAACCUUACACAUGAUUCUCACUUGGAUACCAUGAAAUAGACAUCAAGAAACACUAGUACACUAGAACUUCCAAACAAAAAAUAAUUGAUCUUGACCUUAUGGUGUUCCUUAUCAUAACUCAUUAGCACGUACUAUUUUAACACAUCAAGCCUAAUAAUUUUUUUCCCACAAAACAUACAUCAUUAAUCUCAUACCACUAUUUUUACCACCACAUUCUACAUUAAAUUCAAGCAUAUAGUCCUGUACCAAUCAUCUAUCACUACUGAAAAAUGCAACAUAAUAUGCUAGUCCAUAAAAUUUGGGACAUACUAUACAAGCGCCUAAAAAAUCACUACAUACCUUCUCACAAGUAGUACUAGUUUACAAUUACCAACGAAAACAAGGUCAAGGGGUAAAGUUACAUAAUAGACAUGAUCAACCUUAAUCUUAUAUUAUAACCCCAUACAAUCUUUUCUACUUAUACGGAUUUCUCACCUCAUACUUACAUACCCAAACAUACAUUUAGACUACUUUCAAAUUCCACAAACAACCAUGAGUCUAUACUUACAACUUACUGGCUAAUAUAGCCAUUUUCACACUUCAAGCAAUCGAGAAAUCACCCUAACUAAAAACUCCUUCUCUACCUUCUACUAAACUAACACACAAGGACAAAUCACCUCUUUACCAACUCAAUCUCAUGCAAACAGAUUCAGCUAUAUAUAUAUAUAUAUUAAACUAACACAAGAACAACAAGUUGGACAACAAGUUGCUAGUGAAUCGAAAUAGGCCUCACACAGCUUCACUAGACUUCGAUUUCGUAUUUUGAACAAGAAAAUGAGAUGAAUGACAAGUCAACUAUGCUAGUGAAUCAAAAGAUCCCCACAGAGCUUCACUAGACUUUAUUUUUUUCAACAACACCUUGAUGACAAGAUUACAUGAGAUACAAAUUUAAUAUGCAAUAUCCAAUGAACUAAGAAUACACAUCUUACUUUGUAUAAAUAAAAUCGGAGUCAAACACUUCCUCCACGAACUACCAUACCAUCAACACAUGCAACUAGUUACCACAUUAGUCUAUCACCAUAAGGAGGUAAAUCAUUCUCGAACAUCGGUUAUUAUACUAAAAUAUUCAUUUACACAAAAGUCACCCUCGCUCUGACUUCUAACUUUGUGACUUCACAUCACCAACUUCUUGGUCUAAUUUCACUACCAAUAGGUCAUGACAACAACACUUUAGCACAUACUACUAUUCGGGUAGAAAUAUAGUUCUAACAUUCUACUACACAUCAUCCCCCCUAAAGCAAAACAUUUGUAACAUAAAUUUGAAGGGGACUAAAUGCAAUUAAUACCUCAAGAUGAAAAUCACGAUUCCAUCAGGAUCAAUGUUUACAUCGGAAUCAAUACACAUUGAAGCACUAAUGGACUCUUCUCAAGUUCUUGCACAAAUUUUAACUCUUAUAUGGUUCAAUCAGAAAGGACCAUACCAUUUAGAUUCUAAACUUCUUCACUUGAAUCACCACAAUAAUGAGACAUAUCUGAGGACAUUAGAGUAAGGAAAGAAUUUGGGAUGUCUUUUUUUUUUUACUUCCGUAUGGGCGACACCAUAGCACGAAUUAGAGUAUGAAAGAGGAACAUUCUGACUCUAUUGCAUGAACUAGAACAUGAAGAAAGAGAGACAUUCCUAAACGCCUAGUAGCCUCCUACUUAUAAGUGUGGCGCGCUACACACCCAUAAACAAGACUCUACCCGACGCGAUUUCACAGACACCCUGGGACCAUGAACCGUGCUUUGAUACAAAGUUUGUCACGACCCGAACCGGGGCCCUGGCCGUGACGAGCAUUCUGAACAAUGACUAAAACAACCAUGUCCCACAAUAUAUAUCGACAUCUGAACAACCGUCAGCGAAAUCUCUAAUAUAUGACUGAAACAAAUUACUGUCUGAAAACUGGUCCCCAGUAGACCCAAAAAUACUAAAUGAUAAAUGAACUGACACAGAACUUCCGAAAUAUAGAAGGCUCACCACUUGAUUCUGCAAAUCUGUCGAAAGAGAUUUACUGGUUAUCUGAACCCCUAAACUAUGCCUCCAAACCUGGGAGAGAAGGGGGUCAAUAUAAAAGUACUAGUACGCAGAGAAACCAAAAACAAAAUAUAAUAUUUUUUUCCAAAUAUAGGUGAGAGCCAUUAUAAAGCAGUUCUAUAUCAAAUUAUUUGAAAACACAUGGGCACAAUGUAAUAGUUUUCAACAAUAAUGUAAUACAGCUGAGCUAGGUGGAAUACCCUGCAUAUAACAUUUACACCAACUGUCAAAUCUCGGUUGCCGCUGAGAUUAGAGUAUAAGUGAGAGGAAGACAUACAAGAUCACAUAGCAGGGUGUCUCGACCCAAUAAAGUAUAGUACUGCCCAAGAUCACUUAUCCUGGGCGCCUAACCAUAGUCCCAAUUUGGGAAUGACAUAAAGUCAAGUACACAAGAUCACUUAGCCAAGUACCAAAUCCCCAUAUCGGCAAACAUGGUUUCCAGCGAUGAGCCCUUACACUCAAACGCCUUCUUCGGGCAUCCACCUAUCUCAUGUAAAAUCAAUGCAUCAAACUCCAUUUAAUUCAAUCACAUAUCUUAUUCUGUAGGGUAUGGUCAUACCCGACUUACAAGCCAUCAAUAUCACAUCAUUCUUUCAUGCAACUAUUAUAUUCAUCAUAUUUCAACAUAACAACACUCUUAUUGUAAGUCAAAACCAUGACCAUUUUAAAAAUAUUUCAUGUCACGCUUGUCAAGAUGAUUUCAAACAUUUCAUAUCAUAUGAGAAUUUAAAACGAGAUCAUAUAAAAAGAGGGAUUUCAUAUAAUUCAUGCUCUCAAGUUAACAUCUUUUCGGAAUACAUGCAUAUACAUAUAUCAUAUAUCAAACCACUUCGGGAAUAGGCCUAAAGACCAAAUCAAUAUCAUAAAAUGUUUAAAAUGGGAUUAUAUUCAUAAUUUCAAAACCCCCAUUUUUAAAACAUAAAUUUUUAAGCCCAUGAGAUUUUUUAGAUAACCCCGCGUACCUCUAUAUGCGAAGAUGAUAGGUGCUUCUUGAAACCUACGUUCUAGGGAUUCCAACUAUGCAAUUCGUUUCAAAAACCCACGGUUGAAUCUUGAGUUGCUUAGGUUUUUAUUUUGAAACCCUCAGGAGAGUUCUUGAGAAAUUUUGAUGAAUGAAGGUGUAUUUUGGGGUAUUUUGGGAACUGAAUUUCGUGUUUAUGGCUAAAUAAGGGUGGAAAAAGGACCAUUUUGGCCCAAAAAUGGAGUGUUUAAGUCACUUGAGUAAUAAUAUAUGCGGCACAAACCUUAUCACAUAAUUUAGGUUGUGCGUCACACUCUUUAUCGCACACAUUAGAUUGUGCGUCGCACACCUUAUGGCAUAAGUUAGGGUGUGCGUCGUACACCUUAUGGCAUAAGUUAGGGUGUGCAUCGCACACCUUAUGCUGUACGAUACACUACACUUUGCAAAGCUAUAACUUCUUCCUCGGGUGUCAAAAUUUUGUUAAAUUGGUAUCGUUGGAAAGAUAAUUCGAAUAUCUUUCAUUUGAUAUAUAUUAGGAACUCUAAUUCAAUAUAUACAAAGAGUAAUGGUCGAUUGAAGUUGACCUAAGUCUCAACGCUCACUAAAAUUCGAAUGAUAGGAAAACUUUCAACUUGUCCUUGAGCUUGGGGACCUCUAUGAUCUCAAUUCAUGCUCAAAUAGGUUUCCACACUACAUAAUUUAUUAACACACUAAAUUUGCAUUGGAUUAUGGAUUUUGGAACCUUUAUGUGAAGAAAAUGACAAUUUUCGUUCUCGUCCGAAAUGCGGGGUGUUACAAAAUUUUGUUAGAAAAUGGAGUACAUUUUAGCUGCAUCGUACUCCAAAUACACUAAACUGAACUUUAAAAGUAAUAAUGCAUUUCUUACCUGUUGGUGUGUAGCAUUCAAAAGUUUUAUUGUCUUUGGUCGGAAGAUAGCCACAACGACGGUUUCAAGCAUGAAGAUUAAACUAAAAAGAAGCCAUGCUCGCUCUGGAGUUCCUGCUACAUGAUGCAAUAUUACUCUACAAUGUUGAAGCCACUUUCCUAAUCCUUGGAGUCUAAGUUCUUUCGAGAAUGAAAUAUGAUUAGGUAACACAUCCUAAACAUCAUUUGAAUCGGUGACAGGAGGUUUACUAUCGCGAUGUUCUCCAUCAGCAUCCAAACUACUUCUCUACAAUAAGGCUAGAAUCAUUGGGUCCAAUCCAUUCUCCUUCAGCAUCACUGCAAAAUUAGGAUCAAGCCCUUUAUCUUGCAAUAAAUUAGCUAAUUCAUGAUCAGUGUGUCUUCCUUUCCGCUUUAACAUAGAUGUAAUCCUCGGAUCACUCAACUUUUCUUGAAAUGCAAGUGCGAAAUUCAAGUCCAGUAUCUGUUGGUUUGCAGAAGUGGAUGUACUAGAAUCACAGCCUUGGCUUUCAAGGCCACUGCUAGAACAAAAAAACAAUGAACUAUUGUGCUCUAAUUUUCUGUCAACAUAUGAUGAUCCUACUUCAGUCUCUUGAACAACUGAACGAUAGGAACUACUACGUAGAGCUAGACUUAGUCUUUCACUGUCUAUGCUCUUAUCACUAUUAAUCCCCUCAAUAUUAUUCCAGGUACUGCCAUCACUAGUGCAAGGAACAAUUGCAUUAUCAAUAUGACCAGCAUCAGCACUACUACUACAUUUGAUACUUGAGCCACAACCCUCAGAAGAGCUUGCGGAGCUAUUUUGGUCAUUUCUGUGGAAACCUUCUCUAAGGCGGAUAACUGUGCUCUACAAGGCAUCUCGUCUAGCUGCUGAUGGGUCUGUAACUGAUAAAUGCCGUGAAACAGCAGCACCCAACAACACAGAUGUUACAAUUUCAUAACUGAUACAAUGUCCAAAGUACCUGAAACAAAAUUAUUGCAGUAAAAGAUUAGAAGAUUUUUUUUGAUAACAAAAGAUUAGAAGUUUCUAUUCAACAAAUAAUAUUAAAAGGGAUGCAUAUGCCACAAGUAUAAGAAGACUUAAUUAUGGAAGAAAAUGAAUUAGCAUGGGUUAAAAACAAACCAAUAAUGAACUCCAAAAUAGAUCAGGAACACUCGAGAUGUACCGGCAACAAAAAGUAUGAUGACUCGACUUUUCAGAAGCUUAAAGCCAUACAAGCAAACUCCUAAGUUCCAAUCUGAUUGAAUGAAAAGAUAGUGAAUUCAUUACUUACCACAAAGAUAUAAGAAAUUAUUUCACAAUACGAGUCAGAAAAGGAGACAGAUAUAUGUAGAAAAUGAACUACCAAGGAUUAUCACGGCAGCUGAUGUUGUAGCCCCAAGCCAGUUUGAUUUCUUUUCUGUCAGACCAUACAGGAUAGAAUACACAAGAAGUACUACAAGUGAACCAACAUAUAGAAGUCCAAGAUGCAGAGCCCUGCAGAGCCCAAGUUCAAAGUGAAGAAGGGUAAAUUAUAGACUUCAGAGAAAAUAUUGAAAAGAUAGUGCAGAAAAUAUGAUGAGCAGUAUAAAUGAGAACCCACUGAACACAUAAUAUAAUAAGGUACUUUCUAAUCUAAAGCAGCAUUUAAAUUAAUUUUCUUAGCAGUGGGAUUUUAAGAUCUACUAUUUUUACUGGACUACUGGAGAGUGUGUUUUGUUCUCUCAGAGUUUGUAUUCCUUUUACUCAAAUAGGUUUGAGUUACACCCAUUGUUUAGCGUUCUUUGGCUCUUAAUUUUAAAAGUCCAUUAGAAUGAUUAGAGGGCAGGGUGGAACUCCCUCAUAGCAAGUCAAAUGAAGUUUAAAACUAUAUAAAGAAGAUGAAACUAGAGGCUUCUGUAUGUGUCUCACAUACUUGGCAUAAACCAUGUGUGAAUGAGCACAACAGAAUCAAAUGUACUGAGACAAAGCAAGCAUUUGAUUGCAGAUCAAAUGGAAGAGUCUGCCAACCAACCAAAUUUAAGAGCAGCUCUGGUCCAUGCACCAUUUUGAGGUAAAGUUAUAUGGUUAAAAAUUUGGACGUUACUUAAUAUAUGCACAAACUGAAAAUGAACUGCCCAGUUAGACAAGUGCUUUUUGUAUCUACCCAGUGACAACCUUAGUGAAAGAAUACAUCAAUGAGAAGUUAACUCAGUAAGCUUAAUGAGCUUUCUCCUGCAAGGAAUGAAAGUGUGGAUGACCCAACAUCAAAUAUACGAUUAUUAUUAUACACACAAUCUCCAUACAACAGCAACAACAUACCCGAUGUAUAUUCGGGCCGAAUAUAUGCAAACUAUACCUCUACCUCAGAGACGAGAAAAAAAUGGUAGCACCAAUCCUCACUAAAUACUUCAUAACACAAAAAACAGCCAAUACUUACAAAACCAAAUAAAGCAAAAGAAGUUCAUUGUCUUGAUCACCAGCAAGUAAAACAAAUGUUUACAAUUGGAGAUUCAAAAAGGUUGCAAAAGAAAGAAGCAAACUUUCUAUUUAACAAGUAUCAAAGGGGGGAAAAUAAGAGUAAAACCAGUAAGUAUACGAGAAGUAUGAACACUAUAGUCAAUGAACAAAAUAUGAAUUGUAGUUUAGCCAUUUAGCAUCCAUCACUCCAACAGAGAAUUAGGUCUUGUAAGAAGGUCGAAAGAUUUGCCUAUCGAGUCUUUCAAGAUUAUGAUUUGACCCUCUUUCAUAAGAAAGUCUUCGUUGAGGGUAUCUACCUUCCUUUUCAACAUAUUGAUUCAUAAUUCAACGGCAUGUUCAUCUCACUGUAGCACUUAACUUCCUCCCACAUGAAAUCCCUCUCCUGAAACACUUUUGGUAGUAUCUCCUUCACAAUGCCAAGUUCCUUCAUGCAUUCUUGCAAAUCAUUAGUAAGCUGGUUGAUAUUUUCAUCCUUUUUUAGCAGCUGCCAGAAUCAACCGUAAACCAUGAAAAACAAGAAAGACACAAAGAUCACCAAUAACAUUUCAUCAAAAAUUCAAAACAAAACCAUAGCCUAGAAGUUCAACCAAAUCAUGAAUCCUUUUUAACUGUUAAAAUUCACAGUAGAUAACUCGUGAACUUGUCCAAGAAUUAAGUCAGAUGAACGAGCAAACUUACCGAAACCCCUUCGGGUAACUUUACCACAUCAGAGCAAAAUCAGAUCAAUGGGUUUGAGGAUAUCACAAAGUGUAUCAUGUUCUUGGUUGGUUCAACUUAUUACACAUUAAGGCGAUCAGACAUUUCAUAGAAGACUACCACAUGCCAGCAACUCAUGUAUACAAGUUCAUAAAGAAAAUCGUGAACUUCAGAUGGAACAAAGAUGAACCUAAAAUCAAACAGAAGUAGAAAGCUAAUGCAGAGAGAGUAAGAUAUGAACAGACUAUCAUAUAUGAAGACGAGGUAUCCAAAGUUGAAAAAUAAAAACUAUUUCGUUGCAAUGAGAUCUUAACAUUUCAUGCUUACCUGAAGCUCGAGAUAUUUCAACUUAGGUAUGGCAUAAGAAAGAGUGUCCAACGCAUUUCGCACUUCAUAUUUGAGAAUGUCGUUACCUCUAACUAUUGCGACUAGAUCAGCCUGAAGCUGCUUUAUGUCCAUCUCCUCGGAAUAGAGCUUCUCCCUUAGCAUAGUUGUUAGCAAAGUCUCUGAUUUAAGAUCUUUAACCUUUUCCUGGUAGUUUUCUCAGACAUAAUCUCUAUUGUCUUGAGCUACUCGAUAUUCCGUUUGUAACUGAGUGAGCUGCAACCUUAGAUUUUGAUUCUCCUCUGACACUUGCUCUAUUCUCUUAGACAAAUCUCCAAGGUAUUUCUCCGAAAAUGACAUAUUGAUUCUAUUAUCUACUUCCUUCUCAUUAAAUAAAGAGACUUCCCUUGGUAAAGAGACAUUCUACUCUACAAGCUCCCUCACCCUUUCAUAGAGUCUAUGUUGUUCAAUUUGGUAUUUCUCAAGUUUUAAAGACCAAUCACUGGAUCUUCUAUCCAACUACUUUUCCAUUAUUGAUUGUAACUCAUUCUUUUCUGUCUCCAAUCUUCGUGUCCAUGAAUCUAUUUCUGCCUGUAAUAUGCUAGCUUCUUCCUUAGCAGAAGCCCUUUCAGCAACUUGAUUCCAUAGCAUGCUUAAAACUUCAGAAGCCAUUUGUACCUUCUCCUUUGUCAAUCUUCUAAUAGUCUAAAUCAACACUGGAAUGCUAAGGUCUCUGCCAUAAGAAAUAUUUGUCAUUACUUUGGACAAGCAAAUGCAAAUUAAAACAUCAGUUUAAGUGUGAAAAAGAAAGCUAUAGCAAAAUGAUAUGCAUACCGGCUUGAAUCACGACCAGAUUUCUUAGGAUGAACUUUCUUACUAUGACCAUGGAGAGAUUUGCUCAGAUUCGUGAAAUUCUUUUUUCCUAACCCACUGUCAUAAAAGAAUCCAGAUGACAAUGAAACACUUCUCCUAGAAGAAACUUCCUUGGACUUUAAUGGUGGUGAAGGGGUCUUGUUUGCAUCAUUAGUUGAUGAUCAAAAAAAGAAGAAGUUGUUCUUCAUCAUCUCUAUGUAUGGAUACUGUACAUGAAUCAAAACUAGUGUCCAUGAGAUUUCAAAGGAUAAAGCAAAACACUCAUAAACAGCCACUCACAAAUCAUUAUCCAUUCAUGAAAAUACUGCAAGCUAACUAAAUACUUAUGAUACAAAGAAAAACAUCUCUCUUUCUACAUGCUUCUUCUUCAACAACAACAUACGUAACCCCUACCUUGGCAAGUAGAAAAUUUAUUUCCCAUAAAUCCUCGGCAAGGAAAGCAAAAACACGAGGAUAUUAACAACAGUAGCAAGUAUGAAAAUAGAGGUAUACGAUACAAAAAGUAGAAAAAAAAAUAUGUACUAAUACUACUACCAGAAGAGACAUGACGCGAAACUAUUUAGUACUAGUCUUCUACUGAAAAUAAAUAAAAUACCCCACAAACAAAUAGCCCAAGAACAAUUCAAAGAACUUAUCAAAUCCUUCUGAUAAAACAAAUAAUCAUGGUAAAUAAUUAAAAAAAAAAAAAGAGAAAUUACUGAAUCAAAGAGUUGAAAGAGUAAGAGCCGGCAAAAGGUUGUCAGAAUCUGUAGGAUUCUUGUCAUUUUUUCUUGAAAUGUAAAAAUAGCAAAGGACUAGAAUGGAGAAAACUUUAUUUCUGUGUCUUUCAUUCAUCAUCGUACAAUGCAUAUAUACAACUAACAAGGAUCUGUAAAUUGCAAGUAAAUAUUUACAAGGAUCUGUAUAUGGCAAGUAAAUAUUUACAAGGAUCCAUAAAUAUGACAAGUGAAUAUUUACAUACACAUAAUGAAAAACUUGAGAAAUACCCAUGAGAGAGAGAGAGAAGAAAAGUGUAACAAAUAUUUUGUGUUAUUCAAUGGCUAUAAAUAGCCAUAUGAGGUCAAAUUUUCCAUAUAAUAGAAAUAAGAUGUAAACUAUAAAUUAACUUUUUCAAAUUAGCACACAAAUUAACUUAAAUUAUGAAAUUAAAGAUAUUUAUUUUUUCAAAAUUUAACUUUUCCAUAUAAACAUCACUGAAUUGAUAUAAGCAAUAUUUUGAAACGUGAUAAAUUAAUUAAAUAACACAAAAAUAUUGUAAUAUUGUAUUUCUUUUAUCUCUAGAUCUUUUUUAAUACAUAAGAAAUACUAAAGUCAUACAAUAAUCUCCUUUCUUUUUAUAGUCCAAACUUACCAUUUAAAAAUCGUUUCAUUUGAAUUAAUAAGAUCAUAGUAGAUUGUACAAAAUCAGUUAAUAAAUGAUAUAUAUUUCCAUUAAAUAAAUAAAGUACGAUAUAAUUGUAAUAAGACUACACAAUCAACUAAUUAAUUUCACUUAAUUAGAUUAAAUUUUAUGAUCAUAAUAUAUAGACUAAAGUUCCUUAAAUUUAAUGUUGUAAAUUUCAAAAUACAUUUAUGGCUAAAGUAGUAGUCAAUGUUCGUUAUUUUUUUUAAUCAAUAUAUGUAUAUCAAUUAUAGAACUUUGCAUAUAUUCUUUAUUAAAAUAAUUGUCAAUAUUAAUUGAAUUUUACCAUAAUUUAAUCUAAUUAGUUUGAUAACAGUACAAUUAUUAUUAAUAUUAUAUAUUUUUUAACCAUAAAUUUGUCCUAAUUUUAUAGAUUAUUCUAUUUAGUUAAUCUACAAUUACAUAAAGGACUCAAAUAUGGAAACAAUUGAUAUUAAUUACCUUUAUAAUUUCAAAAAUUUAAUCCCAUGAAUUUCUCAUACUCUUAUAGUUUGAUUAUAGCAAAUUGAUAUUAAUUACCUUUAUAAUUUUGGGAAGAAUUUUUAAAAGUUAACGAUUAUUUUUUUCCUAAUUGUUGAUUUAUUUCUCAAAAAUUUCUUAUAAAUUUAUAAUUUGAUUGUAGUUAAUUGAUUAAUUAAUUAUCUUUUUAAUUUGCUAAAAACUCAAAUAAGGUACAAUUAUUUUUUCUCAAUUACAGAUUUUCUUAAAUUCAAUCUUUUAUUGUUUUACUAAAAUAGUUCAAAUUUAAUUGUUUUGAGGCAUGACAUCUUUUUGUCUAUAAAUCUUUUUUAAUACAUAAGAAAUGCUAAAGUNNNNNNNNNNNNNNNNNNNNNNNNNNNNNNNNNNNNNNNNNNNNNNNNNNNNNNNNNNNNNNNNNNNNNNNNNNNNNNNNNNNNNNNNNNNNNNNNNNNNNNNNNNNNNNNNNNNNNNNNNNNNNNNNNNNNNNNNNNNNNNNNNNNNNNNNNNNNNNNNNNNNNNNNNNNNNNNNNNNNNNNNNNNNNNNNNNNNNNNNNNNNNNNNNNNNNNNNNNNNNNNNNNNNNNNNNNNNNNNNNNNNNNNNNNNNNNNNNNNNNNNNNNNNNNNNNNNNNNNNNNNNNNNNNNNNNNNNNNNNNNNNNNNNNNNNNNNNNNNNNNNNNNNNNNNNNNNNNNNNNNNNNNNNNNNNNNNNNNNNNNNNNNNNNNNNNNNNNNNNNNNAUUUCAUUUGAAUUAAUAAGAUCAUAGUAGAUUGCACAAAAUCAAUCAAUUAAUUAUAUAUAUUUUUAUUAAAUAAAUGAUGUACGAAAUUGUUGUAAUAAAACUAUACAAUCAACUAAUUAAUUUCAAUUAAUUAGAAUCAAUUUUAUGAUCAUAAUAUAUAGACUCAAGAUCUUUAAAUUUAAUGUUUUAAAUUUUAAAAUAUAUUUAUGGCUAAAGUAGAAGUCAGUGUUCGUUGUUUUUGUAACCAAUAUAUGUAUAUCAAUUACGAAAAUUUGCAUAUAUUUUUUAUUAAAAUAAUUGUCAAUAUUAACUAAUUUUUAACUCAAUUUAAUGUAAUUAAUUUGAUAACAAUAAAAUUAUUAUUAAUAUUAUAUAUUUAUUUACCAUAAAUCAGUCCUAAUUUUAUAGCUUGAUUAUAGUUAAUUAAUCUAUAAUUACAUAAAGGGCUCAAAUAUGAAAACAAUUGAUAUUAAUUACCUUUAUAAUUUCGGCAAUUCAAUCCCAUGAAUUUCUCAUGUUUUUAAUAGAUUGAUUAUAUUAAAUUGAUAUCAAUUACCUUUUUAGUUUUGGGAAGAAUUUAAAAAAGGUAACGAUUAUUUUUUUUCCUAAUUACUGAUUUAUUUCUCAGAAAAUUCUUAUAUAUUCACAAUUAGAUUAUAGUUAAUUGAUUAUUUAAUUAUCUUUAUAAUUUUCUAAAAGCUCAAAUAAGGUAACAAUUAUUUUUUUCUAAAUUAAGGAUUUUCUUAUAUUCAAUCUUUUAUUGUUUUACUAAAAUAUUUCAAAUUUAAUUGUUUUGAGGGAUGACAACUUUUUGUAUCUAAAUCUUUUUUUAAUACAUAAGAAAUGCUAAAGGCAUACAAUAAUCUCCUUUCUUUUUAUAAUCCAAACUUACCAUUUACAAAUUAUUUCAUUUGAAUUAAUAAGAUCAUAGUAGCUUGCACAAAAUUAAUUUAUUAAUUAUAUGUAUUUUUUUAUAAAAAAUAAUGUACGACAUAAUUGUAAUAAAAUUACACAAUCAACUAAUUAAUUUCAAUUAAUUAGAAUCAAUUUUAUGAUCAUAAUAUAUAGACUCAAAUUCCUUAAAUUUAAUGUUGUAAAUUUUAAAAUAUAUUCAUGGCUAAAUUAAUAGUCAGUGUUCGUUGUUUUUUACCAAUAUAUGUAUAUCAAUUACGAAAAUUUGCAUAUAUUUUUUAUUAAAAUAAUUUCAAUAUUAACUGAUUUCUUUCUCAAUUUUGAUCUAAUUAAUUUUAUAACAAUAAAAUUAUUAUUAAUAUUAUAUAUUUAUUUACCAUAAAUCUAUCCUAAUUUUAUAGCUUAAUUAUAUUUAAUUAAUCUACAAUUACAUAAAGGACUCAAAUAUUGAAACAAUUGAUAUUAAUUACUUUUAUAAUUUUAAAAAUUUAAUCCCAUGAAUUUCACAUAUUCUUAUAGUUUGGUUAUAUCAAAUUUAUAGUAAUUACCUUUAUAAUUUUGGGAAGAAUUUAAAAAGGUAACGAUUAUUUCAUUUCCUAAUUACUGAUUUAUUUCUCAAAAAUUUCUUAUCAAUUCACAAUUUGAUUAAUUAAUUAUCUUUACAAUUUGCUAAAAACUCAAAUAAGGUGACAAUUAUUUCUUUUAUUAAUUAUGGAUUUUCUUAUAUUCAAUCUUUCAUUGUUUCACUAAAAUAGUUCAAAUUUAAUUGUUUUGAGGGAUGACAUAUUUUUGUCUAUAAAUCUUUUUUAAUACAUAAGAAAUGCUAAAGUCAUACAAUAACCACCUUUAUUUUUAUAAUCCAAACUAAUUGCAUAUUUGGAAUCCCCAGAACGCAGGCUUCAAGAAACACCUAUCAUCUUCGCAUUUAGAGGUACGUGGGGUUAUCCUAAAAUCUCAUAGGCCUUUAAAUUCAUGUUUUACAAUGGGGGUUUUAAAACUACGAUCAUGUUUUGAAUGUUUCUAUAAUAUUGAUUUGGCCUUUAGGCCUAUUUCCGCAGUGAUUUGACAUAUUAUAUAUGUAUAUGCAUGUGUUUUGAAAAGGUGUUAAUUUGAGAGCAUGAAUUAUAUGGAAUCCCUGUCUUGAUGUGAACUUGUUUUAUAUUUUCAUACGAUUUAAAUUGUUUGAAAACGUCUUGAAAAGCAUGAGAUGAAAUGUGUUGAGAAUUGAUAUGAUUUUGACUUGAAAACGAGAAGGCUAUUUGCGUUGAAACAUGUUGAAUACAAUGGUUGAAUGAGAAGAAUGAUGUGAUAUUGAUGGUAUGCAAGUCGGGUAUGACGAUACCCUACAGAAUAUGAUAUGUGAUUGAAUCAGAUGAAAUUUGAAUGCAUUGAUUUUACAUGAGAUAGGUGGAUGCCCGAAGAAGGCGUUUGAGUGUAAGGGAUCAUCACUGGAAACUGUGUUUGCCGACAUAGGAAUUUGGUACCCUGCUUUGUGAUCUUGCAUACCUGACUUUAUGUCAUUCCCAAGUUGGGACUAUAGUUAGGAGCCCUACUUUGUGAUCUUGUGCACAACCAUUAGGCCGAGACACCCUGUUGUGUAAUCUUGUGUGUCUUCCCCUCACUUAUACUCUAAUCUCGGUGGAAACCAAGGUUCAACAGUUGGUGUAAAUGUGAUAUGUAAGGUAUUCCACCUAGCUCAGCUGCAUUAAAUUGUUGUUGAAAACAAUUACAUUACGCCCAUGUGUUUUCAAAUGAUUUGAUGUGAAACUGCUUUAUAAUGGCUCUCAACUAUAUUUUGUAAAAAUAUUAUGUUUUGUUUUGAUAUCUCUGCGUACCGGUACUUUUGUAUUGACCCUCUUCCCUUCCAGGUUCGGAGGCACAGUCUAGGGGUCCAAAAAAUCAGUAGAUUCCUCAGACAGAUUUGCAGAGUCACUUGGUGAGCCUUCUAUAUUUCGGAAGGCCUGAUCUCUGGCAGUUUCAUUUAUCAUUUAUUAGUUUUGGAUCUACUGGGGGCCUUGUCCUAGUUUUCAGAUAGAUAUUUAUUUCAGUCAUAUAGUAGAGAUUUUGCAAACAUUAAUAGAGAUAUUGACUUGAGAUUAUGGGACAUUAUUCCCCGUUAUUGAUUUCAUAUGUUUCUUGACCAUGUUUCCGUAAUAUUAUUUAUCUUCCGUAUUUCUUUUAUCAUAUGAGUUAUGUACAUGAUUAUCAGACAAAUAAGGGUAUUUUGGGCCUUCAUGGUUCGGAAUGCUCGUCACAGCUAGGGCCCCAGUUUGGGUUGUGACAAACUUGGUAUCAGAGCACGGUUCAUGGUCCUAGGAUUUUUACAAAAUCACAUCGGGUAGAGUCUUAUUUAUGGGUGUGUAGCGCGCCACACUUAUAAGCAGGAGGAUACUAGGCGUUUAGGAAUGUCUCUCUUUCUUCAUGUUCCAAUUUGUGGAAUAGAGUCAAAAUGUUGCUAUUUCAUACUGUCAUUCGUGCUAUAGUGUCGCCCAUAUGAAGGUAAAGACAUCCCAAAUUCUUUCCUUACUCUGUUUUUCUUAGACAUGUCCCAUUAUUGGGGUGAUUCAAGUGCAAAAAGUUUAGAAUCUACAUGAUAUAGUCUUUUUCGAUUGUGUCAUAUAAGAAAAAAAAUUAUGCAAAGACUCGAGAGGAGUCUGUUGGUGCUUCAAUAUGUGUUGAUUCUGAUGUAAACAUUGAUCCUGAUGGAAUUGUGCUUUCCAGCUUAAGGUAUUAAGUGCAUCUAGUCCCUCCCAAAAAUCUUGAUACAGAUAUGGAUGGUGUAUAGCAGAAUGUUGGAACUGUAUUUCCACCCAAAUAGUAGCAUAAGUUAAAUUGUUGUUGUCAUGACCUAUCGGUAAUGAAAUUAGACCAAGAAGUUAGUGAUGUGAAGUCACAAAUUUAGAAGUCAGAGUGAGGGUUAUUUUUUGUGUAAAUGAAUAUUUCAGUUGAAUAACCGAUAUUUGAGGAUGAUUUACCCCUUUAUAGUGAUAAACUACUGUGGUAGCUAGUAGCACAUGUGGAUGGUAUGGUACUCCAUGGGGGAAGUAUUUUACUCUGAUUUUUAUUUAUACAGAGUAAGAUAGGUAUUAUUAGACCAUUAAAUAUUAUGUGUCAAUUUCCUAUCUCUUGUACUAUGUAAUAUUGUUAUCAUGGUGUUUUUGAAAAAAAAAAAAAUUUAAGUCUAGUGAAGCCAUGUGGGGAUCUUUCGAUUCACUAGCAUAGCUGUCUCAUGUAAUAUGUAAUCUUGUUAUCACGAUGUUUUUGGAAAAAAAAAUGUAAAAACUUUUUAAAGUCUAGUGAAGCCGUGUGGGCUCUUUCGAUUCACUAACAUAGUUGCCUUGUUAUUCAUCUCAUUUUUUGGUUCAAAAAUAUAAAAUUAGAGUCUAGUGAAGCCGUGUGAGGCCUAUUUUGAUUCACUAGCAACUUGUUGUUCUUUUGUUGGUUUAAUAUACGUAUGGCUGAAUCUGUUUGCAUAAGAUGGAGUUGGUAAAGGGGUGAUUCGUCCUUGUGAGUUAUUUUAGUAUAAUUUGAGGAAUUUGAAGGCAGUCUAAAUGUAUGCUUGAGUAAGUAAGUAUGAGGUGAGAAAUCCGCAUAAGUAGAUAAGAUCGUAUAGGGUUAUAAUAUCAGAUUAAGGUUGAUCAUGUCUAUUAUGUGACCUUACCACUUGACUUUUUUCGUUGGUAUUUGUAAACUAGUACUACUUAUGAGAAGGUAUGUAGCAAAUUAUGAGGUAUUUGGAUAGUACUAAAUGACUGGCAGAGAUUUUUCAAAGUUUUACAGGAGUUCUUGAAACUAUUUUCUAAAAAAUUAAGAGUACUUUGAAAAAAAUCUAUAUAAAUCUUUUACUUACUGAUUUCCUAGACAUCAAUUAGGACGGGGAGUCAGGGGUGGAAGUCCCAACAUGAUGAAAUACCUAAAAGAUGGCGAGGGCAAAUCAAGGAUAGUAGGAGGUCAACACGGAGUAGUUUCUUUCAAACUAAUCAUUUUUUGUGGAUGCAGGGAUCGAUACACAAAAUGAGCGUUUCUUUCGAAAAAUCCCCAAGCAAGUCGGGAGCCAUGAUAGAGCAUAUAAUGCUUAAUAACGGUACUUUUGGUAGCCUAAAAAUCGGCUCAACACCCAUUUAUUGACGACCUUUUGAAUUGUCCAUCUCAUUUCUUGAGAUCAUGGAGGACAAACAAAAGUGUCUUGUCUUCUUUACAAAUAUUGUAUUUAGAAUUUUUCUAAAAAAAAUAAUCGCUAGCAAAAGCAACUUUGUGUCUACUAAUCUUCUACCUUGAGUAUAGGUACAUGCAGAAAGCAAGACCUUGACAAAUGAUUUCAGGAGAAACUAUUUUUAAUUUACCGAAAGAACCAUUGCAUGUUAUUGCCAAGAGGUCCAUUGCAUAUCAUCGUUAUUCAAUAUCUGUUCACGCGCUAGAUACAACGCUGGCAUCGAGGAUAUCAUUAGCAUUUAAUAUAUCCAUUGACACAAAAGACACAAUGCUGGCGUCAAGGAUAUCAUCAUCAUUCAAUAUCUAUUGACGCGCUAGACACAACACUGGCGUCGAGGAUAUCAUCAGCAUUCAAUAUAUCUGUUGACACGCAAGACACAACACUCGCGUUAAGGAUAUUAUCAUCUUUCAAUAUUUUUUGAUGCGCUAGACAAUGCUGGCAUCGAGGAUAUCAUCAGCAUUCAAUAUAUCUGUUAACACACAAGACACAACGCUGGCAUCGAGGAUAUCAUCAUCAUUCAAUAUUUGUUGACGCACUAGACACAACGCUGGCAUCGAAGAUAUCAUCAUUAUUAUAUAUCUGUUAACACACAAGACACAAUGCUGGCAUCGAGGAUAUCAUCAUUAUGCAAUAUCUGUUGACAUGGAAGACACAAUGCUGGCAUCGAGGAUAUCAUCAUCAUGCAAUAUCUGUUGACAUGCAAGACACAAUGCUCGCGUCGAGGAUAUCAUCAUCAUGUAAUAUCUGUUGAUGCGUAAGACAUAACACUGUCAUCAAGGAUAUCAUCAUCAUUUUAUAUUUGUUGACACGCAAGAUAUAAAUGCUGGCAUCGAGGACAUCUUAUCAUUUUAUAAAUCAGUAUAUGAAUGCAUCGAGAGCAUACGAUUUGAAGGGACACCUUUAAGUCGCUAUCUAAGGAUGAAUGUAUAUAAGAUUUCUUGGAAAUUAACAAUUUGAGGGUCAUAUAUAAGUCAUAUUAUUUGAAAUAGGAUAGUGUGCAAGAUCACCUAUAAUUUGAUAGCCGGUAGGUCAUCCGUAAGCCACAACAACCUCCUAAUCGGAUAGUGUGCAAGAUCACCCAAAAAUCGAUAGUUCAAAUCCAUAAGUCGAAACUAAAUCCUUACCGGAGAAUAUGGAAGAUUAUCAAAUUGAUACGUCCAAGGAUUCUCUAUAAGCCGUGUCAUAUCUAAGAUCGAUUAUGUGCAGGAUUACCCAAAGACUAAUAAUUUGAGGGAUUAUCUAUAAGUCAUAUUUUAUCCAAGGUCGGAUGAUGUGCAGGAACACCUGAAAGAUAGCGAUUGGAGGGAUAUCUGUAAGCCAUCUCUUAUUCAAAGUAUGAUAAUGUGCAGGAUUACCUAAAAGCUAGAAAUCAAAAGGAUAUCUGUAAUUCACCUCGUAUCCAACAUCAAAUAAUGCGUAAGAUUAUCCAAAGAUUGAUAAUUUAAAGGAAAUUUAUAAAUUGAUCAUCGGCUAUAAAUGGUGAGAUUAUCCAAAGGGUUGCCACACCAGCACAAGACUACACGGUUGUAGAGACUGUUCUGCAUAAAGUAUCACUGGUGUCCAAAAUGGGCACCCACUUUGAAGACAUAUUCAACCGACAAAUGUCAUAAUUAUACAACAACCAAGAGGGUUGUUGUGUUUGGUCUUGUGGUUUAUUUCAUUCCAAACAGGUACAUGAAGAGAUGACUCCGCUUUUCAAGCCACAACUCAUGUGCAGAUAUGGUAAAAGACUGCAUACCUCUUUAGUGAAUUAUGUUUAGCACUAACACUUUUUGCUUGAAGCAUUGUCAAGAGUAUCCGAGAGGAUGAAUAUCUCAAAUGAACACCACAGGUGCAUAUGACUUCAAAUAAGAUGCAACACCCGAAUCCAACCCGUUUUCUUUUUCCUCUUUAUGAUCACGCAUGUUCCAUGAGAAUCCAUACGAGAAGAUGUCGAGAAUCUUCUAGAAACACACUUAGGUGUCUCAUCCAACGUUCAAAUCCCAAAAUUCUCGGAUAGAGGUUUACGAAUUCGUACAUAGAUGGAGUAUUUUCAUUGGCUUGUGAAGAUUAUUCCCUUUCCACCAAUUUCUAUUGGCGACUUUUUGGAAUUUCGUUCAAGAAAAUCAAAAUAGAGGUACAGUUCGUUAGGGUCCGGAUCUUUUGAAUUUCAAAAAUGAACCCUCAAUUUCCUUCUAUAAGUAGCUCUCUUUAGAGAAAGAAAAAGGGAUUUUUUUGGGGAUUUUGGAAUUUUUUUCACUGGCCUCUCCUUUCCUUUAUGGGUUCUCCUCUUCUUUCUCUUUGGAGUUCAAAAUUUUAGAGGCAAAGAGUGUUCAAAAGUUUUGGGUUGAAAAUUUAGGGUUAGAGAAAAUCUUCAAAAAUUCAGAAAUACACAAAAAAAAAAAGGGUUAGAAAGGGGGCUCUCAGAGGGAAAAAAUAUUCUCUUUACGCCUAAGAAACAUACAUUCUUAGGAGGUGCAUCUGAACUGUCGAAGCAGUUGUGAGUUUUUCAGUGGUCGGAAUCCUAUAAUCAGCUUGUUAUCCCAUUUUGCUGCCCCAAAAGAGGUAAAUACACCUUUCUUUUUAAUUUUGUUGUGGUUAUCAUUUUCUUCUUCGUGGUUCCACUUCUGUUUGCUGGGAAUGACUGCUGUAGAGGCCUGGAAGGCAUAGGAUUUUCAUGUUUGAUAUAUUGUUCUACUAAAAAACUCAUUAUUGCCCGUGUUUGAUUGGUUGUCGUUCAUGCUUGAUCUCUCUUAUUUUAUUUUGUUUGAAUGUUACAGUUAGCUUUAAUGCUUCGACUUUAGAAACUAUUUUGCUGGUCUCAUAUUCGAUGUUUCUUUGUAGUUCAUAGAGUAGGAGAAUAAAAUCUUUACGUAUUUUCUAAAUUCAAAAAAAUGUUCAAAGAAUAGAUAUUAGGCAGCCUGUUCGCAUAUCUUUUUCACUCAAACGCAGGAAAUUGUUAUAAAUAAGAACUAGAAUGUUAUUUUCUUUCGACUUGCCACUUUAGAUGUACAAUAGUCUUAUUUUAUUCUAAAGUUUAUUUUAAAAUAUGAGAGUGGACCAUAGGGAUGAAUUAUGUUUUCUUCAUGGCUAAUUCAAUUUGCCGUAAUUGACUCAUGAGAACAAAUUAAAGUUUGACGGGNNNNNNNNNNNNNNNNNNNNNNNNNNNNNNNNNNNNNNNNNNNNNNNNNNNNNNNNNNNNNNNNNNNNNNNNNNNNNNNNNNNNNNNNNNNNNNNNNNNNNNNNNNNNNNNNNNNNNNNNNNNNNNNNNNNNNNNNNNNNNNNNNNNNNNNNNNNNNNNNNNNNNNNNNNNNNNNNNNNNNNNNNNNNNNNNNNNNNNNNNNNNNNNNNNNNNNNNNNNNNNNNNNNNNNNNNNNNNNNNNNNNNNNNNNNNNNNNNNNNNNNNNNNNNNNNNNNNNNNNNNNNNNNNNNNNNNNNNNNNNNNNNNNNNNNNNNNNNNNNNNNNNNNNNNNNNNNNNNNNNNNNNNNNNNNNNNNNNNNNNNNNNNNNNNNNNNNNNNNNNNNNNNNNNNNNNNNNNNNNNNNNNNNNNNNNNNNNNNNNNNNNNNNNNNNNNNNNNNNNNNNNNNNNNNNNNNNNNNNNNNNNNNNNAAUGCUAUGGCUUAUUAAUUGUUAAAAUCUUGGACGUAUGUUAAUUUCUUCAUUCCUUUCUUUUCAUUCACCCCCUUGAAGUUCAAAUGGGCCCCUUCUCUCUUGUCAUUUCAUAAAUGGGCCAAUGAGGCCUAUCCUUCCGAGUUAAUCCCAAAAGAAAAUCCAAGAAUCCAUCACAUGGUGUAUGAAUACGAGGAAUCGAAAGAAGAAUGGGUUAAAGUUCCAUCUUUGAAGCGGCAAAGGGGACUUGAAAAUCUCGUUAUUUCUUCUUUAUUAAUUUAUUUAUCCAUUGUUUCCAUUAUUUAUUUAUUUACUUAUUUAUAUUUUUGUUUAUUUAGUGAAUUAUUUAUUUAUUCAUUUGGGCCUCGAAGCCAAAGUUGUAAAUUUAAAAUAGGUGGAACGAGACUUGAGCUAUUUGCUUACUUGUUUUACGUGUGUUUUACGAACCUAGUAAAAUCCUUAGUCAAGUCGCUAAAAAACUGGUUUUGUAUAAACACCAAAAUAUUUCUAAAAUUGCUUUUCUUUUCAAAAAAUAAACUUUUUCAAAGUUAAUCAAAAGACGAUUUUCAAACAAUCCGGAUAACCAUAAGUUAGCGAACAUUUUAGAUGCCUAAUACCUUCCUAAAACGUUAAUAGGAACUGCUUAUCUAGAAUCUCUAACUUAAAACGAUUUUUCUAUUUUGAAUCGUUUGCAGUAACUCUCUAACGGUUUCUUAAUUCCUUUUCAAAAUUAAGUGGCGACUCUCAAAAAGUCAAAAAUUCCGCAAAACAAUAUCAACCACAAUCACAUCCCCACAUCUACUACCCCCACCCGAAAGUAGCAGAAGAAUAAAGGUUUGUAGUAAUUCAAUCCUCUUGACGCUUGCGCUCCUUCUCUUUUAGUUCAUUAACAAAUUUGUUAAAUAUUUCAAGCAGCAAGCCCUUAUCACCCAUUAUUCUGUAAAAUAAUAACAGCAAAGAAAUUCACAUUCAAUAGAUUACGACAUAAUGAGAAUCAUGAGAUUAUGAAUAAAAAAGUAAAAAUCCAGAGCAUUUCAUUUUAUAGCCAAAGAGGCUAGACAAAUUAAAACUAGAGAUUUAGCAGCAUACUUCAUCAGAACCGUGAAACAAUCACAAAUGCCAGAAAUUAAAAAACUAAAACAAUCACAAAUGUCAUAAAUUUAAAAACUAACUGCUAGACCUAUUAACUGCUAGAUAUCAAAACAAGAUAACCCUUGCAAUUCUCUCUUCCCACAUACAUAGAUUAUACGCCAUGACCAUAAAUAACCUCCAAAAUCCAAAUGAUAUAUGAAGAAUAUCCUCAUUACAAAAUAGAAAAUGAUCGUUGAUAUCAUCCAGUUAUGUUGUUUAACCAGUUUCGUAGAGUAAAACUCUUAUCCACUAACUGUAAAAACAGAAAACUACAAGGCAAAUUUCUUUGAAUUAAGCAACUUAAUAUAUGUACGGUAGGUGUAAUAUUAAACACCGCCGUCCAGGAAAUAAAAACUAAGGAAAAUGGUACCAAAACUGAAGAAUUGGAAGCAAAAGCUAACAUCAAAUAUUUGAUCAAUGUGGUCCUCGUCUUUAUUCUUGAAGGUUUCAGGCUUACUUGCUAACCGACACACUACUAUUCUAUUAACUCUAUUACAAGAAGAUCCAAAUUUAAUGUGGGAUAGGUUAUGGUUGAUACUAAAUAAAAAUGCCACUAACCACAGUUGACUACCUACGAGUUGCCAAUUUAGCAAUCACAAACUGACCGAAUUCCAGUGAAACAUAACAUGGAAGUACUACUAAUGCUUUUGCACUCAAUCCACUCAUCUUAUGCAGGACCUGUCCCAAAGACAAAAAGGGGACAAAUACAUAGAAAUCCAUUUAGUGACUGGGGUACUUCAAUUUUCACAACAUUUAAUUCAACAUGGGUCGAUGUGAAACAGUAUACAGUGCUUAGCCAUAAUUAGACCUUUAAGUUGGUAUCUGUCAUUAGUGGAGAGCUAAUAUACUUGUCGAUUGCAACCUUAAAAUCAUCAAGCGUCCAGGCUGAUGUCAAUCCAAUCUGAAAGUAGAGACGGCUCAGCCAAAAUAUUAGGUACUAACUGAAGCACAACAAAGGUUAAAAUGAAGAGUGGUGAUUACCUCGACCAUCCUAAUUGCAUCUUUAAUUUGUGACUUGUGAUCAAGAUACUGAAGCAACAUACAAGUAACACAAAUUCAGAAUGCUUAUAAGUAACAAAAAUAGGAUACCAAAUGGAGCUUUGUCCAUGCAUUUGAGUUACCAUAAAGUUUAUAAAUUACAAGCAGGGUGAUGGGGAUGAAAUUUCUUUCAUGAAUACCAACAUUUCUCCACUUGUUCAAAGUCAUCUACAAUAUCACAAGACACUUGACACAUAAACUUAAUUGCACUGAUCAGGUUAAAUUGAAGGAAAAAUCAAGCACCCCUGUUUGGAUAAUAGAAAAAAAGUGAAUAAAUAAAAAUGGAUAGCAUCUCUGUUAACAGCGCUUUCGUUAUAUUUACUUAAUAAGAAUCAUUUAUGCACACAAACAGUAAUACAAACUUUAAAGAUAGAAGUUGACAUCUUUAUCUUACAAGGGAAAAAGAAAAGAUUUUCCGCAUCUGAGUUUAUGUAUAACUCUCACCAUCCCAUAGCAAGAGCCUAACUCAAGAAAACAUUACCAAAUUCAAUCACUGAAUAAGAGUACGAACAAGAUCAUUACCAUGCUAGGAUACCAGGUAAACUCCCUCUUUCAUCAAGCAAGGAGAUAAAUGCUAAUAACAUUUGAUCAUUCAACUUCAAUUCUUUUCGGAAAGGGCAGAGGAUGAAACAAUAUAUCGUUUAGUUAGGCGCAAGUGUGUAUUACGGCAAAAAAAAAUCAUAGUGAGGGAGAUGCAACUUUAUUUAGAGAAACAGAGAUGCUCUCAGGUUCUUUUUCCGAGGCUAAUCUUUUCUAAGCCUUUACUUUCAUUACAUCUCAACUACCUCUUCAGAGGCGAAUUCUGGCACUAAGUUUAUUUAGUCCAAUUUAUAUGGUUGAUAACACAAUAUUUUGAAUUAGGUUUUAAGUUGCACGAUAUCAUCCGAAGUUAAAUCAAAACUGGGGUGUGGUACAAAUGGACAAAACAUGGUCGAAACUUGACCAGACAAACUACUUUCAGGUCUCAUUUGUUUGCACUUAUUGGAUUUAUGAACCUGUUCAGACCUCAAACCAUUAAGUGCAUUUAUUUUUUUAGGAUUUUAGCUCUUAAUAGGUCUGAGUAGGUCUUAAUCAUUCAGAUGUGGAACCAAGUCUAAAUAUCAUUUACAGAUAUUCUUGUGUAGGAUAAAAUUCACCACUACUCUAUCCACAAUCACUUGCCACCACCACCAACCACUUUCACCAUCAAAACCAACAUCACUACCACCUACACUGCCAGCCGCUACCACACCUACAACUUCCAUUAUUCUAAUUAUAUCCACCGCCAACUAGGGGUGUUCACGGUUUAGUUUUUAACCAAACUGAACCGCGAUCCAAACCACACCGAUUAAAAAAACCUAUAUUUGGUUAGGUUUGGUUUGGAUUUGAAUUUUAAAAAACCGAUACUAAUUUUGUUUGGUUUGGUUUUCCUCUAAAAUAACCGACAAAAUAACCAAACCGAACCAAUAUACAUAUAUAUAUUAUAAUUAUUUAUAUGUUUUUCAUAAAUAUAAUCUAAAUAUUUGUUACAUUUUCUAUUUUAAUCAUGAUUUAACUUUAGUCGUAACACAUUCAGUCAUAUGUCUUCAUCUAGUUGACAAUACAUUAUGAGAUUUUAAAUGAAUUUCAUAUUUUGAAUGACAAAUGAUACUAAUUGUGAAAAUAAUAUCUUGUUAUAUAUUGAAAUUUACAGCUGAAAUUCUUUAGACUAUACACAAUCACUAAUUUUAACUUUCUUUUGAACCUUGUUGGGCAAGAAGUUUAUGUGUUUACCUUUUGGGGUUUAUCAUAUCAUUCUAUUAAAUAUAGUUUUUAAAAUUUUUUUUAAAAGCGUUCAUAUGGUGUUAUCAUGGGUUUGCCGAAGUAUAACACUCAGUUGAGAUCAUAUUUUCAAGAUUGAGAUACAACACUCAGUUGACAUCUCAUAUGUUAGAUUGGAUUUGUUUUUUAAAAUUCUCAAAUUUUAUCAUUAACUAAAGUUAUAAACCAAAAAACCCGAAUCAAACCGAACUAAACCGAUAAGAACCAAACAGAUGGUUAUUGUUUUUUUUGGUUAGGUUUGGUUUUAGAAAUUUAAAAACCGAUUAAGUUGGUUUGGUUAUGGUUUUGACCAAUAACCAAUCCAUAUCGACCCAUGAACACCCCUACUGCCAACGCCGCCACCAUCAACUGCUACCGGUCGAUCCCUACUACAAACCAACUCAUCUAUCAGAACUAGCAUUACCACUAAUAACCACCAACACAUCAUCAACUUCCACACAUCGCUAACAACCACUAACAGAUCAUCAACUUCCACACAUUCUUCGGACACCAUCACCACCACUGUCACCGGCGUCACCACCUCUACCACUACCAUCACAGCUAACAGCGUCUCCAAUGACCACUAACACAUCGUUAACCAUCAUGCAUAUAGUUUUCCUUCACCACAAUCAACACCUCCAACUACUAACAUUAACCAACUUCACAUCACAACCACCACUACCACUACUAAUCGCCAAUAUCAUGACAGUUACUACAAUGCCAUCUAUCUCUACUAUCACAACUAUCAUCACCAACAUUGCUAAUCACUAACAUCAAUUAAUUUAUUACAACCACCACCACCAUUACAAACCAUCUCCACUAUCACUAACAAACAUAAAUGUUUCUUUUUUUAAUCAAAUAAUAAUUUAAUUGCAUUAAAUUAAAAAACUUUCUAAUAUAUAAUUAUAUUAUAUUUAGAAAUAAAUAAAUUUUACACAUUCAGAUAUUGAGAAACACCCAACCUUAAUCAUUUAGUUUUCAGAUCUAGAGAUAAUAUCUUAACCGUUCAGAUGUGCAUUCAAAAUGAUUCAAAUAUAUGAAUAUUAAUAAAAACAAAUGCAGUCUUAGCUGAAACACAAUGGUAUGGUUGUGUGAUACUUUAAAGGAGUCCUCGAAAGCCAAAGAAACUACGUGAAAACAUGGAAGUUUGAUCAUCACUUCUCAGAGUUGUUCUACUCGAGAAACUAUAACAAUUAAGGUAAUAUAACCAUUAACAGCAUUCAACGGAGGAGAAGUCAAUUACAAUUGUCCGUGAAGUAGCAUUUAAUACAGCUUUGCUAGAUUGAAAGAAUCAUCUAUAUCUAUACUAAAUUAAAAGCAUGGAACCCCUAACUUAAAAGUUUGCGACAAUACCAUUCCUAUCAGCCUAAAUACCUACUAUCUAGUAAAAAAAGAGGAAACUAAUUGGCAUAAAGAGAAACAAUACAGAUGUUAAUAGGAACAACCAGUCAUUGUUCUUAUCUCAACAAAAUAUAUGUUAUUUAAAAAAAGCAAGCAGAGGGGUAACUCUCAAAUGUCAAUCUCAUGCUUUUAUCCUACCAAGUAUGUUCUAUUCUUUAAUGCACAACAACAAUAACAACAACAAAUCCAGUAUAUUUCCACAUACUAAUGCACUAACUUUCUUUUUUACCUAAUUAAUUGAACUUUUUAGUGAGGAUCUAAAUGAUUUUCAGACUUUGUUUAACAUCUGAUUCAUUAAGAUGUAUUAGUAAUAGGUUGAAUCUUUUGAAAAAAAACACUUAAUGGGCUGAUAUCUUAACCAUUAAGAUUCAGACCUUCAUUAAGUGAAAGCAAAUGAAAAGGGAUUGUAGUGUAAAGUCUAUAAAUAUGGCUUAGAAUAACAAAUGUAGUUGACACAAUUCAAUACUCCUAUUAUCAACCUAUUUCACCUGUUUCUCCAGCUCAUCCAUAACAUCUGUAAAUAAGUCUUUUGCUAUUGAUUCUAAAGUAUUUGAUGAGACAGCUACAUAUGCAGCAAAAUCUUUAAUCUGCAAGAACAAAAUAAAGAAGGAAAUUAUUGGAUGAAAAAAUCAAAAAGACAAAAAGGGAACUCAUGAAGGUAAUCACUCACUGAACACAAGAAAGAAAAACUAACUUUGAUGCAAUAAUCACGCCAGUUAGUUUUUGCAUUAAGUAUUCCCGCAGGAACAUGCUCUUCCAUCAGUUUUCGAAACUCAUCAAAAUUUUUACGUUCAGCUUUCCUCAAUUCUUCCUAUUUGAAUCAAUGGUGUAUGCCCAGUGAGAAAGAGAUAAAUCAAAGUCUCCAAACAUAAAUUUAAUUUUAACCCCCGAGUCUAAUAAGCAAUAUACCAUCCGUAGUUUCCUUUGCUCCUCCUCUUUGCUCUCUAAAUCACAUAUAUAUUCCUAAAACAGAAAAGGUUGCAACAUAACUUUAAAACAGAGGUGUACAAAUGAGAUGUUUGGAAAAAGUUAUUUAUGAUGUAUUAGAAAAAUGAGUUGUACCUGGAAAAUCUCCAAACGAUCAAUUUUGUCAAGGCGGGAGCAUCUUUCAUCAUUUUCCAAGCGGUCCUGAACUUUCCGCCACUGGCUACUGGCCUGAACAAAAGAACUCAGCAACAGUGGAACUAUAGAAGUUCUAUCUCCUGGAAAUAGAAAAACAUAAUCUAGGAACUGAUGCUAAUUCCACUAGAACAAAUACCUUAAUAAAGUCACAGGAUUUUAAAAAUUCUAAGUACUCCACUCUAUUGCGCUUCUGCUCCUCCAAUGCCUUCUCAUGCUCCUAAUAAAAUCCAGUACAAAGUAAAAAAAAUAAAAUUUCUCUAUAAAGAAGACAAUAUUUACAAAGAGACUUUAACUACACUUGCAUGAAAGUAUUGAAAAACUUUUUCUAUUUUACGACGGAGGGGGAGAGGAAGAAGCAUAUCAUAGUUUCAAGUUUCAAGAAAAAUUACAUACAAUACAUGGAAGUCUAUUUAUAUUAGAAUUCAAUGGUGAACAAAUUUAAAUCUUGUACCCUUGAGAAGCCAUUAAAAAUGUAUUCAAAGAACACAAGAUUUUAAGUUGAAUAUCUACAACAUUCCUUCUUUCUACUCUUUAAGCAAAAUAAAAAAAGGGAACAAACUAAAAGACAUCCUGCAAAGGAAAGGAAUGGAAUGACUGUUGUUAAUCAAGUGGACCAGUGCCUAACUCAACUUCGAAAACUAGGUCAGGUGGUGAAGAUUGUCCUUGAUCAUAUAAGGAAACUACAGCACAUACACCUUACUAGUGUGGGAUUCUCAUACACUAAUCGCACACCAAGACUAGACAUUUGUAGCAUCAGUUAACCUUGGUUGGCCAACAUCUAAUAGUCUAACAUCAAGAUAGAUCUGCCUCUAAUACCAUGUUUAAGAAAUUGGACCUUGUUUCUAGCUCAAAUGAAAGUCUAACUCAAUUUGUGAGGAGCCAAAGACCAUAUAAGGAAACUACAGUCCGAACACUUAGUUUUUAACAUAUAGAAACUUACAAGAAGGUUCUGCAAAAGGAGCUUCACCUUUUUCUCAAGUUCCUCCACAUAAUCUUCAAAAAGGUCCUCACAGUCUUUAGCUCGCUCAACAGCUUUAAAACGCUCAUCAUGUUCGAAUAUGUUCGAAUAUGGAGAUUUCCUUACUGAAUAAUCAAUAGCAAAUAGUCAGUGGAUCAAAUGGAACUUACACAAGUAAUGGAUCAACUUCAAGGUACCAAAACACAUACAAACAAUGACCAAGAUUAGAAAACAAGCAGCAGACAACUUAACAUUACAAGUGAAAGACAAACCUCCAUCUUGACGAUGGUGACAGCUCCUUGCAAUCCUGUAAGAUUGAGAACAACGGACAUUGUUGUGAAAAAUACCACUUAUUCUUUUGAACAAGUCAAAUACCAGUCUCUAACACAUCAUGAAUAUUAUGAUAAUAUCUUUUUAUUUUUGAAACUGGUAAUGUGAAUAUCAUGAUUUAUCAAAUGGAAGACAACCACAAAAGAAAAUUUCACUUACUUCUAACAUUAUCCUGAAAUCUUCCCGAGCUUUUUUCUGUUUAACACACCUCUCUUCAGCUUCCAGUUUUUUCUUUUGGCUCAGAUACUAGAACAGACACACAACUUCAAAAUGAUCAUUAUAGACCUUGGGUGUGUUUGGUAUGAAGGAAAAUGUUUUCCUAGAAAACAAGUUGGUUUCUUACUUGUUUUCUUAUGUUUGGUUGAUGAAAGGAAAACAUUUUUCAAAAAAUGUUUUCUAGUGUUUGGUUGGUGAAUAAAAAAAUAUUUUUCAGAAAAUACAUUUGAGAGUUGUACAAACAUUUCAACUUAAGAGUGAGAUUGAAAGAGAGUUUUGGAAAAUGUUUUUCCUACAUUUUGAAGGGAAUUCAUUUUCCUUAAAUUUAAGGAGAAUAAGUUGAUUUGGAAAAUAUUUUCCAAAAUUUUUAAGUCAACCAAACAUGGAACAAUUGGAUAUCAAACACAAUCUAUCUUUUUGCAAUACAGUAUGCUGAAAUAUUGAAGCAGCAAUUAACCCAUUCCAAUGCCGACUUGGAGAGAUACCUCAUUAAAAGCUUGCUUCCACUCACAAAGGGAUUUUAGAGCUCCAUAUCUCCGGUCAUUAAUUACUGCUCUCAUGGCCUGACAAAUACAAUUCAUGUCAAAUGAUCUCCCUCAAUUGUUUGGUACGCACAAAAUAGUCAAGUAAUAAACCUGAUCCUACGUGCAAUCAGACCCAAUAUUUGCAGAUUCCAAAAGAGUUUUGAAUGCAUUCUUUGCCUCCUAAAUAAAAUCAGAUACUUAAAAUAGAAAUAAGAGAAAUUUCGAGAACAUACAUUAAACAAGGGAAAAAGCAAUAAUCAACUAUACCGCUUUGCUCUCAUAAACUAAUGGUCCCAGCUCGACUGUUUUCUCAUCUGAUGGAGUAGCACCUCUGAUUUCAGUUAUUGCAGCAUCUUACUUGACAUUCUACAUUUUAGGCACAACAUCAAGCACAAAGGGAAAAAUCAAACCUCAUUGGAAUUUGUAGCAUAUUCUUUACCUGUUAGCAGUUGACUAACAACUGCACUACAAAAUUGUUGGAUCAACAUCUAGCAUAACAGCUACGAAAAGCUUUCUUGGUGUUUUAACCAGUAACCAGUAGUAAUUAACUAAUCUCAUAAGUAUUUGAGAAGGACAAAGUACCUUUCUAUUCUCCGAAGAAAAUCCAUCACCAUACACUACUGCAUCUUAAGUUGUAGUAGUCUCAGAACUACAGAAAAAUUGAAUUCCAAAUAAGAAGCAACACAAACCAGAGGCAAAUUUAUAACAUAUAAAUUUGAAAACAUACACCGGUGGCGCGACAAAAUUUCCCAAGGUUACUGCAAUUCCAAUUUUCUCCGAAUUAGCAACAGCUGGCGAAGUAAGUUCUGAAGAAUUCUUCAUUUUGACUGUUUCAAUCAUCGGAAUAGAAACCUUACCAGAUAAACUUGAUGAUUCUGAAGCCACAAUAGUUGGUAAGUUAGCAGCUGGUGACAUAGCAAUUGGGCUUGAUUUAGUACCGUGUGCCAAGACUAAUAAACCAUCUGCACCCGGGAUGAUGUUUUAACAACAGAAAUGGAUCCAAAAUCAGAAGCGUGCGAAAUGGUGUCCUUUUUACGUGCCAACUGUGAAUUUAUAAAUAAUUGAACUUUAUAAGAAUAGAGUUUCCAAGAAAACAGAAUAUUGCCCCUUCUUAUCAUGCUAGCAACUGUGAAUGCAUAAAGAUUUUAUGAGAACUAGAGCAUCCGAGAAAACAGAAUAUUAUCCCUUCUUAUCAUGCUAUUUAAAGCAUAUAACAAUCCCUUCUUAUCAUGCUAUUUAAAGCACGAAAUAAACCCAUAUUGGAUUUAAAUAUAACAUCACCUUGACUUCAUCAGGCAUUCUCCAUUUGGACGUUCUAGUAACCUUCUUGUAGUAAUACCUACAGAAAACAAACAAAGAAAUCAGCAUUAUGCACAAGUAACACACAAAAGUACCCACUGUAGAAGAACAAUUGGAAAGAGGCCAAAAAAAUAUAUAAGUUACACAUUUUCUUCCCUCAGGACUUGUAAAUUUUCUCCGGUCAGUUAAUGUGUCUGCCCUCUGUCCCAAUGAAAACAACAUAAAAGCAGGUCAAGUCAAAAAAUAGAACAUAAACAGUACCCUGAGAGUAGAAUUCAGUAACUUCCAGCAGUACAAUACUGGAUGGAAGUGUUAGAAUAUGAAUGAUAUAAUGUCCCACAUGGAAAAGGACUAGAAUUUACUGUGUAGAAUAUAACUACAAGCAAGGUGGAAACAUUGCCAAGCUGCGUUCGAGCUACAGCUAUCCAAGGGUGAUCAACUGAAUAACAUUCGCCUGAUAAUCACAUUUUGUAUAUAUAUAUAUAGGUUAAAUUCUGUCAUUUCUAAGUAUUUUUUUAUAAACAACCUUGCCACAAAAAAUAAGACUGAGUAUGAUAGUAAGGGUGUUCAAAUCCUACACUGAGGUUCUAUGUUCCAUACCCAACACAGCCCUUCCAUAAUUGUUUCUCCAUUUGGACACGUUUGAAAAUCAUAAACUACAGUUAUGCUUUUUUUCGAUGAAUAAAUUUCUGAACAUGCGUUUUUUGUCCCAAUUAGCUCUUGCAAAAGAGCUAGCAACUAGCAUGCCAUGUAUAAGAAUUUUGUUAAAAUAAACAUAAAGGUAAAUUUAUAAAAUGGUUGUUAUACUAGCUAUCUUGCAUGGGGCAGAGUGUUUAGCUGGUCAAGAGCUCGCAUGUUCGAAAGAUAAACGUAGCAGAAAUGAGGAUGUUGAGAUUGGUGUGUGAGCAUAGGAGAGAUAGAAUAAGGAACAAAGAUAUGCGAGAAAAAGUGGUAGUGCUCUCUAUGGUGGACAAUUUACAAGAAGAAUAGAGGGUUGGGGAUAAAGAACCUAAAAAUUCAAAGUAAGGCUCUCAUGUUGAAAUGGUUGUGGAAAUAUGAAAACAAUAACCAGCUGCUAUGGAGGAAAGUGAUUAGGGCUAAAUAUCCUGAAGAAGAUAGAUGGAUAACUAAAGAAGUGACCACACCAUACGGAGUUAGCCUCUAGAGAUCUAUUAGAUCUAUUAGACACUAGUGGAAUGAAGUUAAAAGCAACUCAAAGGUUAAAGUGAUGGAUGGAAACAAGACUAGGUUCUGGAAGGAUAAUUGACAUGAGGAUGGGAAUAUGGAAGUGACUUUUCCAGAUAUCUACAACUUGGUAUUGUUUCAAUAGAGGACUAUAGCAGAAUUAUGGACACCACAUAGGUGGAACUUCAAUUUCAGAAGGCAACUUAAUGACCGGGAGGUAAUGAGAGUAGUUGAAUUUUUUAAUACCGUAGGCUUAUUCAAUGGACUGCAGACUGUGAAGGACAUACUAUGGUGGAUGGGAAAUGAAAAAGGAAUGUCCAGUGUCAACAAAGCCUACAAGAUGAUGAACCAAAUAAAUCACCCGAAUCCAAGAUGGACAUGGAAGAAAAUAUAGAAAAGUAGGUUACCUCACACAGUGUCGUGCUUUGUCUUUGUGUGGUUACUAACCAAGGAAGUAGUUCUUACACAAGAUAAUGUCAUGAAGAAAGGGAAAACCUUGUGCUCCAGAUGUUUCCUCUGUGGAUAAACUUUAGAGACGUUUAACCAUGUAUGUCUACAUUGUAAGUACACCCAACAACUUUGGAGAAUAGUCUUAAGACUAAAAGUCAUUUCCAGGACAAUGCCUAGGAAAGUAUCUGAGACUUUAAUGUGCUGGGAGAAGUAGGUGUACAUGCGAAGGACAGAGGUAGAUGGAGACUUAUCCCUGGUGCUAUAUGGUGGGCUAUUUGGAAAGAAAGGAAUUCUAGAUAUUUUGAGAGCAUAGAGAAUAGUGUGCAGAAGGUUAAACUCAACUGUAUUUUGCUUUUAUGUUUUUGGUGUAAUCAACUAUACUCUAAUGAUACUGCCUCGAUAAUUGAUGUUCUAGACUAAAUUUAGAUAUAGAACAGUCGAUUUAGGAGUACUCUUGUAUAUAAAGGUUUCAGUACAACCCAUGUGCUGUUUGAUAUAAUACAAAGUUACAAAGUUAAAAAAAAAGAUAAUAAUUUUUCAAGAACUAAAAGUUUAUAAAAUAACAAAUAAAGCAAUUAAAUCUGAGUUCAAAUUGGGUGGGUUGGGCUAUGACCCGCAUUUUAGAGCAUUUCAACCCAACCCAUUUCAGCCCAAGUAGCUUUAGGGCGGGUGGAUAACCCGCCCAUUUAUUAACUCAGACCUCUUUGAUCAGCCCAAAUCUAGCCAGCCCCGCCCAUGUGACACCUUUAGUUUAAUAGAAGUAAAGUGGACCAUGCCAAAACAGAUCUAUUGAGUUGAAGUAAAGUGGACUAUCAAAGGACACACAACAAUCUGUUGAGCUGUUGGAUUAAAGGGGAUUAGCAAAAGUUAGAAGAAAUGGGGGAGAACAAUCCUUCCUUGUAUUUGGUGGACUGUAUGGAGCGAGAAAAGUUGAAGGAAUUUUGAAGAUAAAUAUAAUUCCAUUCAGAAAGUUAAAUGGAAUAGCAUUGUAGAUUUUUGUUUAUUGUUUAAGGGCCAAUGUGUACAGAAUGCAUAACAGGUAGUAGAUCUCUUCAAAUCCUCGUAUUAUUUUCAUUAUUUUUCAUUUUUUUUUUUGGACUGCUAGCAUAACCUUAACUCUGACGAAUGCAAAGUAAUAUCUCCAAAAAAAAAAUUGUUUAUCUCGAAAAGAAAAGAAUAAAAAUGUUCAAACUUCCUUACAGCUCUAGUUGUUGGUCCCUUAAUACUUGUCCCUCACAACCAGCCAAACUUUCUUUGAUAACCGUCGUGUUUGGGCCAGCUUGCACCUUGACUAGUUACACCAGGUACUGCUACCUCCCACCAGCAUAGAUACUGGGUAACUCUAUCCAUCAAGGCUUGGACAGACGGUAAGAAAUCACCUAGUGCUUUUAUCUCUGUUGGAAAUUAAACCUGAGACCUCAUGGUUCUCAAUCUACUUCAUUGACAACUAGGUCACACUCUUGGGUGCAAGUAUGCAACCAGCCAAACUAUUAUUCUGUAAACCAGAAUGAGAAGUGUGAACCGCAAUAUUAUAUCAAGUUUACUCUCUCCAUAUCGCCAUAGAGUUACAAUAACAUUACAUUAAUCAGAAAGUAAAUAAAAUUGUUUAAAAUAGACCAAAUAUAAUCCUGCCGUGUAUACUUAAACACAUUUUUUAGAACAAUAGUGUUAAAUAUAAAAUCUUUUAGAACUAUAUUGGAAAUAAAAAGCCAAUACAAAUCCUAAAUGAAGCCUACAUAGUAUAGUAAGAUCGAGGAAAUCUGCUCGCUAAACAAACUUUCAACAGAAAUCACAUAUACUUAGGAAAGAAAAAGUGGUUCUACGAAGCUUCAUAGAAAAAGAAUUGUGUACUUCUUUUUUCAUUGAUACGCACAGGAAACUGGAUAAAACUACCCAUGAAAAUCUCGAUGACACGAGACCUCACCUCCAUUUCUGUCAUCAGCUCUCGAGGUUUCUCCCAGGUAGAGAUUCUUGUCCUUCUAUUAUAAUAGUAUCUAAAAAUCAAUUCAAGAAUUGUGAAUGUUAUUUUAAUUGGUUGGAGUAAUAAAGCAAUAGGAGUCAGGUAGAAUUUGGUAGCGGUGAACGGCAGCCCAUAUGAUAACUUUGACAAAGAGGACUGAAACAAAGGGGCCUAUUAUCUCCAGUGCUAAUGGAAGCAAAAUGAUGUACAAAGCACUAGAUGUGGAUACUUGAGGGAUUUAUUGGCAGUGAUGGGGGCCAACAUAUCCACCACUUGUUCAUAGACAUGACAUUAAGUGUUUGUGAUGUAGACAUUAACCUAUUCAUACGAGUAACCUAUGUGAAUAUAAUCCAAAAGCAAGAAUUCUGGAAAGCCAAAUCGGCAUGCUCUUUCUUCUGUCUGGAGAACACAAAGUGGUAAAAAGAUUGGAUCUGAAUGAAGAUGAUAUUUUUGCAGAGCUCCUUUUCUUGUAUACCGUGGUUUUACACCUUUUUUGUUCACUGGAAUCUUAAUUUUCUUACAAAAAACUAUCAUAGAAUUCAAAUGUUGACUCUCUCAGUCAACACAGACCCAUUAACCCAUUAACUUAAGCAUACUUGUUGACAAUAUUUAUGCAAAAUGGGUACAAUAAAACACAUUGAAUUCUCACCAGAACAACCAAGGGAGCUGCUAAUUCUCCAGUCUUCUGCAUAGUUGUCGCAAAAUUCACAUUAUGAUUACUUAUUGGCAUCCAGGGUUGUACCCCUGAUGGAAACCUAUGAUUAUUUAUCUGUGUCUGAUACUGGGAGCCAGAAGAAUCUGCAUUUACCUGCUGUUAAAGACGAUAACAAAAUGUAUUUCAUCAAUAUAUGAAUGAAACAUCGAAAACUGAUUGACUAUAACCACAAAAGAUCUUCCCAAGGUCUUACAUUAUAUGAUGAAGAAAGAGGUAAAUUUGGCCCACCAGAACCAAGCAUGUGGUUAUUUGACAUCGGAAGAUUUUGCUGAAAAUCAUGGGGAAUAGGUGGUCCCUGAGGCAUACUAUACAUUCCUACUACAGGGAUACCAGUAACCUGUUGCAUAGGUUGAGGAAAUUGGAUUUGAGAAGGUUGAGACAUCGCAACAUUUGCAUGUCCAAGUGGCAGAAAUUGUUGAGAUGGCCCGGAACCAUAAGGUUGUGCCUGCUGGACUGGAAGCAUAGGCUGGAACUGCUAAAGAUGUGGGGAAAAUAGUUAUCAUAAUGUCUCUACAUUCAAAAGUCAUUUAUCCCUCCCCCAAGCCUCCACAACUUUACCUGCAGUGACAUGGAUGGAAUAGAACCAGGAGCAGGACCAGGCAGACGAGGUAUAGGAGGCUUCUCAACCAAUAUCUAUGCAAGGAAGAACAGAUGAAAUCAGAAUAUAGCUACUUUUCAAUCAUAUUUAGUUAAUUUUCCAAUCAAUGCUGAAAGCUUGUAACCAUGCGCAACUCCCUAAUUUAAUUUGAAAGACAAGGCAAGAAUUUUGAAGCCAAACCACAUAGUAACAUGAAACCCUUUUCUUCAUCUUAUAAACAGAAAGCUUGAAACGAGAAUAAAGAGAGAUAGGAAAUAGAUGACCUAUCACAGCGUUUGACGAGAAUGGACAAAAUGAGAAGCAUCUUUACCUUAUGGCUUGGGUUUAACAGAUACUGAUGGCCUAAGUAUCUUUUCUUCGGGUGUAAAGAAGCACGUCUGUUAAUGCAAAACUAUGAUCAUGGAACUAAAACAUGAGGUAUGAGUAGGUAUCAGGCUAACUGAAAAAUUCUGAGACCGGAAUGGGUUGAGCCUCACUCUUCCCUUCUGAUGUUCUAUGCCAUACUGACAUCACUACUAGAAUCUAAAAGCCUAACUUGGUUAUUCGCUCUAUCAUCUCCCCCUUAGCUUCAAGCUAUCAUAUUAAGUUUGGGAGAUCCCUUACUAGACUCUAAACUGAAGUACACUCACUGUACUCUGGGGUCUGGAAAACUACUAUACAUGUAUAUCAUGGAACUUAACCCGAAUGACUACACUUGAAAGUGGAAACCCCACUGUUAAUACUACCUUCUGAGAUGCACUUUAUCAUUCUAUAGACCCAGUAGUCAUCAUAUAAUACUUGCAUACUUACUAACUUCGGGUCUUCAUGGGUAUCCCCCAUAGUUGGAGUGCAUACCCUCUAGUGCUUUAACUCUUAUUUCUAUUAGUUCAACCUUUAAAAACUCAAACUUAGAACCUAUCACUCAACAUUGAUAUCACCAAGCCUUCAAUGAAUCGUACUACUUCCGACAUAGCCUACCAAUAUCGCGACUCCAAACUUACAUCUCUCUACUAUGAGAAUCAAGAUCAUAUAAAAGGGUCAACACUAUCAAUCAAAACUCUUUUACUUGGCUAUUUAAAACACCAUAUACCAUCUAACUAGUCUUUCUCCACUAGCAACUCAACGGUACCACUCGUCACACAAAACGUGUAAUAGUCUUAGAAAAUACCGAAACCUCAGAUCACGUUGGGCAUACUUCUACAUUAUAUAUGCAACAUCAUACUUCACUACGAAUCAAACAAACUUAAGCACUUGCAUAUAUCGUUCAAGCCUAUGAGAUUACUUCCAUAAAACUAGUAUCAUUAACCAAGAAAUCAUCACAUCCACCUUCAUGGACAUCAAUUGUUCAAAACUUAAUGUCUAGUGUUAAACAUGAUUUUACAACCCAGCCUUAUGCAUGAUUCUCACUUGGAUAACAUGAAAUAGACAUCAAGAAACACUAGUACACUAGAACUUCUGAACAACAAAUAAUUGAUCUUGACCUUAUGGUCUUCCUUAUCAUAACUCAUUAGCACGUACUAUUUUAACACAUCAAGCCUACUAAUUUUUUCCCACAAAACAUACAUCAUUAAUCUUAUGCCACUAUUUUUACCACCACAUUCUACAUUAAAUUCAAGCAUAUAGUCCUGUACCAAUCAUCUAUCACUACUAAAAAAAUGUCCUACAACAUAUAUUGACAAAGGGGAAAUAAUGUCCCACAACAUAUGUGGACAUCUGAACAACCGCUUGCGAAAUCUCUAAUACAUGACUGAAACAAAUUACUAUCUGAAAACUAGGACAAGGCCCCAGUAGACCCAAAACUACCAAAUGAUAAAUGAACUGACAGACAUCAGGCCUUCCGAAAUAUAGAAGGCUCACCACUUGAUUCUGCAAAUCUGUCGGAAGAGAUCUACUAGUUAUCUGGACCCCUAAACUAUGCCUCCAAACCUAGAAAGGAAGGGGUUCAAUACAAAAGUACUAGUACGCAAAGAAACCAAAAACAAAAUAUAAUGUUUUUUUCCAAAUAUAGGUGAGAGCCAUUAUAAAGCAGUUCCAUAUCAAAUCAUUUGAAAAUAUAUGGGCAUAAUAUAAUAGUUUUCAACAACAAUGUAAUGCAGCUGGGCUAGGUGGAAUACCCUACAUAUAACAUUUACACCAACUUUCAAAUCUCAGUUGCUGCCGAGAUUAGAGUGUAUGUGAGGGGAAGACACAUAAGAUCACACAGCAGAGUGUCUCGACCCAAUAAAGUAUAGUAGUUCCCAAGAUCACGUAGCCUAGGCUCCUAACCAUAGUCCCAAUUAGGGAAUGACAUAAAGUCAAGUACACAAGAUCACAAAGCAGGGUACCAAAUCCCCAUGUCGGCAAACAUGGUUUCCAGCGAUGAGCCCUUAUACUCAAACGCCUUCUUCGGGCACCCACCUAUCUCAUUUAAAAUCAAUGCAUCAAACUCCAUUUAAUUCAAUCACAUAGCUUAUUCUGUAGGGUAUCGUCAUACCCGACUUGCAAGCCAUCAAUAUCAUAUCAUUCUUUCAUGCAACCAUUAUAUUCAUCAUAUUUCAACAUAACAACCCUCUCAUUGCAAGUCAAAACCAUAACCAUUUUCAAAAUAUUUCAUGUCACGCUUGUCAAGAUGAUUUCAAACAUUUCAAAUCAUAUGAGAAUUUAAAAUAAGAUCAUAUAAAAAGAGGGAUUUCAUUUAAUUCAUGCCCUCAAGUUAACAUCUUUUUGGAAUACAUGCAUAUACAUAUAUCAUAUAUCAAACCACUUCGGCAAUAGGCCUAAAGACCAAAUCAAUAUCAUAAAACGUUUAAAACGGGAUUAUAUUCAUAAUUUCAAAACCCCAAUUUUUAAAACAUGAAUUUUUAAGCUCAUGAUAUUUUUGAGAUAACCCCACGUACCUCUAUAUGCAAAUAUGAUAGGUGCUUCUUGAAGCCUACGUUCUGGGGAUUCCAAAGAUGCAAUUAGUUUCAAAAACUCACGGUUGAAUCUUGAGUUGCUUGAGUUUUUAUUUUGAAACCCUAAGGAGAGUUCUUGAGAAAUUUUGAUGAAUGAAGGUGUAUUUUGGGGUAUUUUGGGAACUGAAUUACGUGUUUAUGGCUAAAUAAGGGUGGGAAAAGAACCAUUUUGCCCCAAAAAUAAAGUGUUUAAGUCACUUGAGUAAUUAUAUAUGUGGCGCAAACCUUAUUAGAUAAUAUAGGUUGUGCGGCGCACUCUUUAUCGCACAUAUUAGGUUGUGCGUUGCACACCUUAUGGAAUAAGUUAGGGUAUGCGUCGCACACCUUAUGCUGCACGACACACUCCAUUUUGGAAAGCCAUAACUUCUUCCUCAGGUGUCGGAAUUUUGCGAAAUUGGUAUCGUUGGAAAGAUAAUUCAAAUAACUUUCAUUUGAUAUAUAGUAGGCACUCUAAUUCAAUAUAUACGAAGAUUAAUGGUCGAUUGAAGUUGACCUAAGUUUCAACACUCACUAAAAUUUGAACGAUAGGAAAACUUUCAACUUGUCCUUGAGCUUGGCUACCUCUAUGAUCUCAAUUCAUGCUCAAAUAGGUUUCCACACUACAUAAUUUAUUAACAUACUAAACUUGCAUUGGAUUUAUGGAUUUUGUAACCUUUACGUGAAGAAAAUGAUGAUUUUCGUUCUCGUCCGAAAUGCGGGGUGUUACAAAAUUUUGUUAGAAAAUGGAAAAUACAACCAUAUGGAGUACAUUUUAGUUGCACCGUACUCCAAAUACACUAAACUGAACUUUAAAAGUACUAAUGCAUUUCUUACCUGUUGGUGUUUAGCAUUCAAAAGUUUUAUUGUCUAUGCUCGGAAGAUAGCCACAACGACGGUUUCAAGAAUGAAAACUAAUCUUAAAAGAAGCCAUGCUCGCUCUGGAGUUCCUGCUAUAUGAUGCAACAUUAAUCUACAACGUUGAAGCCACUUUCCUAAUCCUUGGAGUCUAUGUUCUUCCGAGAAUGAAAUAUGAUUAGGUAACACAUCCUUAACAUCAUUUGAAUUAGUGACAGGAGGAUUACUAUCGCAAUGUUCUCGAUCAGCGUCCAAACUACUUCUCUACAAUAAGGCUAGAAUCAUUGGGACUAAUCCAUUCUCCUCAGCAUCAAUACAAAAUUAGGAUCAAGCCCUUUAUCUUACAAUAAAUUAGCUAAUUCAUGAUUAGUGUGUCUUCCUUUCUGCUUUAACAUAGAUGUAAUCCUGGGAUCACUCAACUUUUCUUAAAAUGCAAGUACCAAAUUCAAGUCUAGUAUCUGUUGGUCUGCAGAAGUAGAUGUACUAGAAUCACCGCCUUGGCUUUCAAGGCCACUGCUAGAACAAACAACCAAUGAACUAUUAUGCUCUAAAUUUCUAUCAACAUAUGAUGAUCCUACUUCAGGCUCUUGAACAACUGAACGAUAGGAACUACUGCGUAGAGCUAGACUUGGUCUUCCACUGUCUAUCCUCUUAUCACUAUUAAUCCCCUCAAUGUUAUUCUAGGUACUUCCAUCACCAGUGUAAGGCACAGUUGCAUUACCAAGAUGACCAGCAUUAGCACUACUACUGCGUUUGAUACCUGAGCCACACUCUUCAGAAGAGCUUGCGGAGCUAUUUUGGUCUUUUCUAUGGAAACCUUCUCUAAGGCAGAUAACUGUGCUCUGCAAGGCAUCUCGUCUAGCUGCUAAUGGUUCCGUAACUGAUAAAUGCCAUGUAACAGCAGCACCCAACAGCACAGAUACUACAACUGCAUAACUGAUACAAUGUCCAAAGUACUUGAAACAAAAUUGUUGCAGUAAGAGAUUAGAAGAUUUUUUUUUAUAACAAAAGAUUAGAAGUUUCUAUUCAACAAAUAAUAUUAAAAGGGAUGCAUAUGCCACAAGUAUAAGAACACUUGAUUAUGGAAGAAAAUGAAUUAGCAUGGGUUAACAACAAACCAGUAAUGAACUCCAAAAUAGAUCAGGAACACCCGAGAUAUACCGGCAACAAAAAGUACGACGACUCGACUUUUCAGAAGCUUAAAACCAUACAAGCAAGCUCCCAAGUUCCAAUCUGGUUGAAUGAAAAGCUAGUGAAUUCAUCACUUAACACAAGGAAAUAAGAAAUUAUUUCACAAUACGAGUCAGAAAAGGAGACAGAUAUAUGUAGGAAAUGAACUACCAAGGAUUAUCACGGCAGCUGAUGUUGNNNNNNNNNNNNNNNNNNNNNNNNNNNNNNNNNNNNNNNNNNNNNNNNNNNNNNNNNNNNAGUACUACAAGUGAACCAACAUAUAGAAGUCCAAGAUGCAGAGCCCAAGUUCAAAGUGAAGGAGAGUAAAUUAUAGACUUCAGAGAAAAUGUUGAAAAGAUAGUGCAGAAAAUAUGAUGAGCAGUAUAAAUGAGAACCCACUAAACACAUAAUAUAAUAAGGUGACUUUCUAAUCUAAAGCAGCAUUUAAAUUAAUUUUCUUAGCAGUGCGAUUUUAAUAUCUACUGUUUUUACUGAACUACUGGAGAGUGUGUUUUGUUCUCUCAAAGUUAGCAUUCCUUUUAUUCAAAUAGAUUUGAGUUACACCCGUUGUUUAGCGUUCUUUGGCUCUUAAUUUUAAAAGUCUGUUAGUUGAGAACAUUUUGGCCUAUCUUCAUAUCUUCCAUAUCUUAUAANNNNNNNNNNNNNNNNNNNNNNNNNNNNNNNNNNNNNNNNNNNNNNNNNNNNNNNNNNNNNNNNNNNNNNNNNNNNNNNNNNNNNNNNNNNNNNNNNNNNNNNNNCAUCGUGUUUACACCAAAAAUAAAGAAGUGCUAAACUAUUCAUGUUGAUCUUCUGGACAUCCUCAAAACAACCCUUGUUUCUUUCUGUCCAAACUGUCCACCAUAUACAUGUUGAACAAUUUUCCAUCUCUCCUCCUUUAUUACAUUUACAUCCCCGUUCCAGCUGCUUAGUACUUUUUUAAUGCUCCCAGGCUCUACCCACCUGAUCCCCUUCAGGUUGAAAACAUUCUCUACAACUGCUCUGUCCAUUUCCAAUGUAAGAAAAAAUGGUUGAUUGAGUAAAGAAAGGAUCUUGGGCCUAACUUAACCCCAAAAGCUAGCACAUGAGAGGAGGAUUGCUCAAGUCCAUAUAAGAAGACCGAUAGUUCACUCCCCAACAAUGUGGGACUUUCACCCACUCUAACACCACCUUCACGCCCACGCCAAACAAGAGCGUAGUCCGGGAGCUCAAACGUGGAUGGACCUGCUGUUUGAGAAGGAAUAUCAACUGCUAUUUGUAUGCAAGAGAGAACAGAUGAGCUGUUAUUACUGAAUGCAUUGGGUCUAUCAGCACGUACAGGUUUAUGCAUUAUGCCAUUAGGUUUUGCAGCAGUUCCAAUAUUUUCAGCAGCACCACAAGUUGAAUUCUAAUGCACUGCAGUAAGGAAAGAAAACUUAAACAUUAACUUGAGACAACAACACAAGCUUCUCAAAUGCAGGUUCGAGCAAAAACAAAGAUAAUAAGCAAAUAGAAGGCAAUGAAGAUAAAGGAUAAGUCUAGAUAAGCUUAGGGACAGGCUCCAAACUGAACAUAGUGCUCGUCAUUCUUGUUGCAGAUAAGAUCAGACAACUUAUAAUUUUGACGUUAAGAGUUUCUUGUAGAGGGUGCUGAAUCCAUUUUGCAACUUGGGAGGCCUUGUAAAGCAUAGAAAGGCUCAUUUUUGUAAAGAAAAUACUGCCCACAUAGUAUAUAUGCUAUCAUUUUCAAAAAAAUAUGGUGCUUGCUGGUUUUACCAAUAUCAUGUAUGCUUGUACCUUCCAAUGCAACCUUCUGGCGAAAAAACUAACCACCAAUAGGCAUCUUUCACCAUAGAAGAUUCUAGGACUGUCUUACUAGGAAUUAGGUAAGUGCAAGUUCUUGAAGCAAAAUUGUUUGCAUCAUUGAAGAUUAGAAAGCCAGGUAUACAAGAGAUUAGACAUGUUAAAGAAAAAAUGACAGGUUUAAUAUCAGGAAAGACAUAGAAAACUCUCAUUGACAUAUAAAUGAUGGAUCCCAAAUACCUUCAGAAGUUACACACAAAAGGAAAAUGGUACAAAAACCAAUUCCACCUUCAUAAUAACUAUGUCUUCUUUAUGUAAGCAUAAACAUUAUCAGGAAAGACAUCAAAGAAUCUCAUUGACAUUUAAAUAAUGGUUCCCAAAUAACUUCAGAAGUUACACGCAAAAGAAAAAUGGUACAAAAACCAAUUCCACCUUCAUAAUAAUUGUGUCUACUUGAUGUAAGCAUAAACAUAAAGAACAUAUUAACAUACCAAAAAAUUAUCAAAAUGUUCUACAAUAUAGUGCAUAGUUUUUUUCGUUUUUUGAAAUUGAACGCAGUCCAUAGUUUAAAAAUAUGCAAACAACAUUUAAUGUGGCAGGUGAAGCAUCAAGUACUGGAAGGAAAAUUUAAAACAUGGUGGAGGCAAAUGAAAGAGAAUAUCUAAAAGAAUGAUCAGAGGGCAGGGUGGAAUUCCCUCAUAGCAAGUCAAAUGAAGUUUAAAACUAUAUAAAGAAGAUGAAACUAGAGGCUUCUGUAUGUGUCUCACACACUUGGAAUAAACUAUUUGUGAAUGAGCAUAACAGAAUCAAAUGUACUGAGACAAAGCAGGCAUUUGAUUGCAGAUCAAAUGGAAGAGUCUGCCAACUGACCAGAUUUAAGAGCAGCUCUGGUCCAUGCACCAUUUUGAGGUAAAGUUAUAUAGGUAAAAAUUUGGACAUUACUUAAUAUAUACACAAACUGAACAUGAACUGCCCAAUUAUACAAGUGCUUUUUGUAGCUACACAGUGACAACCUUAGUGAAAGAAUUCAUCAAUGAGAAGUUAACUCAGUAAGCUUAGUGAGAUUUCCCCCACAAGGAAUGAAAGUGUGGAUGACCCGACAUCAAAUAUACGAUUGUUAUUAUACACACAAUCUCCAUACAACAGCAAUCCUCACUAAAUACUUCGUAAGACAAAAAUCAGCCAAUACUUACAAAACCAAAUGAAGCAAAAUAAGUUCAUUGUCUUGAUCACCAACAAGUAAAAGAAAUGUUUACAAUUGGAGAUUCAAAAAGGUUGCAAAAGAAAGAAGCAAACUUUCUCUUUAACAAGUAUCAAAGGGGGGAAGAAUGAGAGUAAAACCAGUAAGUAUACGAGAAGUAUGAACACUAUUGUAGUUUGGCCAUUUAGCAUCCAUCACUCCAACAGAGAAUCAGGACUUGCAAGAAGGUCGAAAGGUUUGCCUAUUGAGUCUUUCAAGAUUGUGAUUUGACCCUCUUUCAUAAGAAAGUCUUCGUCGAGGGUAUCUACCUUCCUUUUCAACAUGUUGAUCUCAUAAUUCAACAGCAUGUUCAUCUCACUGUAGCUCUUAACUUCCUCCCACAUGAAAUCCCUCUCUUGAAACACUUUUGGUAGUAUCGCCUUCACAAUGCCAAGUUCCUUCAUGUAUUCUUGCAAAUCAUUAGUGAGCUGGUUGAUAUUUUCAUCCUUUUUUAGCACCUUCCAGAAUCAACUGUAAACCAUGAAAAACAAAAAAUACACAAAGAUCACCAAUAACAUUUCAUCAGAAAUUCAAAACAAACUCAUAGCCUAGAAGUUCAACCAAAUCAUGAAUCCUUUUUAACUGUUAAAAUUCACAGUAGAUGACUCGUGAGCUUGUCCAAGAAUUAAGUCAGAUGGACGAUCAAACUUACCGAAACCCUUCGGGUAACUUUAGCACAUCAGAGCACAAUCAGAUCAAUGGGUUUAGGGAUAUCACAAAGUUUAUCAUGUUCUUGGUUAGUUCAACUGAUUACACAUUAAGACGAUCAGACAUUUCAUAGAAGACUACCACAUGCCAGCAACUCAUGUAUACAAGUUCAUAAAGAAAACCGUGAACUUCAAAUGGAACAAAGAUGAACCUAAAAUCAAACAAAAGUAGAAAGCUAAUGCAGAGAGAGUAACAUGCGAACAGGCUAUCACAUAUGAAGACGAGGUAUCCAAAGUUGAAAAAUAAAAACUAUUCCAUUGCAACAAGAUCUUAACAUUGCCUGCUUACCUGAAGCUCGAUAUAUUUUAACUUGGGUGUGGCAUAAGAAAGAGCGUCCAGUGCAUUUUGCACUUCACAUUUGAGAAUGUCAUUACUUUUAACUGUUGCGCCUAGAUCAUCCUGAAGUUGCUUUAUGUCCAUCUUCUCGGAAUAGAGCUUCUCCCUUAGCACAGUUGUCAGCAAAGUCUCCGAUUUAAGCUCUUUAACCUUUUCCUCGUAGCUUUCUCGAACAUAAUACAUAUUGCCUUGAGCUACUCGAUAUUUUGCUUGUAACUGAGUCAGCUGCUGCCUUAGAUUUUGAUUCUCCUCUGACACUUGCUCUAUUCUCUUAGACAAAUCUUUAAGGUGUUUCUCAGAAAAUGACAUCUUGAUUCUAUUAUCUACUUCCUUCUCAUUAAAUGAAGAGACUUUCCUUUGUAGAGAUAUAUUCUGCUCUGCAAGCUCUCUCGCCCUUUCACGGAGUCUAUGUUGUUCAAUUUGGUAUUUCUCAAGUUUUAGAGACCAAUCGCUGGAUCUUCUAUCCAACUCUUUUUCUAGUACUGAUUGUAACUCAUUCUUUUCUGUCUCUAAUCUUCGUGUCCGUGAAUCUAGUUCUGCCUGUAAUAUGUUGGCUUCUUCCUUAGCAGAAGCCCUUUAAGCAACUUGAUUCCGUAGCAUGUUUGAAACUUCAGAAGCCAUUUGUACCUUCUCCUUUGUUAAUCUUCUAAUAGUCCGAAUCCACACUGGAAUACUAAGGUCUCUGUCGUGAAGAAACAUUUGUCAUUACUUUGGACAAGCAAAUGCAAAUUAAGACAUCAGUUUAAGUGUGAAAAAGGAAGCUACAGCAAAAUGAUAUGCAUACCGGCUUGAAUCACGACCAGAUUUCUUAGGAUGAACUUUCUUACUGUGACCAUGGGGAGAUUUUCUCAGAUCCGUGAAAUUCUUUUUUCCUGACCCACUGUCAUAGAAGGAUCAAGAUAACAAUGAAACACUCCUCCAAGAAGAAACUUCCUUGGACUUUAAUGGUGGUGAAGGGGUCUUGUUUGCAUCAUUAGUUGAUGAUCGAAAAAAUAAGAAGUUGUUCUUCAUCAUCUCUGUGUAUGGAGACUGUAUAUGAAUCAAACUAGUGUACAUGAAAUUUCAAAAGACAAAGCAAAACACUCAUAAACAACCACUCACAAAUCAUUAUCCAUUCAUGAAAAUACUGCAAGCUAACUAAAUACUUAUUAGACAAAGCAAAACAUCUCUCUUUCUAUAUGUUUCUUCUUCAACAACAACAUACGUAACCCCUACCUUGGCAAGUAGAAAAUUUGUUUCCCAUAAAUCCUCGGCAAGGAAAGCAAAGACACGAGGAUAUUAACAACAGUAGCAAGUAAUAAAACAGAGGUAUACAAUACAACAAGUAGAAAAGAAAAAUAUAUACUAAUACUACUACCAGAAGAGACAUGACGUGAAACUAUUUACUCUAGUCUUCUACUGAAAAUUAAUAAAAUACCCCACAAACAAAUAGCACAAGAACAAUUCAAAGAACUUAUCAAAUCCUUCUAAUAAAACAAAUAAUCAUGGUAAAUAAUUAAAAAAAAAAUUACUAAAUCAAAGAGUUGAAAGAGUAAGAGCCGGCAAAAGGUUGUCAGAAUCUAUAGGAUUCUUGUCAUUUUUUCUUGAAAUAUAAAAAUUGCAAAAGACUAGAAUGGAGAAAACUUUUUUUUCUGUGUCUUUCAUUCAUCAUCGUACAAUGCAUAUAUACAACUAACAAGGAUCUGUAAAUUACUAGUAAAUAUUUACAAGGAUCUAUAUAUGGCAAGUGAAUAUUUACAAGGAUCCAGAAAUAUACUAAGUUACUAAGUCCUACAACGACAGGUGAAACGAUGAAGACAGAAGACCAUAAUUCCUGUUGUACUAUUUCCAAGAAAAAACAUUCGCAUACAAGCAAGUUGGAAAACUAAGCGCAUGACUUCUCUACAAUGUACGCUAUACUCUCUUCAUUUUGGGAUGUGGAAAAUAUUUGACCUUAUUAACUAGAUUCAUCUAUGUUGAUUCCAAUAAAAAAGUUCUAGGCCUUUUGAGAUUGCUUUAUUCCAUAUAGUAUUGGUCUCUCAUACCUUUGUACACCUACAAUCAUCAUGUUGCAGGUCCAGCGCAUGUGCUACUAGCACCAAAAAUCAAAAUUAAUAUCUUAAACAUUAUGUAUACUCCAAAUCGUCAUACAAAAUGGAGCCACCGGAGCUUUCAUGUCUAAUGAAUUUUUCAUUUUUCAUAAAAUGGAAAAAGUACCUNNNNNNNNNNNNNNNNNNNNNNNNNNNNNNNNNNNNNNNNNNNNNNNNNNNNNNNNNNNNNNNNNNNNNNNNNNNNNNNNNNNNNNNNNNNNNNNNNNNNNNNNNNNNNNNNNNNNNNNNNNNNNNNNNNNNNNNNNNNNNNNNNNNNNNNNNNNNNNNNNNNNNNNNNNNNNNNNNNNNNNNNNNNNNNNNNNNNNNNNNNNNNNNNNNNNNNNNNNNNNNNNNNNNNNNNNNNNNNNNNNNNNNNNNNNNNNNNNNNNNNNNNNNNNNNNNNNNNNNNNNNNNNNNNNNNNNNNNNNNNNNNNNNNNNNNNNNNNNNNNNNNNNNNNNNNNNNNNNNNNNNNNNNNNNNNNNNNNNNNNNNNNNNNNNNNNNNNNNNNNNNNNNNNNNNNNNNNNNNNNNNNNNNNNNNNNNNNNNNNNNNNNNNNNNNNNNNNNNNNNNNNNNNNNNNNNNNNNNNNNNNNNNNNNNNNNNNNNNNNNNNNNNNNNNNNNNNNNNNNNNNNNNNNNNNNNNNNNNNNNNNNNNNNNNNNNNNNNNNNNNNNNNNNNNNNNNNNNNNNNNNNNNNNNNNNNNNNNNNNNNNNNNNNNNNNNNNNNNNNNNNNNNNNNNNNNNNNNNNNNNNNNNNNNNNNNNNNNNNNNNNNNNNNNNNNNNNNNNNNNNNNNNNNNNNNNNNNNNNNNNNNNNNNNNNNNNNNNNNNNNNNNNNNNNNNNNNNNNNNNNNNNNNNNNNNNNNNNNNNNNNNNNNNNNNNNNNNNNNNNNNNNNNNNNNNNNNNNNNNNNNNNNNNNNNNNNNNNNNNNNNNNNNNNNNNNNNNNNNNNNNNNNNNNNNNNNNNNNNNNNNNNNNNNNNNNNNNNNNNNNNNNNNNNNNNNNNNNNNNNNNNNNNNNNNNNUCCUAAUUUUAUAGCUUGAUUAUAUUUAAUUAAUCUACAAUUACAUAAAGGACUCAAAUAUGGAAACAAUUGAUAUUAAUUACCUUUAUAAUUUCAAAAAUUUAAUCCCAUGAAUUUCUCAUAUUCUUAUAGUUUGAUUAUAUCAAAUUGAUAUUAAUUACCUUUAUAAUUUUGGGAAGAAUUUAAAAAAGGUAACGAUUAUUUUUUUCCUAAUUGCUGAUUUAUUUCUCAAAUUUUUUUUAUAAAUUUAUAAUUUGAUUAUAGUUAAUUGAAUAUUUAAUUAUCUUUCUAAUUUCUAAAAACUCAAAUAAGGUAACCAUUAUUAUUGAUAUUAAUUACCUUUAUAAUUUUGGCAAUUCAAUCCCAUGACUUUCUCAUGUUUUUUAUAGAUUGAUUAUAUCAAAUUGAUAUCAAUUACCUUUUAAAUUUUGGGAAGAAUUUAAAAAAGAUAACAAUUAUUUUUUUCCUAAUUACUGAUUUAUUUCUCAAAAAAAUCUUAGAAAUUCCUAAUUUUAUUGUAGUCAAUUGAUUAUUUAAUUAUCUUUAUAAUUUGAUAAAAGCUCAAAUAAGGUAAUAAUUAUUUUUUUUUAGAUUACGGAUUUUCCUAUAUUCAAUCUUUUAUUGUUUUAUUAAAAUAGUUCAAAUUUAAUUGUUUUGAGGGAUGACAACUUUUUGUCUCUAAAUCUUUUUUAAUACAUAAGAAAUGCUACAGGAAUACAAUAAUCUUCUUUCUUUUUAUAAUCCAAACUUACCAUUUAAAAAUUAUUUCAUUUGAAUUAAUAAGAUCAUAGUAGUUUGUACAAAAUCAAUUAAUUAAUUAUAUGUAUUUUUAUAUAAAAAAUGAUGUACGACAUAAUUGUAAUAAAAUUACACAAUUAAAUUUAAUGUUGUAAAUUUUAAAAUAUAUUUAUGACUAAAGUAGUAGUCAGUGUUCAUUGUUUUUUUACCAAUAUAUGUAUAUCAAUUACGAAACAUUGCAUCUAUUUUUUAUUAAAAUACAUUGUCAAUAUUAACUGAUUUCUAUCUCAAUUUGAUCUAAUUAAUUUUAUAACAAUAAAAUUAUUAUUUAUAUUAUAUAUUUAUUUACCAUAAAUCUAUCCUAAUUAUAUAGUUUGAUUAUAUUUAAUUAAUCAACAAUUACAUAAAGGACUCAAAUAUGGAAACAAUUGAUAUUAAUUACUUUUAUAAUUUCAAAAAUUUAAUCCCAUGAAUUUCACAUAUUCUUAUAGUUUGGUUAUAUCAAAUUUAUAUUAAUUACCUUUAUAAUUUUGGGAAGAAUUUUAAAAAGGUAACGAUUAUUUCUUUUCCUAAUUACUGAUUUAUUUCUCAAAAAUUGCUUAUCAAUUUACAAUUUAUUUAUUUAAUUAUCUUUACAAUUUGCUAAAAACUCAAAUAAGGUGACAAUUAUUUCUUUUCUUAAUUACAGAUUUUCUUAUAUUCAAUCUUUCAUUGUUUCACUAAAAUAGUUCAAAUUUAAUUGUUUUGAGGGAUGACAUUUUUUUGUCUAUAAAUCUUUUUUAAUCCAAACUUAUCAUUUAAAAAAUAUUUCAUUUGAAUUAAUAAAAUCAUAGUUGAUUGCAUAAAAUCAAUCAAUUAAUUAUAUGCAUUUUUAUUAAAUAAAUGAUGUACGAAAUUAUUGUAAUAAAACUAUACAAUCAACUAAUUAAUUUCAAUUAAUUAGAAUCAAUUUUAUGAUCAUAAUAUAUAGACUCAAGUUCCUUAAAUUUAAUGUUGUAUGUAAAUUUUAAAAUAUAUUUAUAGCUAAAGUAGUAGUCAACGUUCGUUGUUUUUUUUCCAAUAUAUGCAUAUCAAUUACGAAUCUUUCCAUAUAUAUAUUUUUUAUUAAAGUAAUUGUCAGUAUUAACUAAUUUCUAGUUCAAUUUAGUCUAAUUAAUUUGAUAGCAAUAAAAUUAUUAUUAAUAUUAUAUAUUUAUUUACCAUAAAUCUGGCCUAAUUUUAUAGCUUGAUUAUAUUUAAUUAAUCUACAAUUGUAUAAAGGGCUCAAAUACGAAAAUAAUUGAUAUUAAUUACCUUUAUAAUUUCGGAAAUGUCACGACCCAAAUGGCCAUGAGUGGUACCCACACUAAUCUUCCUAUGGGAGAACCAUCUAAACCGAACCAUUACCUAGUCACUUAGUCAAUAUUAAGAUGAUAUUGUUAUAAAAUCACAUAAUAACAAUAAUCCAGGACUAAUUAUUACUAAUGCGGAAGUCAAAGCUACUUACUAAAAUCCCCAAGACCCGAAAGUCAUCGUACAAUAACUACUAACCAAGAUCAUGUCUAAGAAUAUAUACAAACAUAAAAUAAACAAAGAAUGUCUCACUGUUUGAAAGAUGGACAAGAAUAAAUAAGAUGACCCAUGGCAGCCUGGAGAUGGAGUGCUCAAUCUUGGAUCAAGAUCUGUUAUCAAACUCUAGAGGUGAGGUCAUGUCUGAGCCUCUAGAACGCUUUAUGCACUCAACAAAAGAAGAGUACAGGGUAGUAUCAGUACAAACCACUAUGUAAUGGUAGGCAUCAUAGGUCAACUCAAUUUAAUAGCAUGUACACAACAUAAAUCAAAUAACAAGUAACCAGGCAUCGUCACAUAACAAAUAUUCAAUAACAACAACGGGUCAACAGUGCUCACAAACAAGCCACAUAACCAUCAAGAGUAUCAACCAUACUGUAAACAUCCACCAAAUCAACACAAGUAUGUACACACAUGUAGCAAUCAUUUUUUUCCUAAUUACGGAUUUUCUUAUAUUCAUUCAUUUAUUUGUUUACAAAAAUAGGUCAAACUUAAUUAUUUUGAGGGAUGAAACCUUUUUUAAUAUUUUUUAUUCAAAAUUGUCUUAGUUUUAGGCUAGACUAUCCUUCUUUAUUAUAUAGAUAGAUAAUUUCAAAAAAAUUAAUUAGAGUAUUUUCUUAUAAAAAUAAUAUAAAUAUUAUUUUAUAAAAAUAAUAUAAAAUAUGGUAUAUUAAUAAUAUUUGCAUUAAUUAUGCUUCUAUUUUCUUAUGCAGUAUUUGAUUCUACGUAUUAAAAAUAACUUUGAAUCAAUGGUGAAAGUGGAGGGACUUCUUUCUUAAUUGGGGUUUUUUUUUUUUGGGAAAGUUGACACUUUCUUGACUACCAACCACCCAACACAAAGCUGACACUUCUUGGUAGAUUGGCUAUUUUUUCAUACGGUACUAAUUUAUAUACAUUUUCUUUGAUAUUUGUUAUAUUGUUAGUUUGAUUUUGUGUAUCGUAUUAAUUUAUAUGCAUUUAUCUUUUAUGUUUGGUAUAUUAUUAUGAUCCUAAGCUGGGAGUCUAUUGGAAACAUCCUCUCUACUUCACCUGAGUAGUGAUAUGAUCUGCAUACACUAACCUCCCCAGACCCUACUAUGUGGGAAUACAUUGGGUGUUGUUGUUGCUGUUGUUGUUUCUUAUACAGUAUUUGAUUCAAAAUAUUAAAAAUAACACGAAUUACAUAAUAUUUUUUUUACAUAAUACCCCCACUUUAAGCAUGUUAAUGCAUGCAUUAGAUCCAUUGCAUUACUAAUGUCAUAAAUUUUGAGGUAUUAGUAAUACACACCUCAAUACAUAAUAGAGUAUAUAACUAAUUUUUGCAUUAGUUAUACAUAAGAUAAAAAUAUAUAUAUCAAACCAGGGACUACUAAUACACAUUAAAUUAAUGGAUGCAUUAAUUUUUAUGUAAUACAUUCCAUGCUUUAUCAAAGAUUUGAUUAUUAUUCCUUGUCUUGAGCCGGGAGUCUAUCAGAAACAACUUUUCUACUUCUCUGGAGGUAGUGAUAUGGACUACAUACAUCUUACCCUCUCCAGACCCCACUAUGUGGAAAUACACUGAAUUUAUUGUUGUUGUUGUUAUUAAUUUUUUAAUACACUCUAUCAAAAGACUCCAUGCUUCUCAUUUAAUUAUACCUUUAGCUCCUCCUUAAUUAUGAUAAUUGCUCUCUGACUCCACCUUGNNNNNNNNNNNNNNNNNNNNNNNNNNNNNNNNNNNNNNNNNNNNNNNNNNNNNNNNNNNNNNNNNNNNNNNNNNNNNNNNNNNNNNNNNNNNNNNNNNNNNNNNNNNNNNNNNNNNNNNNNNNNNNNNNNNNNNNNNNNNNNNNNNNNNNNNNNNNNNNNNNNNNNNNNNNNNNNNNNNCAAAUAUUUAUAUAUUUUAAUUUUGAGUGUUGCACAAAUAAAUACUUAGACUAUCACAUAAAGUUAAAAUAAAUAUAUAUAUGCGAGUCUUGUAUUGCAAUUUUUCAUGCAAAAUAUGUGCAUCUCAUACAAUUUGUCAAGUAAUUAAAGCGUUUGUGUCUAGGGGAGUGCAUCGGUCGGUUCAGUUGGGUUUUACAUAAUAUCGUUAGAUUUAUCGAUUUUUGGUUUUUAAAUAUGCUAAACCAAUAACCAAACCAGUAAAAUAUUUUUUUUUGGUUUUUAGUCCUUAACGAUUCGGUUUUCGGUUUAACCGAUAAGAAAAUACUCAUAAAAUAGAAAUAGUAGUAACUAACAUGUAAAAAAUGAAUCUUAGUUGCCACAAAAAUCCUACAUGAAGUGUUUAAAUUUACAAAAACCUUCAAGUUUGAACUAAAUGUUGUUAUGAGAAAUUAAGAGUUUAUAUAAUGGAAAUAAUAGGUUUGUUAAUUUGUAGAAAUAAAAGAUAAAUAUAUAAUAAUUCAUAUAUAUAUUCUUAUUGGAUUAUCGGUUUACCCAAUAACCCAAUAAGAAAAAAUCAAACCAAACCAAUAACCCAAUAAUUUUUUGUAACACCCCAUACUUUUAGACUUGAAUGUAAAUUGUCAUUUCUACUUGUACACAUUCCAAAAAUCAUAAAUCUAUUGUGAAUAUAGUGUUUUAAUCAACUAUGUGGUGUAUAAAUCUAGUUGAGCAUGAAUUGAGAUCAUAGAGGUCCCCUAACUCAAGGACGAGUUGAAAGUUUUUCCAUCGAUUGAGUUUUAUUAAGCGUUAAAACUUGGGUCAACUUCAUUCGGUUAUUAAUCUUUGUAUAUAUUGAAUUAAAAUUCCUACUAUAUAUCAAAUGAAAGGCCUUCGAAUUAUCUUUCUAACGAUACCAAUUUUGCAAAAAUCCUACACCUGAGGAAGAAGUUAUGGCUUUGUAAAGUGAAGUGUGUCGUCCAGCAUAAGGUGUGCGCCGCACAACCUAAUGUGUGCGAUAAAGAGUGCGCCGCACAAUCUAUAUUAUGCGAUAAGGCGCACAACCUAUAUUAUGCGAUAAGGUGUGUGCCGCAUAUAUUAUUACUCAAGUGACUUAAACACUCUGUAUUUGGGGCAAAAUGAUCCCACCCUUAUUUAGACAUAAACACGAAAUUCAGUCCCUAAAUACCCCAAAAUACACCUUCAUUCAUCAAAAUUGCUCAAGAACUCUCCUUAGGGUUUCAAAAUAAAAACCCAAGCAACUCAAGAUUCAACCGUGGGUUUUUGAAACUAAUUGCAUAUUUGGAAUCCCCAGAACGUAGGCUUCAAGAAACACCUAUCAUCUUCUCAUAUAGCAGUAUGUGGGGUUAUGCUAAAAUCUCAUGGGCCUUUAAAUUCAUGUUUUACAAUGGGGGUUUUGAAACUAUGAAUAUAAUCAUGUUUUGAACAUUUCUAUAAUAUUGAUUUGGUUUUUAGGCCUAUUUCCAAAGUGAUUUGACAUAUUAUUUAUUUAUAUGCAUGUGUUUUUAAAAGGUAUUAAUUUGAGAGCAUGAAUUAUAUGGAAUCCCUCUCUUGAUAUGAAUUUGUUUUAAAUGUUCAUAUGAUGUAAAUUGUUUGAAAACAUCUUGAAAAGCAUGACAGGAAAUGUUUUGAGAAUUGAUAUGAUUUUGACUUGAAAACUAGAGGGCUAUUUAUGUUGAAACAUGUUGAAUACAAUGGUUGAAUGAGAAGAAUGAUGUGAUAUUAAUGGAUUAUAAGUUGGUUAUGAUGAUACCCUACAGAAUAUGAUAUGUGAUUGAAUCAGAUAAAAUUUGAAUGCAUUGAUUUUACAUAAGAUAGGUGGAUGCUCGAAGAAGGCGUUAGAGUGUAAGGAAUAAUCGCUGGAAACCGUGUUUGCCGACAUUAUGUACCUGAUUUUAUGUUAUUUCCAAGUUGGGACUAUGGUUAGGAGCCCUGCUUUGUGAUCUCGUGCACUACCAUUGGGUCGAGACACCCUGUUGUGUGAUCUUGUGUCUCUUCCCCUCACUUAUACUCAAAUCUCGGUGAGGUUUGACAGUUGGUGUAAAUGUGGUAUGUAGGGUAUUCCACCUAGCUCAGCUGCAUUACAUUGUUGUUGAAAAUAAUUAAAUUACACCCAUUUCAAAUGAUUUGAUAUGAAACUACUUUAUAAUGGAUCUCAACUAUAUUUUGUAAAAAUAUUAUGUUUUGUUUUGAUAUCUCUACAUACCAGUACUUUUGUAUUGACCCCCUUCCCUUCCAGGUUUGGAGGCAUAGUUAUGGGGUCCAGAAAAUUAGUAAAUUCCUCAGACAGAUUUGCAGAGUCACUUGGUGAGCCUUUUAUAUUUCGGAAGGCUUGAUAUCUGGUAGUUUCAUUUAUCAUUUAUUAGUUUUGGAUCUACUGGGGGCUUUGUCACAAUUUUCAGAUAGAUAUUUAUUUCAGUCAUGUAGUAGAGAUUUCGUAGACGUUAUAGAGAUGUUGUGUUGAGAUUGUGGAACAUUAUUCCCUGUUAUUGAUUUCAUAUGAUUCUUGACCAUGUUUCUGUAAUAUUUUUUAUCUUCCACAUUUCUAUUAUCAUAUGAGUUAUGUGCAUAAUUAUCAGACAAAUAGGGGUGUUUCAGGCCUUCAUGGUUUGGAAUGCUCAUCACGGCCAGGGCCCCAGUUCGGGUUGUGACAAAAUUGGUAUCAGAGCACGGUUCAUGGUCCCAGAGUGUCAACAAAAUCACGUUGGGUAGAGUCUUAUUUAUGGGUGUGUAGCACGCCACACUUAUAAGCAGGAGGCUACUAGGUGUUUAGGAAUGUCUCUCUUUCUUCAUGUUCCAGUUCGUACAAUAUAGUCAAAAUGUUCCUAUUUCAUACUGUCAUUCGUGCUAUGGUGUCGCCCAUAUGAAGGUAAAGUCAUCCCAAAUUCUUUCCUUACUCUGAUGUUCUCAGACAUAUCCCAUUAUUGGGGUGAUUCAAGUGCAAAAAGUUUAGAAUCUACAUGAUAUAGUCUUUUCCGAUUGUGUCCUAUAAGAAAAAAAAUUAUGCAAAAACUCUAAAGGAGUCUGUUGGUGCUUCAAUAUGUGUUGAUUCUGAUGUAAACAUUGAUCCUGAUGGAAUCGUGCUUUCUAGCUUAAGGUAUUAAGUGCAUCUAGUCCCUCCCAAAAAUCUAGAUAUAGGUGUUGACGGUGUAUAGCAGAAUGUUUGAACUGUAUUUCCACCCGAAUAGUAGCAUAAGUUAAAGUGUUGUUGUCAUGACCUAUCAGUAAUGACAUUAGACCAAGAAGUUAGUGAUGUGAAGUCAUAAAGCUAGAAGUCAUAGUGAGGGUGAUUUUUGGUGUAAAUGAAUAUUUCAGUUGAAUAACCGAUAUUUGAGGAUGGUUUACCCCUUUAUAGUGAUAAACUAAUGUGGUAGCUAGUAGCACGUGUGGAUGGUAUGGUAGUCCAUGGGGGAAGUAUUUUACUCAGAUUUUUAUUUAUACAGAGUAAGAUGUGUAUUCUUAGACCAUUAAACAUUGUGUCAAUUUCCUAUCUCUUGUAAUAUGUAAUCUUGUUAUCAUGGUGUUUUUGAAAAAAAAAAAUUUAAAGUCUAGUGAAGCCGUGUGGGGCUCUUUCGAUUCACUAGCAUAGUUGCCUUGUCAUCCAUCUUAUUUUCUUGUUCAAAAUACAAAACCAAAGUCUAGUGAAGCCGUGUGAGGCCUAUUUCGAUUCACUAGCAACUUGUUGUACUUUUGUUGGUUUAAUAUAUGUAUGGCUGAAUCUAUUUGCAUGAGAUGGAGUUGGUAAAGAGGUGAUUCGUCCUUGUGAGUUAGUUUAGUAUAAGGUAGAGAAGGAGUUGUUAGUCAGGGUGAUUUGUUGGUUGCUUGAAUGUGAAAAAUGGCUAUAUUAGCGAGUAAGUUAUGAUUAUAGACUCAUGGUUGUUUGAGGAAUUUGAAGGCAGUCUAAAUGUAUGCUUGAGUAAGUAAGUAUGAGGUGAGAAAUCCGCAUAAGUAGAUAAGAUCGUAUGGGGUUAUAAUAUCAAAUUAAGGUUGAUCAUGUCUAUUAUGUGACCUUACCUCUUGACUUUUUUCGUUGGUAGUUGUAAACUAGUACUACUUAUGAGAAGGUAUGUAACAAAUUAUGAGGUAUUUGGAUAGUCCUACAUGACUGGCAGAGAUUUUUUGAAGUUUUGCAGGAGUUCUCGAAACUAUUUUCUAAAAAAUUAAGACUACUUUGAAAAAAAUCUAUAUAAAUUUUUACUUAGUGAUUGCCUAGACAUCAAUUAGGACGGGGAGUCAGGGGUGGAAGUCCCAACAUGAUGAAAUACCUGAAAGAUGGCGAGGGCAAAUCAAGGAUCGUAGGAGGUUAAAACGGAGUAGUUUCUUUCAAACUAAUUAUUUUUUGUGGAUGCAGGGAUCAAUACACAAAAUGAGCAUUUCUUUCGAAAAAUCCCCAAGAAAGUCAGGAGCCAUGACAGAGCAUAUAAGGCUUAAUAAUGGUACUUUUGGUAGCCCAAAAACCGGCUCAAGACCCAUUUAUUGACGACCAUUCGAAUUGUCCAUCUCAUUUCUUGAGAUCAUGGAGGACAAACAAAAGUGUCUUGUCUUCUUUACAAAUAUUGUAUUUAAAUUUUUUCUAAAAAAAAUAGUCGCUAGCAAAAGCGACUUUGUGUCUACUAAUCGUCUACCUUGAGUACAGGUACAUGCAGAAAGCAAGACCCUGACAAAUAAUUUCAGGAGAAACUAUUUUUAAUUUAUCGGAAGAACCAUUGCCUCUCAUUGCCAAGAGGGCCAUUGCAUAUCAUCGUUACUCAAUAUCUGUUGACAUGCUAGACACAACGCUGACAUUGAGGAUAUCAUCAGCAUUCAAUAUAUCCAUUGACACGCAAGACACAACGCUAGCGUCGAGGAUAUCAUCAUUAUUCAAUAGCUAUUGACACGCUAGACACUACACUGGCGUUGAGGAUAUCAUCAGCAUUCAAUAUAUCUGUUGACACGCAAGACACAACGCUGGCGUUGAGGAUAUCAUCAUCAUUCAAUAUCUGUUAACGUGCUAGACAAUGCUGGCAUCGAGGAUAUCAUCAGCAUUCAAUAUAUCUGUUGAGACACAAGACACAAUGCUGGCGUCGAAGAUAUCAUCAUCAUUCAAUAUUUGUUGACGCACUAGACACAACGCUGGCAUCGAGGAUAUCAUCAUUAUUAUAUAUCUAUUGACACGCAAGACACAACGCUGGCGUUGAGGAUAUCAUCAUCAUGCAGUAUCUGUUGACAUGCAAUACACAACGUUGGCAUCAAGGAUAUCAUCAUUAUGCAAUAUCUGUUGACGCAUAAGACACGAUGCUGGCGUCGAGGAUAUCAUCAGCAUUUAAUAAAUCUUUUAACAUGCAAGACACAACACUGGCAUCGAGGAUAUCAUCAGCAUUCAAUAUAUCUGUUGACACGCAAGACACAAUGCUGGCGUCGAGGAUAUCAUUAUCAUUUUAUAUCUGUUGACAUACAAGACAUAAACGCUGACAUCGAGGAUAUCUUAUCAUUUUAUGAAUCAGCAUCUGAAUGCAUCGAGAGCACACGAUUUGAAGGGAUGCCUUUAAUUCGCUAUCUAAGGAUGAAUGAUAUAUAAGAUUUCCUAUAAAUUGACAAUUUGAGGGUCAUUUAUAAGUCAUAUUAUUUAAAAUAGGAUAGUGUGCAAGAUCACCUAUGAGUUGAUAGCCUGUAGGUCAUCCAUAAGCCACAACAAUAUCCUAACUGGAUAGUGUGGAAGAUCUCCCAAAAAUUGAUAGUUCAAAGGUUAUCCAUAAGUCGCAACUAAAUCUUUACUGAAGAAUAUGGAAGAUUAUCAAAUUGAUACGUCCAAGGGUUCUCUAUAAGCCGUGUCAUAUCCAAGAUCGAUUAUGUGCAGGAUUAUCCAAAGACUAAUAAUUUAAGGGAUUAUCUAUAAGUUAUAUUAUAUCCAAGGUUGGAUGAUGUGCAGGAACACCUGAAAGGUAGCGAUUGGAGGAACAUCUUUAAGCCAUCUCUUAUUCAAAGUCGGAUAAUGUGCAUGAUUACCUAAAAGGUAGAAAUCAAAAGGAUAUCUGUAAGUUGCCUUGUAUCCAACAUCAAAUAAUGCGUAAGAUUAUCCAAAGAUUGAUAAUUUAAAGAAAAUUUAUAAAUUGAUCAUCGGCUAUAACUGGAGAGUUUAUUGUUCCAUAUGCAACAAAUGAUAUAGGUACCCAAAGGGUUUCCACAUCAGCACAAGAUUACAAGGUUGUAGAGACCAUUCUGCAUAAAGUAUCGUCGGUGUCCAAAAGGGCCACCCACUUUGAAGACAUAUUCAACUGACAAAUGUCAGAAUUAUACAACAACCAAGAGGGUUGUUGUGUUUGGUAUUGACGGUUAUUUCAUUCCAAAAAGGUACAUGAAGAGAUGACUCUGCUUUUCAGGCCAUAACUCACGUAGAGAUAUGGUAAAAGACUGUGUACCUCUUUCGUGAAUUAUGUUUAGCAUGAACACUUUUUGCUUGAAGCAUUGUCGAGAGCAUCCUAGAGGAUGAAAUUCUCAAAUCAAAACCACAGGUGCGAAUGACUUCAAAUAGGACGCAGCACCUGAAUCCAACCCGUUUUCCUUUUCCUCUUUAUAUUCAUGCGCGUUUCACGCGAAUCCAUACGAGAAGAUACAGAGAAUCUUCUAGAAACACACUUAGGUGUCUCAUCCAACGUUCAAAUCCCAAAAUUCUCAGAUAGAGGUUUACGAAUUCGUACAUAGGUGGAGUAUUUUCAUUGGCUUGUGAAGAUUAUUUCCUUUCCACCAAUUUUGUAUUGGCCACUUUUUGGAAUUCCGUUCAAGAAAAUCAAAAUAGAGGUACAGUUCAUUAGGGUCCGGAUCUUUCGAAUUUCAAAAAUGAACCCUCAAUCCCAUUCUAUAAGUAGCUCUCUUUAGAGCAAGAAAAAGGGAUUUUUUUAGGGAUUUUGGAAUCUUGUUUCACUUGUCUCUCUUUUCCUUUGUGGGUUCUCCUCUUCUUUCUCUUUGGAGUUCGAAAUUUUAGAGGCAAAGGGGGUUCAAAAGUUUUGGGUUGAAAAUUUGGGGUUAGAGAACAUCUUCAAAAAUUCAGAAAUACACAAAAAUGGGGUUAGAAAGGGGGGCUCUCAGAGGGAAAAAAUAUUCUCUUUAUGCCUAAGAAACAUACAUUUUUAGGGGGUGCGUCUGAACUGUCAAAGAAGUUGUGAGUUUUUUGGUGGUCGAAAUCCUAUCGUCAGCUCGUUAUCCCAUUUUGCUGCCCCAAAAGAGGUAAAUACACAUUUCUUUUUAAUUUUGUUAUGGUUAUCAUUUUCUUCUUCGUGGUUCCACUUUUGUUUGCUGGGAAUGACUGCUGUAGAGGCCUGGAAGGCAUAGGAUUUUUGUGUUUGAUAUAUUGUUCUACUAAAAAACUCAUUCUUGCCCAUGUUUGAUUGGUUGUCGUUCAUGCUUGAUCUCUCUCAUUUUAUUCUGUCUGAAUGUUACUAGUUAGCUUUAAUUCUUCAACUUUAGAAACUAUUUUGCUGGUCUCAUAUUUGAUGUUGCUUUGUAGUUCAUAGAGUAGGAGAAUAAAAUCUUUAUGUACUUUCGAAAUUCAAAAAAAUUUUCAAAGAAUAGAUAUUAGGCAGCGUGUUUGCAUAUCUUUUUCGCUCAAACGCAGGAAAUUGUAAUAAAUAAGAACUCGAAUGUUAUUUUCUUCCGACUUGCCACUCUCGAUGUACAAUAGUCUAAUUUGAUUCGAAAGUUUACUUUGAAGGAAUAGGAUUUUCAUAUUUGAUAUAUUGUUCUACUAAAAAACUCAUUCUUGCCCGUGUUUGAUUGGCUGUCGUUCAUGCUUGAUCUCUCUCAUUUUAUUCUCUCAUUUUAUUCUGUCUGAAUGUUACUAGUUAGCUUUAAUGCUUCGACUUUAGAAACUAUUUUGCUGGUCUCAUAUAAUAUGUUGCUUUGUAGUUCAUAGAGUAGGAGAAUAAAAUCUUUAUGUAUUUUCGAAACUCGAAAAAAUGUUCAAAGAAUAGAUAUUAGGCACCCUGUUCGCAUAUCUUUUUCGCUCAAACACAGGAAAUUUUUAUAAAUAAGAACUCGAAUGUUAUUUUCUUCCGACUUGCCACUCUCGAUGUACUAUAGUCUCAUUUGAUUCUAAAGUUUAUUUUAAAAUAUGAGAGUGGACCAUAGGGCUGAAUUAUGUUUUCUUCAUGGCUAAUUCAAUUUGUUGUAAUUGACUCAUGAGAACAAAUUAAAGUUUGAAGGGCUAAUGUUUCUUUCCUUUCUUGCUUUUCUUGUUCGCAUAUAAGUUGUGGCAUCUUGUCUCAUGAUUAAAUUACCUAAAAUUGGGUUUAUGUAGUGUUUAAAUCUCAUUUGUUUGUUAACCCAGUGGUAACGAAGGCAUUAAGAUUUCAGCCUUGCUUUUCUUGAAGUUUCAGCUAUCGUAUUCCUUGCCUAAAGUGAUUAAGUCCUUAAUUUUGUAUGUUUGGCAUUCUGGAAUUUGAACGUUGCUUGUGAUCCAUCGUUUAUGUAGUAUGAUCCAGGAGUUGUAACUCUUUUUUGUGACAUACUUAAUUGGGUCCUUUUGUGGCAUUAAAGUGAUAAAUUAUUUUCUUUAUUUCGCUAAAGACCAUAAGAAAUUUCUUGUUGAAGCUUUAUUUCAACCUGUAGUUGAAGAGGGGGCGACCCUAUUGGAGUUUGCGAGGGCGUUUGGGCUGGUGGUGGUGAACUCGGGCUUCCCGAAGAAGGACGAGCACCUGAUCACUUUUCGGAGCGCGAUAGCCAGGACCCAGAUUGACUUUUUGUUGCUUAGGAAAGGGGAUAGGGCGUUGUGUAAGGACUGUAAAGUCAUCCCGAGUGAGAAUCUCUCGACCCAACAUAGGCUUUUGAUUAUGGAUUUGGGUAUAAAGAAGAAUAGAAAGAGGAGGAGUAAGGAGUGUAGACCGAGAAUUAAGUGGGGCGGCUUGACGCCAGUGAAUGCGUGGGAGAUAGGGGAGAGGUUGGCGGGAAAGGGGGUGUGGGAGUGUAGGGGGGACGUGGAUAGUAUGUGGGACAGGGCGGCAAGGUGCAUCAGGGAGAAUGCAAGGGAGGUGUUGGGUGUUUCUAGGGGCCGGGCCGGUCACCAUCGGGGGGAUUGGUGGUGGAAUGAAGAGGUGGAGAAGAAAGUGGAGACCAAGAAAGAGGCGUAUGCUAAGUUGGUGGAAAGUAAGGACGAAGAAGAGAAGCGGGUAAACAGGAAAGAGUACAAGCUAGCGAGGAAGGAGGCGAAGUCAGCGGUCACGGCAGCUAAGACGGCCGCUUUUGAGAGCUUGUAUGCAGGGUUACAGGGGAAAGGAGGGGAGAAAAAGUUGUUUAGACUCGCUAAGGCUAGGGAGAGGAAGGGUCGUGACCUCGAUCAGGUGAGGUGCAUUAAGGGGGAGGACGGUAGAGUGUUGGUGGAGGACGGCCACAUAAAGAAGAGAUGGCAGUCGUACUUUCAUAGGCUCUUGAAUGACGAGGGGGACAGAGCUAUUGUGUUAGGGGAACUGGAGCACUCAGAGGAGUGUCGGGAUUUUAGCUAUUGUAGACGUUUUAAGGUAGACGAGGUUAGACAGGCAGUCCGCAGGAUGCGAAGGGGUAGGGCGACGGGGCCGGAUGAGAUACCGGUGGAGUUUUGGAAGUUCGUUGGAGAGGCUGGUGUAAGGUGGUUGACUGCAUUGUUCAAUGAAAUUUUCAGGACGGCAAAGAUGCCCGAGGCGUGGAGGUGGAGUACCAUGAUCCCCCUCUAUAAGAAUAAGGGGGACAUUCAGUGUUGCAAUAACUAUAGGGGGAUUAAGUUACUGAGUCACUCUAUGAAGAUCUGGGAGAGAGUGGUCGAGGUGAGGCUGAGACGGAUAGUGUCUAUCUCGGAAAACCAGUUCGGAUUUAUGCCCGGCCGCUCGACGACGGAGGCAAUUCACCUGGUACGGCGGUUGGUGGAGCAAUAUAGGGAAAGGAAGAAGGAUUUGCACAUGGUGUUCAUCGACCUAGAAAAGGCGUACGACAAAGUCCCCAGGGAGGUGCUUUGGAGAUGCUUGGAGGUGAGUGGAGUACCGCAGGCAUAUAGAAUUCUGUUCAAGAAAAUCAAAAUAGAGGUACAGUUCUUUAGGGUCCGGAUCUUUUGAAUUUCAAAAAGGAACCCUCAAUCCCCUUCUAUAGGUAGCUCUCUUUAGAGCAAGAAAAAGGGAUUUUUGGGGGGAUUUUGGAAUUUUUUUUCACUGACCUCUCCUUUCCUUUAUAGGUUCUCUUCUUUCUCUUUGGAAUUCGAAAUUUUAGAGACAAAAGGGGUUCAAAAGUUUUGGGUUGAAAAUUUGGGGUUAGAGAAAAUCUUCAAAAAUUUAGAAAUACACAAAAAAAAAAAAGGUUAGAAAAGGGGGGCUCUCAGAGGGAAAAAAUAUUCUCUUUACGCCUAAGAAACAUACAUUCUUAGGAGGUACGUCUGAACUGUCGAAGCAGUUGUGAGUUUUUCGGUGGUCGGAAUCCUAUCGUCAGCACGUUAUCCCAUUUUGCUGCCCCGAAAGAGGUAAAUAUACCUUUCUUUUUAAUUUUGUUGUGGUUAUCAUUUUCUUCUUCGUGGUUCCACUUCUGUUUGCUGGGAAUGACUGUUGUAGAGGCUUGGAAGGAAUAGGAUUUUCAUAUUUGAUAUAUUGUUCUACUAAAAAACUCAUUCUUGCCCGUGUUUGAUUGGCUGUCGUUCAUGCUUGAUCUCUCUCAUUUUAUUCUCUCAUUUUAUUCUGUCUGAAUGUUACUAGUUAGCUUUAAUGCUUCGACUUUAGAAACUAUUUUGCUGGUCUCAUAUAAUAUGUUGCUUUGUAGUUCAUAGAGUAGGAGAAUAAAAUCUUUAUGUAUUUUCGAAACUCGAAAAAAUGUUCAAAGAAUAGAUAUUAGGCACCCUGUUCGCAUAUCUUUUUCGCUCAAACACAGGAAAUUUUUAUAAAUAAGAACUCGAAUGUUAUUUUCUUCCGACUUGCCACUCUCGAUGUACUAUAGUCUCAUUUGAUUCUAAAGUUUAUUUUAAAAUAUGAGAGUGGACCAUAGGGCUGAAUUAUGUUUUCUUCAUGGCUAAUUCAAUUUGUUGUAAUUGACUCAUGAGAACAAAUUAAAGUUUGAAGGGCUAAUGUUUCUUUCCUUUCUUGCUUUUCUUGUUCGCAUAUAAGUUGUGGCAUCUUGUCUCAUGAUUAAAUUACCUAAAAUUGGGUUUAUGUAGUGUUUAAAUCUCAUUUGUUUGUUAACCCAGUGGUAACGAAGGCAUUAAGAUUUCAGCCUUGCUUUUCUUGAAGUUUCAGCUAUCGUAUUCCUUGCCUAAAGUGAUUAAGUCCUUAAUUUUGUAUGUUUGGCAUUCUGGAAUUUGAACGUUGCUUGUGAUCCAUUGUUUAUGUAGUAUGAUCCAGGAGUUGUAACUCUUUUUUGUGACAUGCUUAAUUGGGUCCUUUUGUGGCAUUAAAGUGAUAAAUUAUUUUCUUUAUUUUGCUAAAGACCAUAAGAAUUUCUUGUUGAAUCUUUAUUUCCUCCUGUAGUUGAAAUUUCUUUAAUUAAUUAUGAAUAGUUUCUUCAAACAUUAUAGACUUUUGCUCCUGUGGCAUUUUUACCUGUGUAUGAGUGUAUUUGAAUGAAGCAGGAAUGCUAUAGCUUAUUAAUUGUUAAAAUCUUGGACGUAUGUUAAUUUCUUCAUUCCUUUCUUUGCAUGCACCCCCCUUGGAAUUCAAAUGGGCCCCUUCUCUCUUUGCAUUUCAUAAAUGGGCCAAUGAGGCCUAUCCUUCCGAGUUAAGCCAAAAAGAAAAUCCAAGAAUCCAUCGCAUGGCGUAUGGAUACGAGGAAUUGAAAGAAGAAUGGGUUAAAGUUCCAUCUUUGAAGCGGCAAACGGGACUUGAAAAUCUAGUUAUUUCUUCUUUAUUGAUUUAUUUAUCCAUUGUUUCCAUUAUUUAUUUAUUUACUUAUUUAUAUUUUU
rnacentral:lncRNA from 1 species